AUGAACUGAAAAUAUCAUUAAUUUAUAAUUGAUAAAUUGAUAAUCGAUUCUUUUGGGAUAUGUCAAUCCCGAAUCUAUUAUUCCAUUUAUUUAUUAAUUAUCAUAAAAACAUUUAUUAAAUGUGUUGUCGUCCAACUCUUUCCAUGAAAAGGAAAGGUUGUGAACCACCACAUUUGAUCAUGGACAAAAGGUAAUCAAAUAGUUGCCUCCACUAGGACAAGUAAACGUGCUCGAUUUAUCAUCAUAAGCAUAACUGUAAGCUUGAGGACACUGCUGCUUGAAAGUCAUCGAAUAUUGGCUAGGUUUACAUUUGUCAGCAUUAUUGUACUCUCCUGUGCAGCAGUACUGCGGCUGGUUAAAUGCCAAACACGCGCUCUUGCAGGCAAUCACAGUCCCAUCUGAACCCUUCACUUGUAAACUAGGAUCACAAACAGCAUUCACGUUAGCUGCACAGCUUGUAGAAGGGCAGCCAGUAGAACCUCCUUGCGGGGUUAUCGAAAUCGGGAUGUUAAAGCCAUCAACAAGGCUUAUAUCGUAAAAAUCUUUCCCACCAUCACCUCUUAGAGUAAAUUCUGCCAAGGAUGCUGGUGGGAUCGCACCGGCUCCGUUGCAUUCUACGACGCCAGAGGCGCAGUCAGCUGUAGCACAAACAAACUUUCCCGAGGCAUCUGUAGAGCAUUGCGUUCUGGCCCACAAGCGGCCAGACCAUGUUGCAGGGACACUCAGCGAAGAUGAAGCACCCGUUGCCAAUGUGAAGCCAGUUGGAGAUAAAGACGGACGGCCAGCAGCCGUUAGCGUUCCUGGCCAGACUGUGUAUGGACAGUUGUUUUUGAAGUCGAAAGUCACAGAUUGAGCUCCUGCAUGCGUGCAAGCUGCGCAAGAUUUAUGUUUGUUGAUAUCAAUAAUUAAAUCUUGGUCGAUUCAAAGAAAAUAUAUAUGCAAGCUGCGCAAUAUUGCAUAUGCAAACAGAAAAUAUAUAUGUAAGAGCAAGGAGAAUAAUCAAAGUGAAUAAUAUGCAUAAUAGAGUUUUCCAAGCAAGAAUCUAAUAUAUGUAAUAUUGUAAAACUACUUGCCAUAGAGGAAGAUGACGAGGGUGAAGGUAAUUAUAGCAAUGGGCAUACGACUCUCCAUUGCCGAUCGAGAUGCGUCGAAUUAACACUUUUUCAGUAUCUUUUAAGAGAUUUGAGGUAAGAAAGAAACACUCUAUAUUUUAAAAAGAUUGUGUUUGCCACUUAAUAAAUAGUGUUAAAUUUGCAGACUAGUAAACAGCCAAACAGUGGAACACGUGAAAAUUAAGAAGAGAAAGAAGAAAAAAAAGAAGAAAAGUCUGUUACUGCCAAACCAAACAACCAUCUGCCAGCCAGACGCAUUGUCUUAUUCGAUUAUAGCUGUACGAGGAAUCUUAAUUUUUAAAUAUAAUUUAUAUUAUUUUUUAAUAUAUUAUUUUAAAUAAAAAAAUUUUAAGCUUAAAACUUGCAAAGCUAAUAUUAUAUUGAUGAGAUUCAAACUCAUAAAUGAUUGGUCAUUAAAAUUCUGAUACCAUAUUAAAAAAUUAAUUCAAUCCAAAAACUUAAUAUACUAAAUUAGAUUUCAAAUAUACUUUAUAUUAUUUUCUAACAAAAAUAAUCCACCACAAAAAAAUACCCAACGAAAUAUACAAAUGCCCUUGAUUUGAACCAUAAGUGACUAACUAGAUAUCUCAAUUAAUGAGAAAGUAAACAGCCAAUUAGAGGAACGCCCUGCUUCCCACGUCUCAUGAAAGCAAUUGGAUGCAGGAAUUGGGCCAUACUCACAAGAAAAUUGAUUUACACCCGACAUACCGUCAUAGUACUUCGUAAGUGUAAAAGCUAUAUUUUUGUGUCUAUAAAUAUCGGUAGAUUUUUUUAUGAAAUAUCUUGUUAAUAAAUAUUAAAAUAUUUAAUAUUAUAAUACAGAGUAUAUACCUAUUUAAUAAUUUUUUUAUUUGAAUAAAUUUGUAUUUAACCAAAAGAUUAUCCGUGCCAAAAAAACGAUGUCUACCCGAUAUAAUUUAUUUUUAUUUUAUAUUUUAAAAUAUUAUAAAAUGAGCACCACUUGUUUAUAAUAAAUAAAUUAAUUAAAUUAAAUUAAAAAAAUGUCUAAAAAAAAGAAAUUAAAAAAAAGAACAAAUAAAUAUACUCCAGGUAUCCCGAGUCAUUUUCAAAAUCAGUGAAAAAUCCUAUAGGAAUAAAAUAAAAAAAUUCAAUAGAGCCUAAUAUCCAAUUAAAUAAAUGUUAAAUGAUGAAACUGAAAUAAACAUGAGCUUAAAAAAAGAAAAAAAACCAAGCAAACUCGGGAAAGCCUCCUAAACCUGAGUUAGUUUCUAAAACUUACAACUCAUGAAAUCCUAGACUUAAGCUUGAUUAAGAAGUAUAAUUCUCAAUUAAUCUAAUGUUGAAUAAUGAAAAUAGGAAAAAAAUCAAUUUAAAAAAAUUGUAAAAGUGAAAUAUCAAAAGAAUAAGGAUUAAAUCUGAUAGGAAAAAAAAACUUAUGAAGGAUGAUAUUGUAAAAAAAAUCAAAUUAAAAAAUUAUCUCAAACAAAAAAAUAGCAAUCAAAAUAAUAGGGACAAAAUUUGAAAGAUAAAAAAACUGAAAGGGGAUGAAAUUGUCAAAGAAUUCCUAUUUAAUGAAUUAUUCCAAACAAAACAAACAAUGAUAAAAAAAACAUCACCAAAUCCAAAGGAAUAACAAAUUGAAGGCGUGCUUUGAAAUUUUGAAGGGGCAUCAAUGGGAGAGUAAAUAAGAGAAAGAAACGGUUGUCUGCACAAAACCAAACAACUAGUUCACUUGGUCUUACCAAAUGGUCGAUCGGAUCAACUUAAAUACUAGAUUUUGAUAAUUUGAACCUGUCGAAUCUAGAACUGAUACUAAUCUUAUAUACAUGUAGAGUGAAGUGUUUGAGUUCAUUUUAAUUAUGCUGUUAAUAUAAGAUAUAAAGAUUUACAUAAUCACUAAAAUGAACAAUUAAUUCUUAGUCUUCACUCGUUUUGCAUCUUGGACAUCUUUAUUGAUUUUUUCAUGACAUCCUUCAUGCCAAGGUUGUCAAUUCUAUUUCGGUAGGUGUUUCGUUUUUUCAAUUGGAAUGGAAUGUUUCAGUUUCGGAGUGUUUUGGUGUGCCGUUUCGGAGUUGUACUGUUCAUAUAUAUAUAUAUAUAUAUAUAUAUAUAUAUAUUCAACAAACAUAAUUCAAAUUCAAGAUAAAUUAAUUAUAAACUAUGAAAUACAAACACAAUGCCAAACAAAUAUAAUUUCAAAAUUUAAAAUAUUUCUAAAUAGUCAAGAUUAAAUAGAUCUUUAACUUAAAGUAAUUCAACUUAACAAAAAUAUUUAAAUAUAAAGUUAGGUCAAUGUUAUCAAGUGGCUAAUGGAAUCUAAAGCAUCCCUUGUUUUGCUCAAAUUCCUACAAAGUAUAAACAUGAAAAAAAACAACAUGAAUAUAAACCAUAUAUAUUAGUGAUAAAUCUAAUUUUAAAAAAUUAAUAUCAUUGUUAAUGAAAAUAGUAAUAAUAAUUUUCAAUAUUAUUAUUAAUAUCAUUGCUAUUGAAAAUAGUAAUGAAAAAGAGCUUUUUAUAAUCGGGUGGUUUAAUUAAUGAAAUUGACCAAGGUUCAAUUUCAUUCAUUGGCUUUUCAAGAGCGGAACGGAACAUGUGUAAUGAAACCGGAACGUUUCGGACGGAAUUUAACCGAAAAAUCCGGAACGGACCGAGAUUUAAAUUGAGAUGAAAUUUGUUCCGUUUUUUAAAUUGGUAUGGAAUGUUUCGGCCAUUCCAGGCGGAACGGAACGGAAUUGACAACCUUGCUUCAUGCUUGUUGAUGUCAAAACUUAUUUUUGGGCUAUUCCCCAAAAUUUUUUACCUUAUUCCUUUUCAAAAUAAAAAUAAAAUAAUAAACAAUAAUAGCAAGGAGACUAGUGAUGUGAAAAAAGCUGAUUGAGGAAGGAUUUUGAAUAUAGAAAAAUUAAAGUUUUUUGGUCAAUCAAAGAUUGCAUUAAUGAAAUUUUCAACCAAGGACCCUUUAAAAAAAAGGCAAUUAGAGACUUGAUUGAAGAAAUCCAAAACCAAGGACCAAACUAGAAAAGACACAUAAAUAUAGGGGUUGAAAUUGACUGAGUCAGGGACCAAAUUGAAGAAAUUGGAAGUUUGUUGAUGAAUUGAAGGUCAUAAUGCACAAAUUCAAAACUAAGGAUCAAAGUGAAAAGGCAACCAACUUCAGGGCUGGCAUUUGAAUUUGACCAAGAUGCAAUUGAAUUAAUUUUUAAAAUUAAAAUUUGAAUUAAGCACUUUGUUGUUGCCCAAUCUUGGACCCAUAUUUUUGAUAAAAUAUUGAAAAAAAAUCCAAAAAAUAGCGAGAACAACAAAAAUCCAAAAAAACUAUAUUUUUAAUAUAUUUGCAUCGUUUUUAGUAUUUUUCAGCCUCGUCUCAAUAGAAUUUAAAUUUUCAAAGGUCUUUCGAACACAUUCGAGUUUUCAUGCGUCAUUUUUAAAAUCAUUGAUUUUCCUCGUUGAGUCGACGUUGAUAUUGCUCGUUUUUAAAAAAUACAAAAAAAAAAAAAAAAUCAAAAUUUACAAAAAAUAAAGAAGUUGAGGGACCAAUGUGUUAUGGAGACCAAGCCACUUUGCCUAUAAAUAAAGGUCACAACACACAUAAGAAGGGGGAGGCAAUUUUCAAAAAAGGGGAGGCAAACACAAAAAACCCUAAAGAUAAAAAAACCUAAACCCAUCUCUAUCAAAACUAGUUGGCGCCCCCUCUCUUUUGGACAAAACUAGAGAAACAAAGCCAAACCCUUUCCAUUUGAAAACAAAACUAGGGCCUCUUAGUCUCAACUCUCAUCAGCUAAAGUUUGCCACCCCUCAGUCAAAAGAUCCACACCUCUCUCAUUCUCCUAGCGCACCCCCGUCUUAAACGACCGCCUUCAUUAUCAGCCACAACAAUGUUGUUCUCAUUGGAGAUCCAAUAUCCUAUACACGGCAGCGCUUGGGCAGCAGUCUAUUCUCCACAACAAAGCAAGCCUAACAAAUGACAACAAUGAGAGCCCCAUGGACAAAUUUGUAGUGAAGCAUAUCUAAAAAAGAGAUGAAGAGAAUAGAUCUGAAAAAAGAAGAAGAAAGAAUCAGAAAGUUUGCUUAUGUUUUUCUUGUUUUGCAGGUCACCACUAGCGAGGAAAGGAAGAAGGGAGUAAGCUAUUCUAGAUCCCAUUGUUUUCUUGUUCUUCCUCAUGGCGAUGCGUGAAUCCAUGCGCUGCUAGUGGCAAUGGCGUGUUGAUUAGUACUUAAAACUUUAGUGCAUUCUCAUUAAGGCUUCAUAUCAUCAUAUUGCACCUAAAGUCUUAUAAUAUAAGAUAGCUUUAGUUUAUGGUAAAUACUCAUUUUAAAUGCACGUUUAUCCCACAACUCAAAGGAUUGAUUGAUGUGAUUAACUAUUAAAAGUGAAGAGACAAAGAGAGGACUAAACUUAGAGAAGAGAUGCUGGUUCAAUUCAAACUGAAAUACCAUUCGGUUAUUGGAUCAUACCUAGAGUUGUAGAACUUGGAUUUAGGUUUGGUUUAUCUUGAUAGAAAGCUAAGACAUAGGCCUAAAAUGUUCAUGAAAAGUCCAAGAUUCAAAUCUUUCAUUUUUAAGUUCAACUUUUAGCAUUGACACGACUAAAAGAUUGAAGUCUUCUCCCAAGUGCAGGAGUGUUGAAGUAAUUAAUAACCAGGCAAGACCGGGGUUGAACCAUAUGGAGGUUAACUAUAUAAAUUAUAAAUAACAAGAACAAGAACAACAACAAUAAUAAUAAGAAGAAGAAGUUAAAGAGGACUUUAAGAUAUUUGAUUAAUAUGAGGAUUAAACAAUGAUAAAAAUAAAUGUCAAGGUUUGAGGAUCCACUAAUAGUAUUUCAAACAAAUAUAGUAUAAACUCUUUUUAUUACUCAACUGGAAACCACACACAAAGAAGAUUCCAAUUGGAUGAUUUUUCAUUAAUACCUCAUUAUAAAUUGUUAACAUGAUCAUAUUAAUUAUCUUAUUUAAGUAACACCAAACUUUUAAAUAUUGUCAGGAAUUCAUGAUGCUAACUUAUAUUAACAACAAAUCAAGUUCCUUUCAUAGCACAUGUGUAGGUUAUAUAAUACGGUUGGGCUAUGAAAGUGCCAAGCCUUUGUUGUACCAAGUGUUAUACAACACAAAUCUAGAUUAACCAUUUAACAAGCAAGGUAUUAAGAAUUAAUAAGAUAAAAAUAAUAAGACAUGUUAAUAACAAGUUGUUUAGGAUAUAAGCAUUGAAGUCUAUAUUGAGUUUAUAUUAUACUUAUUCUUACACCAUUAGUGUAACCUUUUCACCUUGACAUAAUAAACUUAGCUAAACAUAAUGAAGAAGAGAAACAUGAAUAAACAAGAUAAGAAUAUAAAUAAUAUACAAGUUAACUAAGUAAAGGAAAGGAAAUGAAAAGUAUAAACAAGAUAUUAAAGAAAGCAAAACUUAAGCAUUACAAAAAUAUAAAGAGAGAGAGCAAGAGCAAGAUCUUGAUUUGAACAACCAAGAUGCCUAAAUGCAUGGCAAAUGCCUCCUUUUAUAGGCCAAAAAUUGGAACUAUUGAUUUGAUGACUAAUUGUUGAGUGGGUGGCCACAUCUUGACUUGGUGACAAUCCUUAUCUUAUUGUCUGAACAAAACAUCAUUGAUAACGUCAGAAUUUGAACAAACUUAACACACAAAAGUUCUAGGAAAUUGUCUCAACUUUCCAGGAAAAAACAAUUAAGGUCAUUUGGACUUUUAGAACUUGAGAUAUGGACUGAAAAUGGAACAGUGUCUUGGUUGCAGGACAGAUUCGGACUUCUCUGUUGUUGUUACAAUUUGAACUUGAAAACAACCUUUUUGAAUCUUGAACUCCUCAUGAAAGUUUUAGGUAUGUUUUAGCUUUUCAUCCAUAUAAAGCAGGCAUAAAUCCAAGAUCUAUAGCUCCAGAUAUGACCAAAUGACCGAACAAUAUUUCAGUUUGGUUUGAACCAUAUUUCUUUUCUAACUUUGGCCCUUUCUUUGUCUUUUAAACUCCAGUAGUUAAACUUAUCAAUCAAUCAUUUGAUUUAUGUGAUAGGCCUGCAUUUAAGAUGAACAUUUACCAUAAAUUAAAGGUAUCUUAUAGUAUCAAACUUGUUAUUAUAAAAUAUGCUUUUGUUAAGGAGUUAUUGAUACUUCAAGUGCAAAAUAAUGAAAUAAAACCUUGAUAAAAAUGCACUUUUAAGUACUAAUCACCCCCCCAACCAGCUUAUUACUAGUCCCUAGUAAUCAAAGAGUUAAAAAUAGAAAUGUUUUUUGCAAGUUCCACAAAGCAAGGCAUUCAUCAUUCAACUUCCAUUAAUCUAUCCAAAUAAACAAAUUCUCAUUAAAUUUAUAGAUAUCUACUCAAUACCUCUUAAAUAAAAUAUUAAUAAGCCUUCCUUUUUAUGUGCUUAAUGUAUGAAAACAUAGAUGAUGGGGCUUUUAUUGGAAGAAAACAAUAUUCUGUUCUAAUAUUUAAAGUUGACUUUCUUGGGUUGGGAUUAUUAUCUUUUUUUAAUACAUAUACAUAACUUAAAACACAAUGCAUCUUUAACCCAUGUAACGAGCUUUACUAAUGACUCCCAGACCAGUUGGUCUUAAGGCAUUAGGUGUUAAGACACCCCUACGAGCUUAGUAACUCGGGUUGCAAAUAUGAUAUAUACAUAGUGUAAUGUUUGAUUCCCUUAAGCUUUUCUUCUCAACCCAUGUAACAAGUGUUAGGCCAAAAGCUCCCAAGUCAGUUGACUUUAGGGUAUUAUGUGUUAAAACACCCCUUCAAGCUUAAUUGCUUAGGUUAGGGAGGCUACGCAACCAAACUUAUCUACUUUUUAUUAUCAUCAAUAUAAUCAAUUUGUUUUUUUUUGUUUUUUUUUUUUUGCAAAUUAUAUACUAUCCCUUUCCUUUAGUUGCUACCUUUAACAAAAGAACAUAAAUAAUGUAAUAAUCCAAUGUGCAACCCACAAUCAUAUGUUAAAGUGUGUGUGUGAAAAUAAAGGUUUAAGAAUACUUGUUAAAUAAGUAUAUGAGCAGAAUUAAUUGAUGAUAAUGGAGAGUUUAUAAACCUGAAUAUUUCAAGAAGUAUUUUGAUAGACCUUGUUAAGAAUGUUAACUAAGAUGCGUUUUAAGAGUCACUUUAACAAAAGAACUCAUUUGCUUUGCCAUCCUAGUAACAACAGUUUUGCAAAUGUUUUAUGAAAUAGAAAACAAAAUUAGUUUUUUUUUUUAAUAUCAAUCACUACCCUUUCCCCCCAACCAAAACGAGAUAUUGUCUUUAAUGUCUUAAGGUAGAAAGAUAGAAUAUAGAAGACAUUACCUGAAACAACGAACAUUGACAAUCCUGAAACACACUUAAAUAAAUAUAAGAAAAAAAAAAUAAUCUGUUAUUAAUAAAACCAGAAGAAACAAGGUUUCACAAAUGAAGGCUCAAAUCCAAUCUAAGAUUUUUAUGGCUUUCCAUAGUUGACCAAUUUAUGCGACUCAUGGAGGGAUCAAUUACAGGAUAAAAGAUUGUAGUUGGUUAAUCAACUGUUCAAAUUACAGAGAUCAUGAUUUGUCGUGCCGAAGAUGUUAGGAAUUUUUGUUCCACAGCAUGAUCAAGAAAAGACAACAAAUUAUCAUAAAAACCAUUAACAUUUAACAGACCUAUGAGUUUAUAGUGAAUGUGCAGUUGGGCCCAAGAGGAAAUAUGAAAGAUCUCUUCCAAAUGUCCAGACCUCCUGGUAAGGCAAUGAAGGCAUCAACAUGGUUACAUUGUAUUCAGUCGAUCAGACAUUGUGGACUUGUAGUUCCUCUCCAAUUAUUUUUUCAAUGAUGUCCCUUUUUGCUAAAGCUUUGGGGACGACCCUCAAAACUUGAUUACCUCCUAAAAAUAUAGCUAUUGACACACCCCCAUUCACUAAAUGAAUCUUUCUCUCAGCUAGUACCUGACCAAGAUGAUUUGCUGAUUCUAAAAACUCCUUUUCUUUCCCAGGAUUAGAUCCACUGAAAACACAAAUAUUUCUUAUGUGAUGACUUGAGGAACCUGCCAUUUCUACACACUUCUACAUCUGUUCAAUGUAUGAGUUGAGUAGAAAUGAAGGGAAGAAAGAGAAGAUUUUAUAGAUGAGAAAUUAAAAAUGCAAUCAUACCACCUAUAUGUAGACCAAUUAUAGUCUCAUUCUCUCUCUCUCUCUAUUGAUUUUUUUUUUUAAUUUUAAAAAAGCAUGAGUAUGUACAUGUAGUUGUGAUUGUGGCUCACAUCUUCCCUUAGUUUUACAUCCAAGAAUGGCUUAAAUGCCCUCUAUGGGCCAGGGAUAAGCUUCCCAUCCAGUUCUUAAAAACUGGCAAACAAGGUCUUUUUUAGUCAGAUUCCCAAGACUAUGUUGAGCAUGUUUUUUAUGGAAUUAUGGCCAUAAAUCAUGAAUCACACAAUGAACAUCUCCACUAGGGUGCAUCUCAAGAGUCAAUAGAAGAUUAUCUAAAGACCCCUUACUCAGGCCAUCCUUAAUGAAUUGUAUUUUAUCUUCAUGGUUUACAGAUACUAUUUCUAAAGAAUGACAUGUUGCAUUACAAGUCCAUCUGGCACAUCUGUGACAUACUUUUAGUCGUUUUGCAUAUGUUUCUUCGCAAAAGUGCUUUUACCUGUUCCAAGCAUGUAUGAAAUGAAAGAAUUGGAGGACUCACCUGAUAAUCGGACCUUUGCUUCAAUCAGCCAGUGAAUAUCUUCAGGAAUUCCAUGAUUCAUUAAGAACCUCAAUCUUUCACACCUAGCAUGGUAAAUUUUUGCAAUCGCAUUUGGAGGCAAAGCGGGAAAAUACUUUUUCAAUUUUUCAAGAGUAGUGUCCAUUUUCAAAUGAAAAUUAGAGACGAGAUGCAAAGAAAGGAGAAAGAGCAAAGAAUUGCAUAAUUACAUACACAUAUAUCAGUUAUCAUGGGAAACUGAAAGAAUCGACUUAAGAGUCACAUAGUACCGUUAUCUGUCAUUUGAUCGGGGUGAGAGAAACUAGCAAAAUAGAAGUCACACUGAAAAGAAACACAAAAACAAUGUGAGAAAAAGAAUCAAUCUUUAUAUACAGGAUCACCCAAUUUAAUAGAGUCAUUUUCAAUUGAAAGAUUGUCAAAGUAAACUUUCAAACGAUGUCCAUUUACCUUGAAAACAUUACCAUUUUUUGGAUUCUCGAUAUCAUAGGCCCCAUAUGGAUACACAUGUUUCACAAUAAAAGGACCGCUCCAUCUUGAUCUUAGUUUUCCAGGAAAUAAAUUGAAUCAAGAAUUAUAAAGCAAGACUUUUUGACCAACAUUGAAUGUUUUUCUCAAUAUUUUCUUGUCAUGAAACUCUUUGAUUCUUGUUUUAUGGCCGAAGAAGAUUUUCUCAAAUUUUUGGCUUGUUUAGAAAACUUGACCGAAGAAGAUAACCAGUCAAUUCAUAAUGAGAAUAAUCGUGUUAGAACACUUGUACCCACUUGUAUAAGAACAAGUGCAUUGAAUAAGAACAAGUGCACCAUCAUGUAUAAUUUUUCCUCCAGAUGCAUCUAAUUUUAAUUUUAAGCCAAGUAUCAUUAAAAUUUUACCCACUUUUCAUGGCUUAGAUCUAGAAAAUCCAAACUUGCAUUUGAGAGAAUUUAAAGAAGUUUGUAACACUUAUAAUGACUUAAAUUGUAGUAUGAAUACCAUCAGAUUAAAGCUUUUUCCCUUUUUCAUUAAAAGAUAAAGCUAAAACAUGGCUAUAAAAUCUUAGGUCAGGAUCUAUUCGUGCUUGGGAUGAAAUGCAACAACAGUUUUUAAAGAAGUUUUUCCCUUCUCAUAGAAUAAACUAUUUCAAAAGAUAAAUUGCCACUUUCACUCAAAAACCAAGAGAAAUAUUUUGCAAGUGUUGGGAUAGGUAUAAAGACUUGCUUAAUACAUGUCCUCAUCAUGGUUUUGAAACAUGGAGAUUGGUUUUCACUUUUUUAUGAAGGGUUAACACUUAAAGAUAGACAAAUGGUGGAAUUGAUGGGUAAUAUAACUUUUGAAGAUAAAGACCCUGAUGAAGUAAUGAAGUACCUAGUACAGGCAUUUGUGAGGCACUAGGUAAAAUUCAACCUCAUACAUCUAGUGGAGGCAUGUACAACCUUAGGGAAGAUCAUGAUAUCCAAGCCAAAUUUGCAUCCUUAGCUAGAAAAGUCGAGGCACUGGAAUUGAAAAAGAGUGGUUAAUUAAAAUCUAUUCUAGAAAUUGUGUGUCAAAUUUGUGAAACUAAUGAACACUGAACCAAUAAGUGUCCAACUUUGCCUUCUUUUAAGGAAUGUCUCCAUGAACAAGCCAAUGCUUCAAACAAUUUCCAAAGGCUAAAUCAUAACCCAUACUCAUAAACGUACAACCUUGGUUGGAGAAUUCACCUAAAUUUUAGUUGGAAGAGUGGUAACAAUAAUUCAUAAACUUCACAACCACCAUUUUAAGCACAACAUAAUUUUCAAAAUUCUCAUGAAUAUGCACCUCCUUAUACUCCCCUUCCUAAAAGAAAUCUUGAGGAAACUUUGCAUGCAUUCAUUGAAAAGCAAGAGACAAGCAACACUCAAAAUGCUCAAACUAUGGCUGAUUUGAUAGAUACUCUUGCAAAAUUCACAUCUACUCCCUGUUUUUAGGAGAAAGGUAAGUUUCUAUCUUAACCACAACAAAAUCCUAAAUGGUAAUACAAUUCUAGUGCGAGUAGCUUCGGAAGCCAAUAUAUGGAUUGAGUCAAAUCAAUCACUACUCUCCAAAAUGGUAAGGUUAUUGAAAAACCUAUUCUUGAACCUUGUGAGAAAGAUGACGAGUUAAUCUCUGAGGGUAAGGAAAGGGUUGAACCUGAACAUUGCAAGGAAAAGACUGAUUCCCCAUCAGCACUUUCAUUUCCUCAUGCCAUGUCCAAACAAAGAAAAGUUAAUCACAAUUAUGAAAUCUUGGAAAAUUUCAAGCAUGUAAGGAUCAAUAUACCUAUGUUGGAUGCUAUCAAACAUGUACCUUCUUAUGCUAAAAUUUUGAAAGACUUAUGCACCGUGAAGAGAAAAUUGAAUGUGAAAAAGAAAGCCUUUUUAGCCGAACAAGUAAGUGCCAUUCUUCAAAACAAUAAUGCUUUGAAAUAUAAAGACCCUGGUUGUCCAACAAUUUCAUGCUUUAUUGGAUAACAUAAAAUUAAAAGAGCUUUACAUGAUUUUAGAGCUAGUGUGAAUUUACUUCCAUAUUCAGUUUUUCAAAGUCUUAAUCUAGGUGUGUUAAAACCAACUUCGGUAAAUUUUUUACUUGUUGAUAGAUCUGUAAAAAUUCCUAGAAGAAUAGUUGAAAAUGUGUUAGUAUAAGUUGAUAAAUUCAUUUAUCUUGUGGAUUUAAUUGUCUUGGAUACACAACCUGUUGAAGCAUGUAAUUCAAUUCCAUUUAUUUUAGGACAUCCAUUUCUUGCAACUCUAAUACAUUGAUUAAUUGUAGGAAUGGAGUUAUCUUUUGGAAACAUGACAUUGAAGAUGAAUGUUUUUAACAUUUGCAAGCAACCUAGAGAUGAUAAUGAUUUAUAGGAAGUGAACUUUAUUGAAAAAUUAGUUUAUGAUCAAUUUGAAAAAAACUUCAAGUGAAACUAAGUUUAAUGAAUCUGAAUAUUUGCAAAUGGUUUAUUUUCAGGAAGAAUCAAAGGCAAAUAGUUGGAGAUCAAAAAUUGAGGAAUUGCCACCACGAUCAAUUGAGUCCAUACCUUCAAGUGUUCAACCACCAAAACACGAUUUGAAGCCAUUACCAUUUAAUCUCAAAUACUCCUUUUAGGGAGAAAAUAAAACUUUUCCGGUAAUAAUUUCUUCCAAACUUAAUGCUCAUCAAGAAGGUAAGUUAUUAUAGACUCUGAAAAUGCAUAAAAAUGCAUUAGGAUGGACCAUAACUGACAUAAGAAGAAUUAAUCCUUUGAUUUGCACACACAUAAUUUAUUUAGAGGAAAAUGCUAAACCCUCUAGAAAAAUGCAACGAAGGCUCAAUCCUAAUAUGAAAGAAUUAUUAAGAAAUGAAGUCAUUAAGCUUCUAGAUAAUGGAAUCAUUUAUCCUAUUUCUGAUAGUAAAUGGGCAAGUCCUACCUAAGUUGUACCUAAAAAGUCUAGAGUUACUGUGAUAACAAAUGAGAAAAAUGAGUUAAUUCUAACUAGGACUAUUACUGGUUGGUGCAUGUGCAUUGAUUAUAGGAAACUUAAUUCAAUGACUAGAAAAGAUAAUUUUUCUUUACCUUUCAUGGAUCAAAUUCUACAAAGAGUUGCAGGUCAUGAAUUUUAUUAUUUUAUAGAUGGUUAUUCAGGUUACAAUCAAAUUGAAAUUGCAUUUGAAGAUCAAGAGAAAACUACUUUCACAUGUCUAUUCAGUAUGUUUGCAUACCGAAGGAUGCCUUUUUGAUUAUGUAAUGCACCAGCCACAUUUCAAAGAUGCAUGCUUAGCAUAUUCAGUGAUAUGGUUGAACGUUUUCUUGAAGUUUUUAUGGAUGACUUUUUUGUUUUUGGUGAUUCAUUUGAUGAUUGUUUAACUAACUUGGAAAAAGGUUUUGAACAGGUUUGAAGAGAAGAAUAUUAUGUUGAAUUGGGAAAAACAUUAUUUUAUGGUAACAAACAACAUUAUACUUGGUGAUUAGUACUUAAAAGUGUAUAUUUAUCAAGGUUUUAUAUCAUCAUUUUGCACUUAAAGUAUCAAUAACUCCUUAACUAAAGCAUGUUUUAUAAUAACAAGUCUAAUACUAUAAAAUGCCCUAAUAAAUGGUAAAUGUUCAUCUUAAAUGCAGGCCUAUCACAUAAAUCAAAGGAUUGAUUGAUGAAUUCAACUACUGAAAUUUGUGAAGAUAAAGAGAGGGUGAAACUUAGAAAAGAGAUGUUGGUGCAGUCCAAACUGGAACACUGUUCGGUAAUUGGGUCAUAUCUUGAGUUUUAGAUGUCCAAAUGACCUCAUAUUUUUACACAGAUUCAGUAAGACAUAGGCCUAUAACUUUCAUGUUUUCAUCAAGAUCUAAGAAGGCCGUUUUCAAGUUCAAAUUAUAGCAACAACGGAGAAGUCCGAAUUGUCCUGUAGCCCGAACACUGUUCAGUGUUUGGCCCAUAUAUGGAGUUCUAGAAGUCCAAAUGACCUCCAUUUUUUUUUAUUGGAAAGCUGAGUCAAUUUCCUAAAACUUUCAUGUUUCCAGUGGAGCCAGUUCGGAUGGUAGCAUUUUUGUUUUAUUUAGACAAGAAGAUAAGGAUUUUCACCAAGUCAAAAGUUGGCCACACACUCAACAAUUAGUCAUCAAAUCAAUAAUUCUAAAUUUUGGCCUAUAAAAGGAGGUAUUUGCCAUGCAUUUGGGGGCUUGAUUGUUCAGAUCAAGUUCAUGCUCUUUAUUUCUCGCUUUAUAUUUUUUUUGUAAUUUUUAAGUUUUGCUUUCAUUAAUAUCUUGUUUAUGCUUUUCAUUUCCUUAGUUAACUUGUAUCUUAUUUAUGUUCUUAUUUUGUUUAUUUAUGUUUUUCUUCUUCAUUAUGUUUAGCUAAGUUUAUUAUGUCAAGGUGAAAAGGUAACACUAAUGGUGUAAGAAUAAGUAUAGUGUAAACUCAACAUGGACCUUAAUGUUUAAUAUUAACAUGUCUUAUCUUUUUAUCUUACUAAUUCUUAAUACCUUGCUUGUUAAAUGGUUAAUCUAGAUUUGUGUUGUAUAACACUUGGUACAACAAAUGCUUGGCACUCUCAUGUCUUAUCUUUUUAUCUUACUAAUUCUUAAUACCUUGCUUGUUAAAUGGUUAAUCUAGAUUUGUGUUGUAUAACACUUGGUACAACAAAUGCUUGGCACUCUCAUAGCCCAACCGUAUGGUAUUACCUACACCUGGGCUAUGAAAGGAACUUGAUUUGUUGUUAACAACAAUUAACAUCAUGAAUUCCUGACAAUAUUUAAAAGUUUGGUGUUAUGUAAAUAAGAUAAUUAAUAUGAUCAUGUUAAUAAUUUAUAAUGAGUUAUUAAUGACAGAUCAUCCGAUUGGAAGUUCCUUCGUGUGUGGUUUUCAAAUUGAGUAAUAAGAUUUUAUACUAUACUUCUUUGAAAUACCAUUAGUGGAUCCUCUAACCUUGAUAUUUAUUUUUAUCAUUGUUUAAUCCUUAUAUUAAUCUUUCAUCUCAAAGUUCUCAUUAAUUUCUUCAUCUUCUUCUUUUAUUAUUAUUAUUAUUACUACUACUACUAGUAUUAUUAUUAUUACUAUUACUAUUAUUAUUAUUAAUAUUAUUACUAUUACUAUUACUAUUAUUAUUAUUAUUAUUAUUAUUUACAUUCUGUUUAUAUUAUAUAAUAUAUAUCUUUGAUCUUUUCAUAAACUCAGUAUAUAGGCUGGAAGCCUGUGACCCGAUCUUUUAGAUCAUUCUCAGGUAUAACAACGCCACGUACUGAGUAUUAUUAUUAUUGUUGUUGUUGUUGUUGUCUUGUUAUUUAUAAUUUAUACAGCUAACCUCUAUGUGGUUCGACCCCGGUCUUGCCGGGUUAUUUAUUACUUCGACACUCCUGCACUUAGGAGAAGACAUCAAUCUUUUGGUCGUGUCAAGUUUUUGGUGCCGUUGCCGGGGAGGUAAAUUCUUGUAUAAAUUAUAAUAUUUAUUUUAUUUUUUCUUUUCACUUUUCUUGUAUCUAACUUUGUUUCUUUUGUUUUGUUUCUUUUUCUUUUCUUUUCUUCUUCCUUUUCUUCUCUUUCUACACGUGCAUGAGAGUUUGGUCACGUACAUUAAAUGAUAAACUUUGUAAGGUAUCCUUAUCUUCUUUAGAAAACAUGGAUGAAGAGGAUAAUCAGUCGCUUUAUAAUGAGAAUAAUGAGAAUAAUCGGGUUAGAACACUUAGAGACUACAUGAAUCCAACAAGAACAAUUGCUCGAUCAUGUAUAUUUUUUCCUCUUGAUGCAUCUCAUUUUAAUUUUAAGCCAGACAUUAUUAAAAUUUUACCUUCUUUUCAUGGCUUAGAUCUAGAAAAUCCAUACUUGCAUUUGAGAGAAUUUCAAGAAGUUUGUAACGCUUAUAAUGACUCAAAUUUUAGCAUGAACACCAUCAGAUUAAAGCUUUUUCCUUUUUCUUUAAAAGAUAAAGCUAAAACAUGGCUACAAAAUUUGAGACCAGGAUCUAUUCGUGCUUGGGAUGAAAUGCAACAACAAUUUUUAAAGAAGUUUUUUUCAUCUCACAGAACAAACUCUUUCAAAAGACAAAUCACCACUUUCACUCAAAAACCAGGAGAAACAUUUUACCAAUGUUGGGAUAGGUAUCGAGACUUGAUUAAUGCUUGCCCUCAUUAUGGUUUUGAAACAUGGAGAUUGGUUUCAUAUUUUUAUAAAGGAUUAACACCUAAAAGAGGCAAAUGGUGGAAUUGAUGUGCAAUGGAACUUUUGAAGAUAAAUACCCUGAUGAAGCAAUGGAGUACCUAGACUUGCAAGUUGAAAAUGCUCAAAAUUGGGACACUACGGGCACUUAUGAGGCACCGGGUAAAACUCAACCUCAUACAUCUAAUAGAGGUAUGUAUAACCUUAGGGAAGAUCAUGUCCUCCAAUCCAAGUUUGCAUCUUUAGCUAGAAAAGUCGAGGCACUAGAAUUGAAAAGGAGUGGUCAAUUAAAAUCUGUUCAAGACAUUGUGUGUCAAAUCUGUGAAACAAAUGAACAUGCAACCAAUGAUUGUCCAACUUUGCCUUCUUUCAAGGAAUGCCUCCAUGAACAAGCCCAUGCUUUAAACAGUUUCCAAAGGCCUAAUCAUAACCCAUACUCGCAAACAUACAAUCCUGGUUGGAGAAAUCACCCAAAUUUUAGUUAGAAGAGUAAUAACAAUAAUGCACAAACUUCACAACCAUCGUUUCAAGCACACUAUAAUUUCCAAAAUUCUCAUGGAUAUGCACCUCCUUAUGCUCCAUCUCCUAAAAGCAAUCUUGAGGAAACAUUGCAUUCAUUCAUUGAAAAGCAAGAGAUAAUCAACACUCAACUUGCUCAAAGCAUGACAGGUUUUAAAGAUACUCUUGCAAAGUUAACAUCUGCUGUCAGUUUUCAAGAGAACGGUAAGUUUCCAUCUCAACCACAGCAAAAUCCAAAGGAGAAAUACAAUGUAAAUGCAAGUAGUUCUAGAAGUCAACACAUGGAUCAAGUCAAAUCAGACAUCACUCUUCGCAGUGGUAAGGUUAUUGAAAAAUCCACUCUUGAACCUUGUGAGAAAGAUGAUGAAUCAAUCUCUGAGGGUAAGGAAGGGGUUGCAUCUGAACAUAGCAAAGAAAAGAUUGAUUUCCCACCAGCACUUCCAUUUCCUCAUGCCAUGACCAAACAGGAAGCAAUCGAUGAUGAAAAAGGCACCGAAAAUGUUGUCCUGGAUCAUUUGUCAAAGUUGACAAUAGAUUCAACAUCUGAUAUCACACCAAUCAAUGAUUACUUUCCUGACGAAUCUUUACUUUCUCUUAGUUCAAUGCCUUGGCUUGCUAAAAAUAACAAUUUUCUUGCUUCAGGAUUUUUGCCAGCUCAUUUGGAUAACCAAGAUAAAAGAAAGUUUUUGAGCGACGUGCAAAACCUUUAUUGGGAUGACCCCUACUUAUUCAAAUAUUGUCCUGAUCAAAUAUUUCAAAGAUGCAUUCCCGACAAUGAGGUAAGUAGUGUCAUUAAAUUUUAUCAUUCUGAAGCAUGUGGGGAUCAUUUCUCGUCAAAAAAGAUGAUUGCAAAAAUCUUACAAAGUGGAUUUUACUAACCCACCAUGUUCAAGGACUCAUAUGCAUUCUGCAAAACCUGUGAAAAUUGUCAAAAGGUAGGAUUUAUUUCAAAACAUAGAGAGUCUUUAGUUAAUCUUCUAUUGACUCUUAAGUCUCAUCAUAAUGGAGAUGUGCAUCAUGCAAUUUAUGAUUUAUAGCCACAAUUCCAUAGAGAACAUGCUCAACUCAGUCUUGGGAAUCUGACUAAAAAAGACCUUGUUUGCCAGUUUUUAAGAAAACUAGAUAGGAAGCCUAUCCCUGACCCAUAGAGGACGUUUAAGCCGUUCUUGGACGUAAAACCAAGAAAUGAUGUGAGCCACACUCACAACUACCUGUAUAUACACAUGCCUUUUCAAAAUAAAUAAAUAGAGAGAGAGAGUGUGUGUGUGUGUGUGUGAGACUACGACUGGCCUACAUAUAGGUGGUAUGAUUGCAUUUUCAAUUUCUCAUCUAUAAAUUCUUCUCUUCCUUCCCUUCAUUUCUACUCAACCCAUACGUUCAUCAAAUACAAAAGUGUGUAGAAAUGGCAAGUUCCUCAAGCAAUCACAUAAAUAAUAUUUGUGUUUUCGGUGGAUCUAGUCCUGGGAAAGAAAAAGAGUUUUUAGAAUCAGCAAAUCAUCUUGGUCAUGUACUAGCUGAGCGAAAGAUUCAUUUAGUGUGUGGAGGAGGCAGCCUUGGGUUAAUGGGGGUUGUCCAGUCCUGGGAAAGAAAAAGAGUUUUUUAGAAUCAGCAAAUCAUCUUGCAUUUUUAGGAGGUAGUCAAGUUUUGGGGGUUGUCCCCAAAGCUUUAACACAAGGGGACAUCAUUGGAAAAACAAUUGGAGAGGAACUACAGGUCCCCACAAUGUCUGAUCGACUGAAUUUAAUGUUUAACCAUGCUGAUGCCUUCAUUGCCUUUCCAGGUGGUCUAGGCACAUUGGAAGAGACCUUUCAUAUUUCCUUUUCGACCCAAUUGCACAUUCACCAUAAACCCAUAGGUCUGUUAAAUGUUAAUGGUUUUUAUGAUAAGUUGUUGUCUUUUCUUGAUCAUGUUGUGGAACAGGAAUUUCUAACAUCUUCAGCACGACAAAUCAUAAUCUCUGUUGCUACUGCUGAACAAUUGAUUGACCAAUUACAAUCUUUCAUCCCUGUAAUAAAUCCCUCUAUGAGUCGUAUAAAUUGGUCAACUAAGGAAAGCCGUAAAAAGCUUAGAUUGGAUUUGAGCCUUCGUUUGUAAAAACUGUGUCUUUUGGUUUUAUUAUCGUGUUUUGUUGUUUCUUAUAUUUGUUUAAGUGUGUUUCAUGUUUGUCAGUGUUCGUUAUUUCAGGUGAUGUCUUCUAUACUCUAUCUUUCUACCUUAAGACAUUGAGGACAAUGUCUCAUUUUGGUUGGGGGGAAAGGGUAGUAGUUGAUAUUUAGAAAAAAAAAAUCUUGUGUUUUCUAUUUCAUAAACUAUUUGCAAAACUGUUGUUACUAGGAUGACAGAGUAAAAGGAGUUCUUUUGUUAAAGUGACUCUUAAGACGCAUCUUAGUAAACAUUCUUAACAAGGUCUAUCAGAAUACUUCUUGAAAUAUUCAGGUUUACAAACUCUCGUAUUGGUAGCACUUGAUUCUGCUCAUAUGCUCAUUUAACAAGUAUUUUUAAAUCUUCAUUUUCACACACACACUUUAACAUAUGAUUGUGGGUUGCACAUUGGAUUAUUACAUUAUUUAUGUUCUUUCGUUAAAGGUAACAACUAAGGGAAAGGGAUAGUACAUAAUUUGCUAAAAAAAAAUAAAAUAAUGAUAAUAAAAAGGUAGAUAAGUUUGGUUUCGUAGCCUCCCUAACCUAAGCAAUUAAGCUCGAAAGGGUGUUUUAACACUUAAUACCCUAAAGUCAACUGACUUGGGAGCUAUUGGCCCAAUACUUGUUACAUGGGUUGAGGAGAAAAGCUUAAGGGAAUCAAACAUUGCACUAUCUACGUAUCAGUAUCUGCAACCCGAGUUGCUAAGCUCGUAGGGGUGUCUCAACACCUAAUGCCCUAAGACCAACUGGUCUGGGAGUCAUGAGCCUAAAACUCGUUACAUGGGUUAAAGAUACAUUGUGUUUCAAGUUGUAUGUGUAUAUAAAUAAAUAAAAAAAAAGAAAAAGAAAAAAAAUAAUAAUCCCAACCUAAGGAAGUUAGCCUUAAAUAUUAGAAUAAAAAUUUGUUUUUCUUCCAAGUAAAGCCCCAUAACUAUAUGUUGAUAUUUUGAGCACAAAAGAAAGGUUUAGUAAUAUCUUGUUUAAGAGGUAUUGAGCAGAUAUAUGAAUUUAAUGAGAGUUUGUUUAUCUAGAUAAAUUAAAGUAAGUUGAAUGAUGAAUGCCUUGCUUUAUGGAAUUUGCAAAUUGUUUUUCUAUUUUAAUGCUUUGAUUACUAAGGACUAGUAAUAAGCUGGUUGGGGUGUGUGAUUAGUACUUAAAAAUGUAUAUUUAUCAAGGUUUUAUAUCAUCAUUUUGCACUUAAAGUAUCAAUAACUUCUUAACUAAAGCAUGUUUAUAAUAACAAGUCUAAUACUAUAAAAUGCCCUAAUAUAUGGUAAAUGUUCAUCUUAAAUGCAGGCCUAUCACAUAAAUCAAAGGAUUGAUUGAUGAAUUCAACUACUGAAAUUUGUGAAGAUAAAGAGAGGGUGAAACUUAGAAAAGAGAUGUUGGUGCAGUCCAAACUGGAACACUGUUCGGUAAUUGAGUCAUAUCUCGAGUUCUAGAUGUCCAAAUGACCUCACAUUUUUACACAGAUUCAGUAAAACAUAGGCCUACAACUUUCAUGUUUUCAUCAAGAUCUAAGAAGGCCGUUUUCAAGUCCAAAUUAUAGCAACAACGGAGAAGUCCGAAUCUAUACUACAGCUCGAACACUGUUUCAAAUAUUGUCCUGAUCAAAUAUUUCAAAGAUGCAUUCCCGACAAUGAGGUAAGUAGUGUCAUUAAAUUUUAUCAUUUUGAGGCAUGUGGGGGUCAUGUAUCAUCAAAGAAGACAAUUGUAAAAAUCUUACAAUGUGGAUUUUAUUGGCCUACCAUAUUCAAGGACACACAUGCAUUCUGCAAAACUUGUAAAAAUUGUCAAAAGUUAGGAUCUAUUUUAAAACGUCACAUGAUGCCUUUAAAUCAUAUUCUUGUCAUCGAAAUAUUUGCCUGUUGGGGUAUAGAUUUUAUGGGUCCAUUUCCUCCAUCAAUUGGUUUUGGAUACAUAUUAGUCGCAGUAGACUAUGUUUCAAAAUAGAUAAAGGCAAUUCCAAGUCAUAACAAUAAUUAUAAAAUAAUGAUUAAGUUUUUGAAAGAAACUAUUUUGAUUUGAUUUGGAAUCCCUCAGGCCAUGAUAAGUGAGGUGGAACACAUUUCUACAACAAGCCAUUUGAGUCUUUAAUGAAGAAAUAUGGAAUCACAUACAAAGUUGCCACCCCUUAUCGCCAUCAGACAAGUAGAACUUGCUAAUAGAGAGAUCAAACAUAUCUUGGAAAAAAUAGUAAACCCUAAUCGGAAGGAAUGGUCUUUAAGACUUAAUGAUACACUUUAGGCUGCUUUUUAAAAUAUCAUUAGGUAUGUCACCUUAUAGGCUGGUUUAUGGAAAACCUUGUCACUUACUUGUGAGACUUGAACACAAAUCUUAUUGGGUUGUUAAAGCUUUCAAUUCAAACCUUGGUGAUGCUAGCUAGCUGCAUAAGUCACAAAUUAAUGAGCUUGAGGAAAUAAGAAAUGAUGCAUAUUAGAAUUCAAAAAUUCAUAAAGUAAGAAUCAAAGAGUUUCAUGACAAGAGAAUAUUGAGAAAAACAUUUGAUGUUGGUUAAAAAAUGUUGCUUUAUAAUUCUCAACUCCAUUUAUUUCCUGGAAAACUAAGAUCAAGAUGAAGUAGUCCAUUUAUUAUGAAACAUUUGUACCCUAAUAGGGCCUUUGAUAUUUGAGAAUCCAAAGAGCAAUAAUGUUUUUAAGGUAAAUGGACAUCGUUUGAAAGCUUACUUUGAUGAUUUCCUAGUGAAAAUGAAUCCAUUGGUUUGAAUGAUCCUGUAUAUAAAGGUUGAUUAUUUUGUUUUUGUAUUUUUUUUUGGUGCGAGUCUUGUUUUGCUAGUCUUUCUCCAACCUCGGUCAAAUGACGGAUAAGGGUACUCUAUGACUCUUAAGUUGGUUCUUUCAGUUUCCCAUGAUAACUGAUAUCGUGUAUAUAUUUGUUCAAUUCCUUGUUCCUUCUCUUUUCUUUGUAUCUCUUUUCUACUUCUCAUCUAAAAAAUGGACACCACUUUUAAAAAAUUGAAAAAGUAAUUUCUCGCUUUGCCUCAAAAUGCGAUCACAAAAAUUUACCGUGUUAGGUGUGAAAGAUUAAGGUUGUUAAUGAACCAUGGAAUUCUUGAAGAUAUUUGCUGGAUGAUUGAAACAAAUGUUCGAUUAUCAGGUGAGUCUUCCAAUUCUUUUAUUUCAUACAUGCCUAAGACAGGUAAAAACACUUUUGCAAAGAAACAUCGUAUGUAAAUGAUUGAAAGCCUGUCACCAAUGUGCCAGACGGACUUGUAAUGCAUAAUGUUAUUUUUUAGGAAUGUUAUCUAUAAACCGUGAAGAUAAAAUACAAUUCAUUAAGGAUGGUCUGAGUAAGGAGUCUUUAGAUAAUCUUUUAUUAACUUUUGAGACACAUCCUAGUGGAGAUGUGCAUCAUGUAAUUUAUGAUUUAUGGCCUCAUUUUCAUAAAGAACAUGAUUGACUUAGUCUUGGGAAAUUGACUAAAAAAGACCAUUAUUGUCAGUUUUUAAGAAAACUAGAUGGGAAGCUUAUCCCCGACCCAUAGAAGGCGUUUAAGCUGUUUUUGGACAUAAAACCAAGGGAAGAUGUGAGCUACAAUCAUAACUACUUGUACAUACACAUGUUGUUUUUUUAAAAAAAAAGAAGGAGAAAAGAGAGAGAGAGAGAGAGAGAGAGAGAGAGAGACUCCAGCUAGCCUGCAUAUAGGUGAUAUGAUUGCAUUUUCAAUUUCUCAUGUAUACAAUUUUCUCUUUCCCUUCAUUUUUACUUAACCCAUACAUUUCAAUAGUAUAGAAAAGUGUAGAAAUGGCAGGAUCCUCAGUUUCUAAAAUAAAAAUAUUUGUGUUUUUGGUGGAUCCUGUCCUGGGAAGACAAAAAGUUUUUAGAAUAAGCAAAUCCUCUUGGUCGAGUACUGGCUGAGAAAAAUAUUCAUUUUGUGUAUGGAGGAGGCAACCUUGAGUUAAUAGGGAGUGUGUCAACAACUGCUUUUUUAGGCGGCAGUAAAGUUUUGGGUGUCAUUCCAACAGCUUUGGCCAAAAUGAACAUCAUUGGAAAAACAGUUAGAGAGGAACUACAAGUCUCCACAGUGUCUGAACGGCUGUCUAUAAUGUUUGAUCAUGUUGCCGCCUUCAUUGCCUUACUAGGUGGUCUGGGUACAUUAUAAGAGAUAUUUCAUAUUUCCUCUUGGGCCUAGUUGAACAUUCACCAUAAACCUAUAUGUUUGGUAAAUGUUAAUGGUUUUUAUAAUAAUUUACUGUCUUUUCUCGAUCAUGCUGUGGAAUAACAAUUUCUAACAUUUUCAGCAUGACAAAUCCUCAUCUCUACUACUACUGCUUAGCAAUUGAUUGAUGAACUAUAAUCUUUCAUCUCUGUAGUUGAUUCCUUUAUGAGUUGAAUCAAUUGGUCAAUCACGUAACACAGUAAAAAGCUUAAAUUUGAUUUGAGCUUUAGUUUGUAAAAACUUGUGUCUUUUGGUUUUAUUAAUAGAAUAUUAUUUGUGUUUUGUUCUUUUUUAUAUUUGUUUCAGUGUGUUUCAGGUUUGUUAGUAGUCGCUGUUUUAGGUGAUGUCUUUUAUACUCUAUCUUUCUACCUUAGGACAUUAAGGACAAUGUCUUGUUUUGGUUGGGAGGAGGGGAAGGUAGUUUAUAUAUAUAAAAAAAAAACAAAAACAAAAACAAAAAUAAAUUGAUAAUAAAAUGAAUAAAUAAAAAAGUAGAUAAGUUUGGUUUCGUAGCCUCCUUGACUUAAGCAGUUAAGCUUGAAGGGGUGUUUUAACACCUAGUACCCUAAAGUCAAUUAACUUGGGAGCUAUUGGCCCAGUGCUUAUUACAUGGGUUGAGGAGAAAGCUUAAGGGAAUCAAUCAUUGCAUUAUAUACAUUUUAGUAUCUGCAACCCGAGUUACUAAACUCAAAGGGGUGUCUUAACACCUAAUGCCCUAAGACAAUCUGGUCUAGGAGUCAUUCGCUUAAAGCUCAUUAUAUGGGUUAAGGAUGCAUUGUGUUUCAAGUUAUCAAAAUAAUAAUAAUAAUAGUCUCAACCCAAGAAAGUUAACCUUAAACAUUAGAAUAAAAUUUUGAAUUCUUCUAAGAAAAGCCCCAUGGCUAUGUUUUGAUAUAUUAAGCACAAAAUGAAGGUUUAUUAAUAUCUUGUUUAGGAAGUAUGAAGCAGAUAUAUAAAUUUAAUGAGAGUUUUUUUUAUUUGGAUAGAUUAAUGGAAGUUGAAUGAUGAAUGGCUUGCUUUUGAAUGUCACAAAUUGUGUUAACACUUUAACAACUAGGGAUUAGUAAUAAGCUGGUUGGGUGGUGUGAUUAGUACUUAAAAGUACAUUCUCAUUAAGGCUUUACAUCAUCAUAUUGCACCUAAAGUAUUAUUAAAUUCCCCAACUUAAGCAUGAUUUAUAGUAACAAGUCUUAUAAUAUAAGAUAGCUUUAGUUUAUGGUAAAUACUCAUUUUAAAUGCAGGUUUAUCCCACAACUCAAAGGAUUGAUUGAUGUGAUUAACUAUUGAAAGUGAAGAGACAAAGAGAGGACUAAGAUUAGAGAAGAGAUGCCGGUUUAAUUCAAAUUGGAAUACCAUUCGGUUAUUGGAUCAUACCUAGAGUUUUAGACCUUGGAUUUAGGCCUGGUUUAUUUUGAUUGAAAGCUAAGAUAUAGGCCUAAAACGUUCAUGAAGAGUCCAAGAUUCAAAUCUUUCAUUUUCAAGUCCAACUCUUAGCAUCAAAAGAGACGUCUGAAUCUAUCAUACAGCUCAGGCACUAUUUAGUGUUCAACUCAUAUCUCGAGUUCUAGAAGUCCAAAUGAGCUCUGGUUUUUUUGGUUGAAAAGCUGAAACAAUUUCCCACAACUUUCAUGAAGACUAUGUGCUCAAAUUAUGAUGUUAGCAAUGAUGUUUUGGCCAGCCAACAAUGUCAAUAACCAGCCACCAAGUCAAUGGUUGGCCACCAACUAAAUAGUUAGUCAUCUAAUCAAUAGUUUCGAAUUUUAGCCUAUAAAAGGAGGCAUUUGCCAUGUAUUUAGGCAUCCUGUUUUUGUGAUCAAGAUCAUUUUCUUGCUUUCUCUCUUUUGUGAUGUUUAAGUUUUCUUUCAUGUUAUAUUAAUAUCUUGUUUAUGCCUUUUCGUUUCCUUUCCUAUGCCUAGUUAACUUAUAUGAUAAUAAUAUUCUUAUCUUGUUUAUUCAUAUUUAUUUUCUUCAUAAUGUUUAGCUAAGUUUAUUAUGUCAAGGUGGAAAUGUUUCAUUAAUGGUGUUAGAAUAAGUAUAAUAUAAACUCAACAUGGACUUUAAUGCUUAUAUCCAAUAAAGUUUACUAUAUGUGUCUUAUCAUUUUUAUCUUAUUCACUCUUAAUACCUUGCUUGUUAAAUAGUUAAUCUAGAUUUAUGUUGUUAACAUAAGUUAGCAUCAUGAAUACCUGACAAUAUUUACAAGUAUGAUGUUACUUAAAUAAGAUAAUAAAUAUAAUCAUGUUAAUAAUUCAUAAUGAACUAUUAAUGAUAAAUCAUCCGAUUGGAAUCUCCUUUGUGUGUGGUUUCCAGUUGAGUAAUAAAAAGAGUUUAUAUUAUACUUGUUUGAAAUACCAUUAGUGGAUUCUCUAACCUUGAUAAUUGUUUUAUCAUUAUUUAAUCCUUACAUCAAUAUCACAAAGUUCUCUUCAACUCUUUGUUUUAUUAUUAUUAUAUAUAUAUAUAUAUAUAUAAUUUGCAAAUAAUUAACCUCCCUAUGGUUCGACCCUGAUUUUGCCGGGUUAUUUAUUACUUCGACACUCCUGCACUUGGGAUAAGACAUCAAUCUUUUGAUCAUGUCACGCAUGGAGCAAAUGCUCGACCAUUGUUCCCAUCGUUCAAGGGGUUCUUAAGCAUUGUUCUUGCAGAUUCCAGAUGGCUUUGGAUUUUUUAGGGUUUAUUUUGUAAUUUUUUGAAUUGUAUUUGAUUUAUUUAGAAUUUUGUUAUUUAGGAACAAGUUGAAUGUGUAAAAUAUAGUAAAAGUGAAUGUGUGUGUUUGUAUUUUUUUCUUUAAAUGUUUUUUUUAUAAUAAAGCCACAAAGACAAAAGAAGAAUUUAAUGUUUUGAUUUGCUCACAGUUAAGGAUUAUGAACUUACAUGUAAGUCGUAUUUCUAAUAUCUAAUGAAAAGAUAACAUUUUUAAAACUUCAUUAACACAUCAAAACCACGAAGCAACUUACCUCGGAUAGGGUGUGCUAGGGGUGCUAAUACCUUCCCUAGUCACAACCAGUCCUUUACCUUUGAAUCUCUAACAAAGACCAGUACACUCAGGUUUCCUAGUAAUCCUAAAUCGAAUACUAGGUGGCGACUCUCAAAGAACCAUCAAACAACGAACGAAAAUCACCAAUAGACGUUGCGCGGAAAUGUGCGACACACUUAAUUGAACAAAUAAAAAAUUAAGGAUUGAUUUGUAAAAAAGGACUUCUUAGGUGCCAUUUUCAUUUAAAUGAAAUGGCAUGUGUUGUACAAAACGAUGCCGUUUCAUGCAUUGUUAUUCAAAAAUAGAAAAAAAGCCAGCUUAAAACAAUGUCGUUUUGGAUGGCACUGUACAUCUUGUACUUUCCCUAGACGCGCAGUAGGCAAGGGAAGAAGGUUUUUCCCCCCUUCUUUAUAGCGCUUCUCUCUCUCUCUCCCACUUGCCCAAAAACCCUGACACAACCCACACCCUCUCAUGGCCUACCACCAUGAUGAAUGGGGCAGAGGGGACAUGCCUUGAGGACGACUUUAAGGAGGCGGUUGCAUAGUGGCCGCCACAACUAUCCUACCCCUUCGCCAUGACUGGAUAGGGGUAGGGCAGCUCUCGCCCCCCCCACCCCUUACAAAGGCCACCCUUACUAGGAGGUUGGGGGGUAAAAAAAGAAAGAAAGAAAACAAAAGGCUAAAGCAAAAUGGAACGAAGCAAAAGAGAAAAGGAUAGAAAGAAAAACAAGGGAAAAAAAGGGAUGAAAAAGAAAAACAAAGAAAAAAAAGGAAAAAAAAGGAAGGAACACUCUUUGGCCUCUACCUGGAGAAGAAAAGGAACCUCCUCUCCUCCUCCCUCUUGCUAGUUAGUAGUAGUAGUCACCAUUCCUCCUAGUCGCCACCACAACAACGUCACCAAUCACGCUUCCCUCACUCAAAGUAAUCUUCUUCCUCUAUAUGUUCCAUCUUCUUACCUGCUUUCCUUCUCCAUUUCAUUUUCACCAUCACAAUUCAUGUUCUACAUAGUAACCAGUUACUUUGCUAAGCACAGUAACUAGUUAAUGGAUUUUUGGGCUGAGUCCAACCUUAUAUAAAAAAAGAAAAGUAAUAUGUUGGGUCGACAUCGGCCAAACUCUUUUGGGCCGACCUCGACCCAAUUUCUUAUGGUUUGUAUUUUUACAUUAUAAAGAUAUAAAUUUGUUAUUAAAAUAACUAUUUUUUCUCCGAAAUGUUUCGAGAACAACAUAUAGAAAAACAACAAAAAACAUGUCUUGUUUUUAAGCAUAUGGCUAAGUCUCUAAAAAAUAUAAGAAAUUUCAUAUCAUAUUUUCAUACAAAAUAAAAUUAAAAAAAAACGUGUUAGCAUGCAUUUUAGGCUUUAAUAACUAGUUUAUUAAAGCAAUGAGAACUAGGUCUAUAUUUCAAAAAUACCAAAAAAAUUAUAUUGUUUUCUUUUAAUAUCUAGGAUUACAAACUUAUAUGUAAGACGUAUUCCAGAUAUUAAAUAAAAAGGUAGUUCUUUUUUUUUUAUAUUGACAUUAGAAUAAUUAGGUUGUUACCUGAUAAGAUAAGGAUUUUCUUACUGAGUAUUAUAUUAGGUUUUGUAUUUUGGAUAUCGGUUAUCGAGUAACAAGUUUAAUUAAUAUUUGAUCGAUGAAUUAAUUAUUUCUAUUAAUUACUAAUUAACCUAUGAUGAUAUGAUCUAAUAUUGGGUUAUGUUUUUCAGGUGUCAAUAAGUGAAUAAUAGUACCAAUUAAUACAUGAUCUCUAGGAUAUUAACCAAUAAAUUUAAGUAGCCCAAGAUGGAAUGGUCUCAUAGUAGCAGGGUAUUUUGUUUUUUUUUUUCAAAGAAAAAAAAGAGAGAGAAAGUGUGGAGAGAAAUGAUAAGAAGAUAUUGGAACAUUAAUUUGAAAGAGAUGUUAGAAAUAAGAGUUCAUUGUAGUCAUGCUACUAGAAAAUGAAAAUAAAAUGAAUAAUAUGAAUUUUUCAACAUGCAAUAAGCCUUAUAUGUAGGUGUGCUCGUCAUUUUCAAAUAACCGAGGAUAGAAAGGUCAAUAAUAUAAUUGUUCUUUAAAUGUUGUUUAAUAAAUAAUGAAAUUUGACCAAAUGAAUUGGGUUACAUGUUGACCCUUUAAGUCACUCGGGUUUGAUUGGAUCAUUGUCUACUUCUGUUAAGAAGAAAAUCAAACCAAAACAAGGUUUUGGGUCAAUGAAUCACAAAUGCAUCCUGUUGGACUAGACCAAAUUUAAUGACUAUGACUUACAUAUCGUCUCAAAGAAAUUGCACUUGGAUCUAUGUUUUUUGAGGGAAAAAAUUAUUAUAAAAAUAGCAUAGUUAAUUAGUUGCAUUGUUAGGAAGGACUCAACCAUAUAAAUUAAGUUGUUCUUAACAAUACAAUUCAAUAUGUUACACUGUGAGGAAUAUCAUAAACCUAAUGAAAUAUAUAUAUUUUAUUUUAAUUUAGAAUUUUAAAUAAUUUUUUUCCGCCACAAAUCAAAAUAACUAAUUUAUUGAUGUCAUUGUAUUCUCAAUAAUUAUGAUAAUUAUAAAUGAAAAUGAUUAGUUAUAAUCAAAUUAUAUUUUAAUAGAAUUCCUUAACUUAUUAAUUAAUAAUUAUGAUAAUUAACAAUGAAAAUGAUCAGUUGUAUUCAAUUUAAAUUUUAAUAAAAUUUCUUAAUAGGUUAGUUGUAGUCAAAUUAAAUUUCAAUAGAAUUCUUUAACUUUGUAGGUUAAUUAAUAAUUAUCAAAGAAAAUAAUUAGUUGUUGUCGAUAUCAAAGAAAAAACCCAAUGAAAUAUACAAGUGCCCUUGGUCUGAACCACAAGUGACUAACUAGCAGACUAGUAAACAGCCUGUUAGAGGAAUUGAAUGAAAGCAAUUGAAUGCAGGAAGAGGGCCAGACUAGUCAACAGCCAACAGUGGCAGUUCUCCUCCUGCACGUGUGAAACUGAGGAGCCGUGACGAAUGCGGCACUCUUCAAAAUUAUCCCUGCUUCUGGAACGAAUGUUUGAUAAUGUUGUGUUGAUUGAGAGACAUUAUUUCAAAAUCUGAAAAGGAUAAAAUUGUUAAAUAAUUCUAAUUUUAUAAAUUAUUUUAAAUAAAAUAAAUAAUAAAUAAAAAAAUAAAAACCAAACGUAAAGAAAUAACAAAUUAAAAGCGUGCUUUGAAAUUUUAAAACGGCAAACAUGAAAAUCAAGAGAGGAAAUAAGAAGAAGAAGAUAAAAAAGAUGCCGAGCAUCCUUGCACGUGCGACCGUGAUGAGUGCAAGACUCUUCAAAAUUAUCACACCGUGAUGCGUGCGAGACUUUUCAAAAUUGAUGAGAAAGCCGAUUGGUCCAAAUCCAAUUGUCUAAUGAACGGAACUCUGGAAUUAUUCCAAAUCCACAAGUUUCAUAAUAUUGUGUUGAUUGUGAGACAUUAUUUCAAAAUCCGAAGGGAGAUAAAAUUGUUAAAAUUUUAUAAAUGAUUUUAAAUAAAAAAUAAUAAUUAAAAAAAUAAAAACUAAAUUUAAAUAAAUAACAAAUUGAAGAUGUAUUUUGAAAUUUUGAAGGACAUACACAAAAAUCAAGGACAGAGAAAAAAAAAAAUCGGCAACAAACCAAAAAACUAUCUACCACACGCACCAUCUCAUCCACGACAAUAAUUGUCAACAAACAUCUCUACAUCCGCCACAUGAAGUGUGCGGGACCGUCCAUGAACUAACUUGGAUUCAUCAACUACUUUUUUUAAUAUUAUUUAUAUUUAUUAAAUUAUAAAAUUGAAAAUAUACCACCCUAUAUAAAAAAAGACCCAAUGACAACAUACAAAUGCCCUUGGUUUGAACCACAAGUGACUAACUAGAUAUCUCAAAUGAGAAAGCAGACUACUAAACAGUCAACAAUGGCAGAUCUCUCCAGCACCAGCAAGAGAAGAGCCGUACGCAACGAAUGCAACACUCUUUAAAAUUAUCACAAUGCUAUACUUUUUAAAAUUGAAAGAAAAAAAAAUAAAUUCACCACCUACUAAUUAAAAAAUAAAAAUCCAAAAAUAAACACUGCUUAAAAAUUUAGACAUUGAGUUAAUUAAGUCGAAAGAAGAUAGAUGUCAUUUUUAUUACAUCCUUUGAAAUACCUCCACAAUUCAUUUUAAAAAUUUUAUUCCAUGCAUGAUAUUAAUUAUCUAAAUUUAUUUUUAAUCUUAUUCGUGAUUUAUUUUAAUAAAAAUUUGGUAUUGAUCCUUAAAAAAAAAAGACUCGUCAAUAAAAUAAAUCUUGAUGUCAAUCCCUAAAAUUAGAUAAUUUCAUCGAUUUAGAAAAAAAAAAUUAAUUUUAAUCUUUAAAACUAGAGAUUUAAUUGGUUUAAAAAUUUUUGACGUUAAUCUUUAAAAACAGGAGAUUUCAUCAAUUUAGAAAACAAAUUUGGCAUUAAUCUUUAAAAUUAUGUGAUGUCAUCGAUUUAGAAAAAAUUGGACAUUAGUCCCUAAAAUAGAUAAUUUCAUCAAUUUUUUAAAUAUAUGAUAUUAAUCCUUAAAAAUAGAAGAUUUCAUUGAUUUAGAAAAAAAACAUUAACAUUAAUCCCUAAAACUAGGUGAUUUCCUUGAAACUAGGUGAUUUCCUUGAUAUAUAUAUAUAUAACAUUUAUAUUUUUUUGAAUCCAAUACAAUAUAUACAAAUCUCAAUAUUGAUAUAACACACACGCACACAAUAUUAUUAAUUUUAUCAUUUAAUACAUGUAUACAUAUUUCAAAUAUAUCUAUUACUAUUUUAUUUUUUGUUGAAUAUUAAAUAACAGUAGAACAAUGGAUACCAAUAUAGAUAUACUCGAAAUCCAAUGAAUAAAGCAUAGUUAUUAAACCCGGCCUGGGGAUUGACCCGGUUAAAGGGCCGGGUCCUGGGUUUUAUGGGUCAACCCGGGUCAACUCUGAUCAACCCGGAAAAAUUAAAAAAUAUAUAUAUUAAAGUUUGAAUAUUUAUAUGAAAAAAUAAAAAAAAAUCCAUGUGAAUAUAAACUAUAAAUGUUAUAAAUAAUAAAUUUUAAAAAAAAUAUUUUAAUUUUUUUAUUUUACAUUAAAAAAUAAUAUGUUAUUUUUUUUAAUUAAAAAGAAAAAAAAAUUAAAAGCCGCCCCCUAUCUCUACCAAAAAAAAUUUCACAACCCUAAAUUUUCUCUAUCUCUACCAAAAAUAAAAACAAGCCGCCCCCCCUGCUUGGGAUUUUCUCUCCCAAAACCAGUAAAGUUUUCCUUUUCACUUGGCAAAGCAAUUGCCACUGAGACCCAGCCACACCUCCCUCGCUCGUCCCUCUCUCAAUCACCCCCUUGCCUUGACCAAAUUAAACUAAAGAGCCCCUCCCUUUUUUUCCCAGCCACCUAUUGGCCAAACCAAGAGACCCAGCUCUUCAAUGGUGAUUUGCUUGCAAACAUCAGCUCAUUAUAGAGAAGAUGAAGAAAGAAGAAGAGAAGCCGAAUCACAGAAACCACAUUUAAAGAAGAACCGGGUCUCGUCCGGGUUCUCCCGGGUCGCCCGGGUCAUGGGUGGACCCUCCGGGUCGACCGGGUUUUGCCGGAUUGUUGCACCUGCCGGUCUUUUAACAAACCCGAACCGGUCCAGCCACCGGGUCGAACGGGUCCCAGGUCGAUCCGCCGGGCCAGGCCGGGUUUAAUAACUAUGGAAUAAAAUAUGAAUAUCUGGAUUUUUUACUCGAUGAAUAUUGAGCAGGAAAUAGAUUUAAAAAAAAUUAUCCCGUAGAUAUAUAUCCAUUAUGAUCCGUAUACAUAAUCUCCAUAUAUAAAAUCAAUACAUUAAUACAUUUAUUUUUCUUUUACAAUGAUAAAAUGAUAAUAAAUGCAAAAUAUACAUAUGUUUUUAUUCCUUUUACAUUAUGCUUUUAAUGUGUUUUAAGCUUAUUUGAGCUCAUUGGAAGUAAUUUAAUGAAUUUGGGAUGCCUAACAGACUUGGUGAAUUAAUUGCUAAAAGAUACAAAAUUCUGCAUUUGAUGUUUCAAACCUGGCUUUUGGAUAGGUUUUUCACUAAGUUGAAGUUAUAGAAUGGGAACGUGGCUUAAUAAAGGUUGAACUACACAUAUCCAGCUUUUCAAGAAAGUAGGGAAGAAAUCCGAUCUUAUUUGAAACUCUAAUAAGACUUGCAAAACCGAGAGGAAAGGAAAGAAGGGUCCCCUCUGCUGCUAAUGCUGGCUUGCAUUUUCUCUUGGUUGCUAGAGUUGUUGAUGACAUUGCUGCUAAUCUUGACUGCAACCAACAUUGGGGAUGGAGCUCACAAUUGGAGGUAACGCAAUUGAUGGCUGAGGAUGGAGUCUUGUUGUUGUCAACAUGAACUAGCUUUGCUGUUGUAUUUCUCAUAAAAAGGAGCCUACCAUGAGGGACAUGGAUGAUGCUAUUGUUGUGGCACAGAGAAGAAUUUCCUGCUGGACUGGGGAGAAAAAGGAGACGAAGUCCUCUCUUGCAACAUUGGACGAAAGUCUAUAUGGUGGCUUUUGGAGGUUGAAGGGGGGUCCUCUAUUCUACUGGGUCUGUGAGAUGAGGGAGAUGAAAGAUGGUCUUUUUUUUUUUGCGUUCUGCUCAGUCUGGGUUAUGGGGAUGAGCUGAGGGGUGACAACUAGUUUAAGGUUCGUCGUUCCCUCUUUUUUUUUUUAUGUUUCUUUCUUUUAGGGUUUCUGAAUAUGGCCUCCUUCUAGGGUUUCUUGUAAUUGUCUCCCCUGUUUUUGCAUACACUAAGAUAUGUAUUUAUAGUGCAAGAGUCUCAUUGCAUGUGAGAAUAAAGUUUCAAUCAAAUUCAUUCUCUUCUUUAAAUUUUAAAUUUGAUUAAUAAUCAAAUUUGAAAGAAGAUAACUAUUCUUAUCUUGAAGAUAAGGAUGAAACGACAAAAGCACAUUGUAGCCCCUAGUUUUCGUGCAAGCUGACAAAUCAUGUUUUCAUCGAAAUAAAUUCAAAUCUUUUAAUUUUACGUUUUAAAUCUUAUAAAAUUAAAUCAAAAGCCAACGGGCUAAAAUUGAAUUAUAACAGUUGCCUCCUCUUUACAAUGCUUACGGUGCAAAGGCAUUGGAAAAUUCAAUUUCUUUUGACUUUGACUUUGCAUAGUAAGUUUUGUAAAGAAAAAUAAGCAUGAAAACCCUUCCUCUUUUAUUUUGAUUGAUUUUUUUUGUUUGCUUUUAUUUUUAUUUUAAAAAAUGGUUUAAUUAUUCCAAGUAACCUACUUGAUGAUAAAAUGGUAGCAAACUCGUAGGCAACCUACUCGUUGGAAAGAAUAAAACGUGAAAAGGAUUUACGAGUGGUCUAAUUGUUCUAGGUGACCUGCCCGAUAGGAAGAAAAAAUGCAAGAAUUUUAUGAGUGGUCUAAUUGUUCCAGACGACUUGCCUGAUGAAGAAUAAAACAAGAAAAUGAUUUCACGAGUGGUCACAUUGUUCCAAGUGACUUGCCUGAUAGGAAGAAGAAAUGCAAAGGUUUUCCAUGAGUGGUCUAAUUGUUCCAGGCGCCUUGCCUGAUGAAGAAUAAAAUGCGAAAAGGAUUUCACGAGUGGUCUCAUUGUUUCAGGCAACUUGCUCGAUAGGAAGAAUAAAACACAAAAAGGUUUUCGCAAGUGGUCUAAUUGUUCUAGGCGACCUACCCGAUGAAGAAUAAAAUGCGAAAAAGAUUUCAAGAGUGGUCUCAUUGUUCCAAGCAACCUUCCCGAUAGGAAGAAGAAAGACAAAGGUUUUCGCAAGUGGUCUCAUUGUUCUAGGUGACCUGCCCAAUGAAGAAAAAAAUGCGAAAAUGAUUUCGUGAGUGGUCUCAUUGUUCCAGGUGACCUGCCCAAUAGAAAGAGUAAAACAUGAAAAGGAUUUUGCUAGUGGUCUAAUUGUUAUAGGCAACCUACUCGAUGAAGAAUAAAACGUGGAAAGGAUUUCGUGAGUGAUCUAAUUGUUCCAAGCAACCUGCCCGAUGAAGAAAAAAAUGUGAAGGAUUCCAUGAGUGACCUAAUUGUUCGUCAUGACCUGCACGAUGGGAAGAAUAAAACACGAAAAGGAUUUCGUGAGUGGUCUCAUUGUUCUAGGAGACCUACCCAAUGAUAAAAUGCUAGGAAUCUUGCAAGUGGUCUCAUUAUUACAAGCGACCUUCCCGAUGGUGAAAAAUAUAGAGAGAGAUUUCUCCUCUUUUUUUUAUUUUUUUGAAAAAUACAAUGAUUUUUCAUAGAUGGUCUCAUUAUGAUAGGUGACAUACCCAGGUGAAAAAAUAAAAAGGUGGAAAAAUACAAAGAAUUUUUUUUUAGAAGUAGUCUCGUUGUAACAAGUGAUCUUUCCAAGUAGAAAAAUACAGAGAUUUUUCGGGUGCCCUAAUUCUCAUGGGCGGUCUACCUAGGUCAAAAUAUUUCUCAAAAGUGAGCAAUUUUCACAAGCAUUUUUAGUUUUUGGCCAUUUCAAGGUGGCCUUCCUUUUGAGGGAUCCCAUUAGGGAUUUCUCUUGUGAAAUUUGAAUAACACAUUCUUCAAUGUUUCAAAGUCUAAAUGAUAUGUAUGCACCUUUACUUGAUUUGAAACAUAGGUCCCCUUUCUUCUUAAUCUUCUUGUUACUUGAUUGAUGAGGACUUGCUAUUUCUGACUUGGGUCAUCUUUGUCAAUUGGCUUCUAGCCCACUCGAGUUGGCCCAUGUGAGUCUCUUCCUAUAUUUGUUACAACUCAGCCUUCAUGGUGCCCAUUGUGCCCCACUUGCUUGCUAGAGAUUUUUUAUCUUGUUGGAUAAUUUGAGAGGAUCAUUAAUUACUCCUCGUCCCACAGUUAAAAUCACUCGGUGUCACUUGUUGAAAAGAUCAAGCUGUCUUUUUUGUAAACCAAAUUGCCCCCUUAUCUAGUUAUAAGAAAUGUUCCUCUCUUUUCCUUUUAUUUUUUUUCUAGAAGGGAUUGAUUUUUCUUCUAAACACAAUGUUGCCCCUUUAUACUAGCUAUUGCUCCUAGGUGUGCUCUGUCAAUGACUUAGACAAAUAAUGGUUUCAAGUCACCAUUCUCUCAUUUUAUCCUUUUCUACUUGGUGAAGGAAUAUGUGUCUAGAAUGAAUCUUGAAAAUUUGAUCUUGCAUUUUGAAAAAAAAUAUUAUUUUGAUUUGAGUUUUAAAACAAUUUGCUUUUGAAAUCUUGCAACUCCUUGUUAUUUUCUUUCUUGAAAAGAGAGGAUUUACUCUUGUGUUUGAUGAUAUUGUCAUUAAUGAAGGUACGUCAUGAGGUGACCUUCUGUUUCUUAUGGGUUUCCAAGCGAAUGACUCGAGAAAAAGCUCGAGGUUAUGUUUGAGAAAAAUUUGUCUUUUUUUGAACACUCAUUUUAUCAGUAUGAUUAAUAAUGAGUAGCCUGUUCUCGAUGUCAUGACUUUAAUGAAAAAGUACUCUUUGCAUUUUGAGAGCAUUGUUUAUUGUUCCAAAUUGCUUUUUACUUGAUUAGAAAGUACUUCUAUAGGCACGUAACGUAGGCUGUGGUUAUUGUCUUUGAAAGAAAAGGAUUCAUAAGGCUCAAAGAGUGUUUCAGGGUUUCAAAGAUUGAGGAUCACUAUUAGUAGUUUGACUCUUUGUGACUUUCAUCUUAUUUUUUUUACACUCUUCUUUGAUUUGCCCUUUUUCUUUUUUCAUUGCUUUGCUAGGGCAUAAUCACUUUAUCUUGGUUAUCACUCUUUCUUGUGAUUUGGGCAUGCCCCCUAGCAUUUGAGUUGUUUGGGCUCUUUUGCCUCUUUGGCUUUUUCACAACUUAAAGUCUACAUCUAGAUCCUGAUAUUUUGGCCAAACCCUAACGGAUAAUCAUAAACCAGUUAUGAUAUCCAUUUUUCUUGAUUUUGAAAAAAAACAUGCUUGGAAAAUUCUUUAGGACUUGGUCGUAUGCAAUAAAAUAUUUUUUUUCCUUUUUUUUCCGGAGAAAACCGAGUAUUUUAAUACCGAACUUGUAUCUUACAAUGUAAGUAUAUAACCCAAUAUUAAGCAAACUUGGUAGAAAAAUAUAUAUAAAUUUUUUUUUUGAAAUGAUUUUAAAUUUUUUUUUGAAUUUUUUUGAAAUUUUUUUUUUCGGGCCGGGUUGGGCUAGAACUGGCCCGGCCCGGCAGAUGAAAAAGAGAGGGCUAGUUGCAGGAAAACCAGGAAAGGCUGUUUUUUUUUUUUGCCAACUUUGAGCUCCCCUUUCCUCCUCCUCUGAGCAUGAAAUUGGCUCCUAUUUAUAGGGAUGGAAAGAGGGUAAUCUUGUAUUCAAUGGGGAAAAUGUCUCGGCCCUUGAUUCGACUCGAGGAAUCCAAGCCGUUGGUUCAAAGUGUGCACCUCGAACUACCAAAUUUGGCAAUCCAAGGCUGUAGACUGCCCGAGGUGGCCACUUUGGGCCAAUAAACGGAGCCGUUUCAAAGUUUGUCGACCAGACCAGACCAUUUUUCAGGAUAAAAGGGUUUCAGGUGGACAUGUUGGUGCAUGCUUUGUCGGAUUUGGGGGCCACACGAGUUAGAAAAUGCGCCUGGAAAGCAGCUACUCGGGCAGCUUUGCGAGGAAGAAGAUGAACAGUAACCAGGUGACGCAUCGCCUGGUCCCUUCCCCCCCUUUUUUUCUUAAACACAAAAACGACGCCGUUUUGGAUAAAAAAAAUUAGGGAUUUUUGCCGAUUUUCAAUUUAGUCCUCCAGCUUUCAAUUUCUUUCAAUAUAAUUCCCUAAUUGACCCUAAACUUCUGAUUUAAUGCAAUUUGGUCCCGGCUUAACUUCAACUUCAGCCCCAGAUUUACAUGACUUUUGCAAUAUGGUCCUUGGUUUCAGAUUUAUGCAAUUUCAUCCCUAAUUGACCAUUAAACUUUCAAUUUCUUCAAUUUGAUCCCCGGAUUUUGUCAAUUAGACCCCCGGAUUUUGUCAAUUAGACCCCUAUAGUUUGGCACCUUUUGCAGAUUGGUCCUUGGCUUGGAUUUUGUCAAUUUAACUCCUAAUUGGCCCCAAAAAUUCAAUUUUCUUUCAAUUUGGCCCGUGAUUUCAAUCAAUUAACUUGGUAAAAAUUAAAUUUGGUCUCUUAAAAUUCCAAUCUUCUCAAUUAAGCCCAAAUUAGGCUCCCAAACUUAAUUGUUUUCACCAAUUAAGCCCCAAAUAAAAUUAAUUUGACCCAUUUAAAGUAUAAUUAAGUUCUUGCACUUAAUUAAAUCCUUCAUUUGGACCUAAAUUAAUUCUUAAACAUAAUUAAAAUUUAAUUUGGCCCAUGAUUAAAUCAAAUUGGCCUAUUAAAAAUUUAAUUAUGUUAUUGGACUUCAUUUUUAUGCAAAUUUAUCCAAUAAUCAUUUAAUUUGACCUUGAAUUUGCAUUUUUUUCCCUCCAAUUUUGUGCACAAUGGGGUGCCAAUAGGUCUUGAAUCUUCUCCAAAAAUUGCAACUUGAUUUCCCGGCAUACUUUCUCCACGUUGCCAGCCUUUAUUAUUUUUUUGUCUAUAUUAUUAUUUUUAUUAUUUUUUAAUUUUUUUUUAAAAAAGCAAUUUAUUUUGGGGGAAUAACCCAGAAUUGGGUUAUGACAGAAAUUUUCACUUGCCCCUUUUGCAGUGAACGAUAUAUAUAUUAUGCAUACAUUUCAAUUUUCAAUUUUCCAAUUUUCAAUAAACUUUGACCUUGUUUAGUAUGAUGGUUUAGACUUUUGCAAAGAAAUACAUUUCAUGAGUCUAUAAGCAACGAGUUCACUACAUAUCAUUAUGCAUACAUUUAAAAUACCUAGUUCAAGAGUCAUGGUGUGAGGGUGACGGUUCAUUUCCUAUUCAUGCUUUGGUUUAGAGUUUAGUCAUCUCAAUGAAGGAGUUGCUUCAUUCAUAUGUGAUUCUACAAGUAGAAUGUCAAAAAUAUCAUUUUAAAUAAACAUCAAAUCAUUUUUUGAAAUCAAAAUGCAAGUUUAAUUUUUCAAAAUUCCACUAGAGGAAAAGAUUUUGGUAAAAGAAAUGUAUCGCUAUAAGAUCACAUGAGGCUUCAAAAGUGUAUUUGUAAGUUCUUUAGGAGGAAACCCCUUUUAGGAUAUUUGCCUAUAAAUCAAAGCAAGAGAUGCAAUUAAACGACAAACUCAUUAUUUCAUUGAAAUUCUAGAAAAAGAGGCUUAAUGAUUAGUACUUAAAAGUGUAUUUUUAUCGAGGUUUCAUAUCAUCAUUUUGCACUUGAAAUAUCAAUAACUCCUUAACUAGAGCAUGGUUUAUAAUAACAAGUCUGAUAAUAUAAGAUAGCUUUAAUUUAUGGUAAAUUCUCAUUUCAAAUGUAGACAUAUCUCACAAUUCAAAUGAUUGAUUGUUUGAUUAACUAUUGAAAGUGAAAGGACAAAGAAAAAGCUAAGCUUAGAAAAGAGAUGCUGAUUCAAUUCAAAUUGAAACAUUGUUUAGUCAAUGGGUCAUAUCUGAAGUUGUAGAUCUUGGAUUUUAGUUUGGUUUAUAUGGCUAGAAAGCUAAGAAAUUGGCUUAAAACAUUCAUGAAGAGUGGAAGAUCCAAAUCUGUCGUUUUCAAAUUCAAAACUUGGCCACAAAAGAGAAGUCAGAAUCUGUCCUGCAAUCCAACCCCAACACUGCUCAAAACGUUACCCAUAAUUAGAGUUCUAGAAAGCCAAAUGACGUCAAAUUUGAUGGGUGGAAAUAUAAGAAAAUUUCCAACAACUUUCAUGUAGACCAUCGACUUAAAUUCUGAUGUUAACAAUGAAAUUUCAUCAAGACAAGAGCUUGAGGGCUAUCCACCACGUCCACCAUAAGCAUUACUCAGUAUCUUAAUGUUUAAUAUUAACAUGUCUUAUCUUUUUAUCUUACCAAUUCUUAAUACCUUGCUUGUUAAAUGGUUAAUCUAGAUUUGUGUUGUAUAACACUUGGUACAUCAAAUGCUUGAUCCUUCAUAGCCUUCGGCUGACAUCGUUGUUAUGAGAGGAAUUUGAUUUGUUGUCAAUAUAAGUUAGCAUUAUGAAUCCCUGAUAAAAUUUAUAACUAUUAUUAUUACUCAUUUUUGGACCGCACGUGCUAGAGACAGUGUAUACCCCUUUUGAACCAAGUGCAGGAGUGUAGCUCAUGUUUGUUGGAAAAUUGACAAAAGUGGAGAAGAAAGAAAUGUUUUUCGAAUCUUGUUUGAGCUGUUUUCUACUCUCUUUAUCCUCCCCAUUUGCUGCCAAAAGCGUCAGGUUUCCUAGACUGAUUAGGAGUUUUCAUAAUGCUAAAUUCAUUUUUUAUUUGGUUUUUAAGGUUGGAUAAAUCUCUCAUAAUUUGCACUGAAAAACUAAUUUUGCUGCUGUUACAAUGUUUUUUUGUUCCCACUUAGGCUUUGAUUCUGACUUGGUUUUGGAUGAUAUCUGACUAUCCUAGCUAUAUUUUGUCACUCAUGACAUGUUGAAGAAUUGACCUACACCUUUAUUGGGUUUUAGAGCUCACUGUUCUUAUGGUAGAUUCUCAAUCAGAUUUGGAUGCUCGGCAUUGUCAGUUUCCUGAAUCAGAUCAGGAAACCUUUAUUGACCAACCAGGUUGCGACUAGAUUCUGAUCUUCAAAAUGAAGUUAUCUCAUUUUGGAUCCUUCAUGAAAGUUGUAGUUCUACAAGUGUAAAUGAAUUUGGGUUUUUAAAUCACCCGAUUUAGAUAACAGAAGCUCAAGAUAUUUCCUUUUGAAAUUUAGCGUGAAAGUAGAAAAUUCUGCCGCGAGAUGGUUUCCAGCCGAGUUUUGUUGCAAUUGUUUUCUUCAAAAUAAUUUUAUCUCACUUUAAAUACUUCAUGAAAGUUGUAGACCUGUAUAUGUAGAUGAGUUUGGGUUUUUGAAUCUCCUAAUUUUGAUAUCAGAAGCUCAAGAAAUUUCUAUGUGAAUAUCUAAUGAGAAAGCAGAGAAUCAUAUCGCGAGAAAUGUUCCAGCUAGAGUUUUUACAAUUCUGCUCUUCAAAAAGAAUUUAUGUCACUUUGAAUCCUUCAUGAAAGUUGUAGACCUGUACGCGUAGUUGAAUUUGGGUUCUUGAAUCGCCUAAUUUCGAUACCAAAAGCUGAAGAUAUUCCCAUUUGAAUAUCUAGCAUGAAAGUAGAGAAUCCUAUUGCGAGAAGGAUCCUGACUUGAGUUUGACGGUCUGAUUCGAGGGACUCGAUUUAAUGUUUCAAGAAUUUAUCCGGUUAAUUAAAGACCAAUUUUAAAUUUUGGAAAGUAAUUGGUUUCGUUGAAGGAAUUCAAAAUAUAGGGAUUGGAUCAGAAAACGUCAUAAUAAUGUCUGGCUAAUAUCAAGGAAGCAAUAUAUCAAAGAGAUAAUUACUGAAUCAUAUAUAAUUACUGUAAUAUAAAAUACUAUAGAUAUAUGAUUUCAUUAAUGCUAGUUGUCAUAACCUAAAUCUGGGUUAUUCCCAAAAAAUCACAUUUCUUUUUCAAAAUAAAAAUAAUAAAAAUAAUAAUAAAGGAUGGCAGCGUGGACAAAGAAAAUCGGGGAAUGAAGCUGCAAUUUUGGAGAAAAUUCAAGGCCUAAUUGUACCCCAUUAUGCCAAAAAAAAUGCAAAUUCAAGGUUAAAUUAAAUGAUUAUUGGACGAAUUUAAAUCAAAAUCAAGUCCAAGUAUAUAAUUAAAUUUUUAAUAGGCCAGUUUGAUUUAAUCAUGGGUCAAAUUAAAUUUUAAUUAUGUUUAAGAAUUAAUUUGGGUCCAAUUGAAGGAUUUAAUUAAGUGCAAGGACUUAAUUAUACUUUAAAUGGGUCAAAUUAAUUUUAUUUGGGGCUUAAUUAGUGAAAAAUUAAGUUUGAAAGCAUAAUUUGGGCUUAAUUGAGAAGAUUGGAAUUUUAUGAGAUCAAAUUUAAUUUUUUUCAAGUUAAUUGAUUGAAAUCAGGGUAAAAUUGCAAGAAAAUUGAAGUUUUGGGGUCAAUUAGAGGUGAAAUUGACAAAAUUCGCAGCCAAGGACUAAUUUGAAAAAGGCGCCAAACUAUAGGGGCAUAAUUUAUAUAGUUGACCUCCCUGUGAUUUGACCCCGGUCUUGUUGGGUUAUUUAUUACUUUGACACUCCUGCAUUUGAGAUAAGACAUCAACUCUUUGAUCGUGUCAAGUUUUUGGUGUCGUUGCCGUGGAAGGUAAAUUAGUGUAUAAAUUAUAUAUUUUAUUUUAUUGUCUUUUCUUUUCUUUCCUUUUAUCUCACUUUUGUUUCUUUUGUUUUGUUUCUUUUUUUUAUUCCAGUUUAUUCUCUUCCUUCACAUGCAUGAGAGUUUGGUCAUGACCAUUAAAUGGUAGACUUUAUAGGAAAUUCUCAUCAUUUUCAGAAAAUAUGGUCGAAGAGGAUAACUAGUCGCUUUAUAAUGAGAAUAAUAGAGACCACAUGAAUCCUACAAGAACAAGUGCACCCUCAUGUACCGUUUUCCCUCCUGAUGCAUCUCACUUCAAUUUUAAGCUAGGCAUUAUUCAAAUUUCACCUUCUUUUCAUGGCCUAGAUCUACAAAAUCCAUACUUGCAUUUGAGAGAAUUUGAAGAAAUCUGUAAAACCUAUAAUGACUUAAAUUGUAGUAUGAACACUAUCAGAUUAAAGCUUUUUUCUUUUUCAUUAAAAGAUAAAGCUAAAACAUGGCUACAAAAUCUUAGGUUAGGAUCCAUUUGUGCAUGGGAUGAAAUGCAACAAUAAUUUUUAAAAAAGUUUUUUCCGCCUCAUAGAACAAACUCUUUUAAAAGACAAAUCAUCACUUUUACUAAAAAACUAGGAGAAACAUUUUACCAAUGUUGGGGUAGGUGUAGAGACUUGCUGAAUACUUGUCCUCAUCAUGGUUUUGAAACAUGGAGAUUGGUUUUAUAUUUUUAUGAAGGGUUAACACCUAGAGAUAGAUAAAUGGUGUAAUUGAUGUGCAAUGGAAUUUUUGAAGAUAACGACCCUGAUGAAGCAAUGGAGUCCCUAGACUUGGUAGCUGAAAAUGCUUAAAAUUAGGACACUAUAGGUACGUGUGAGGCACAUGGUAAAACUCAACCUCAUACAUCUAGUAUAGGCAUGUACAACCUUAGGAAAGAUCAUGACCAUUAAGCCAAAUUUACAACUUUAGCUAGAAAAGUCGAGGCACUAGAAGUAAAAAAGAGUACUAAACUAAAAUCUAUUCAAGACAUUAUGUGUCAAAUAUGUGAAACCAAUGAACACUCAACCAAUGACUGUCCAACUUUGCCUUCUUUCAAGGAAUGCCUCCAUGAACAGCCCUAAGCUUUAAAUAGUUUCCAAAGGCCCAAUCAUAACCCACACUCACAAACAUACAACCCUGGUUGAAAAAAAUCACUUAAAUUUCAGUUGGAAGAGUGAUAACAAUAAUGCAUAAACUUCAAACCACCAUUUCAAGCACAUCAAAAUUUUUAAAAUUCUCAUGGAUUUGUACCUCCUUAUGCUCCUCCUAGAAGAAAUCUUGAGGAAACACUGCAUGCAUUCAUUGAAAAGCAAGAGACAAUCAACACUCAAAAUGCUCAAACUAUGGCAGAUUUGAAAUAUACUCUUGCAAAGUUCACAUCUGCUCUUAGUUUUCAGGAGAAAGGUAAGUUUUUAACUCAACUACAAUAAAAUCCCAUAGGGCAAUACAAUUCAAAUGCAAGUAACUCUAGAAGCCAACACAUGGAUCAAAUCCAAUCAGUCAUUACUCUUCAUAAUGGUAAGGUUAUUGAAAAACCAAUUCUUGAACCUUAUGAGAAAGAUGAUGAGUCAAUCUCUAAGGGUAAGGAAGGGGUUAAACCUGAACAUUGCAAAGAAAAGACUGAUUCCCCACAAAUAUUUCCAUUUGUUCAUGCCAUGACCAAACAAAGAAAAGUCAAUCAUGAUUAUGAAAUCUUUGAAACUUUCAAACAGGAAGAAAUUGAGGACGAAAAAUUGACAAUAGAUUUGACAUCCAACAUCACACCAAGUGAUGAUUACUUUCCUAAUGAAUCUUCACUUUCUAUUGCUUCAAUACCUUGGUCUGCUAAUAUUGACAUUUUUCUUGCUUUAGGAUUUUUUCCAGCUCAUUUGGAUACCCAAGACAAAAGAAAGUUUUUGAGCGAUGUGUAGAACUUUUAUUGGGAUGACCCUUACUUAUUCAAAUAUUGUCUUAAUCAAAUAUUUCAAAGAUGCAUUCUUGAUAAUGAGGUAAGUAGUGUCAUUAAAGUUUAUCAUUCAAAGGCAUGGGGGGGAUAUUUAUUGUCAACAAAGAUGAUUGCAAAAAUCUUACAAUGUGGAUUUUAUUGGCCCACCAUAUUCAAGGACACACAUGCGUUCUGCAAAACCUGUGAAAAUUAUCAAAAGUUAGGAUUUAUUUCAAAACAUAAAGAGUCCUUAUAUAAUCUUCUAUUGACUCUUGGGACGUACCUUAAUGGAGAUGUGCUUCUUGCAAUUCAUGAUUUAUAGCCUCAUUUUUAUAAAGAACAUGCUUGACAUAGUCUUGGGAAUCUGACUAAAAAAGACCUUGUUUGCUAGUUUUUAAGAAAACUAGAUGGGGAGCCUAUCCCCGAACCAUAAAGGGCGUUUAAGCCGUUCUUGGAAGUAAACCGAAGGGAAUAUGUGAGCCACAAUCUUAACUAUUUGUGCAUAAUACAUGUUCUGUAAUAACUUGUGUCUUUUGGUUUUAGCUUAAUAUUUUGUUUUAUUAUUUCUUAUAUUUGUUUAAGUGUGUUUCAGGUUUAUCAAUGUUCAUUGUUUCAGGUGAUGUUUCUAUACUCUAUCUUUCUACCUUAGGACAUUGAGGACAAUGUAUCGUUUUGGUUUGGAGGAAAGGGUGGUAGUUGAUAUUAAACAAAAAUUAACUAACUGUGUUUUCUAUUUCAUAAAUCAUUUGCAAAAUUGUUGUUACUAGGAUGUCAGAGUAAGAGAGUUCUUUUCUUAAAGUGACUCUUGAGACGCAUCUUAGUAAACAUUCUUAACAAGGUUUAUCAGAAUACUUCUUGAAAUAUUCAAGUUUACAAACUCUUAUAUUAUUAUCAAUUGAUUCUGCUCAUAAAUUCAUUUAACAAGUAUUCUUAAACCUUUAUUUUCACACACACACUUUAACAUAUGAUUAUGGGUUGCACAUUGGAUUAUUACAUUAUUUAUGUUCUUUUGUUAAAGGUAACUACUAAGGGAAAGGGAUAGUAUAUAAUUUGCAAAAUAAAAAAAUAAAAAAAAUAUUAAUGAUAAUAAAAAUAUAGAUAAGUUUGGUUUCACAACCUCCCUAAUCUAAACAAUUAAGUCUGAAGGGGUGUUUAACACCUAAUACCCUAAAGUCAACUAACUUGAGAGCUAUUGGCCAAACGCUUGUCACAUGGGUUAAGGAGAAAAGCUUAAGGGAAUCAAACAUUGCACUAUCUAUGUAUCAGUAUCUGUAACCUUAGUUACUAAGCUUGUAGGGGUGUCUCAACACCUAAUGCCAUAAGACCAACUGGUUUGGGAGUCAUUAGCCGAAAGCUCGUUACAUGGGUUAAAGAUGCAUUGUGUUUUAAGAUAUAUAUAUAAAGAAAAAAAAGAUAAUAAUCCCAACCCAAGGAAGUUAACCUUAAAAAAACAUUAGAAUAGAAUAUUGAUUUCUUCCAACAAAGCCCCAUCAUCUAUGUUUUCAUACUUUGAGCACAUAAAAAGAAGGUUUAUUAUCUUGUUUCAACAAUAUGAAGCAAAUCUAUAAAUUUAAUGAGAGUUUGUUUAUUUGGAUAGAUUAAUGAAAGUUGAAUGAUGAAUGUCUUGCUUUGUGGAACUUGCAAAUUGUUUUUCUUUUUUAACGUUUGGAUUACUAGGGACUAGUAAUAAGCUAGUCGUGGGGGGGGGGUGUGUGAUUAGUACUUAAAAAUGUAUUUUUAUCAAGGUUUUUAUAUCAUCAUUUUGCACUUUAAGUAUCAAUAACUCCUUAACUAGAACAUGUUUUAUAAUAACAAGUCUGAUAAUAUAAGAUAGCUUUAAUUUUUGGUAAAUACUUAUUUUCAAUGCAGACAUAUCUCACAAUUCAAAGGAUUGAUUGAUGUGAUUAACUAUUGAAAGUGAAAGGACAAAGAAAAGGUUAAGCUUAGAAAAGAAAUGCUGAUUCAAUUCAAAUUGGAACACUGAUCAGUCAUUGGGUCAUAUCUGGAGUUGUAGAUCUUGGAUUUUAGAUUGGUUUAUAUGGCUAGAAAGCUAAGAAAUAGGCCUACAACAUUCAUGAGGAGUGGAAGACCCAAAUUUGCCGUUUUCCAAUUCAAAGCUUGGCCAUAAAAGAUAAAUUUACCCAAAUAAUGCUCAGAAAUUUACCCAUAACUAGAGUUCUAGAAGGCCAAAUGACAUCAAACUUGGUGGGUGGAAAUAUAAGAAAAUUUCCAACAACUUUCAUGUGGACCACCGACUCAAAUUUUGAUGUUAGCAAUGAAAUUUUAUCUAGACAAGAGCUUGAGGGCUAUCCACCAUGUCAACCAGAAGAACUACACAUUAUUUUAGUCAUGUAUCAAUCUAUAGUGAUCCAAAUGCUUUGAAAUGUUGUGGGUGGAAAGAGAAAAUGAUUUCCAACAACUUUCAUGAAUAACACUUUGCCAAAUUUUGAUUACAUCAAUGUCAUUUCAUCUAACCAAAAUGCUUGAGUGCUGAUGUCCACCAAUUCCACUAAAUCAAUAGUUGGCCACUACAACAAUAAUCAAUUACCAACAUUUACAAGUAUUAGCAUUAUUCGAAUAAGAUAACUAAUGUAAUCAUGUUAUCAAUUUAUAAUAUGAUUGGAACCUUCUUUGUAUGUGGUUUCCAGUUGAGUAAUAAAAAUAGUUUAUAUUAUAUUUAUUUGAAAUACCAUUAGGGAUCCUCUAACAUUGACAAUUGUUUUUAUCAUUGUUUAAUCCUUAUAUUAAUAUCACAUUUCAAAGAUCUCUUUAACUCUUUGUUAAAUUAUAUAUAUUAUUUAUAAUUUAUAUAGUUGACCUCCAUGUGGAUCGACCCCGAUCUUGCCGGGUUAGUUAUUACUUUGACACUCCUACGCUUGGGAUAAGACAUCAACUCUUUGAUCGUAUCACUUAACAAAAAAGACCUUAUACUAAUGAUUAGUACUCAAAAGUGUAUUUUUAUCAAGGUUUUAUAUCAUCAUUUUAAACUUGAAGUAUCAAUAACUCCUUAAUGAAAGCAUGUUUUAUAAUAACAAGUUUGAUACUAUAAAAUACCUUUAAUUUAUGGUAAAUGUUCAUCUUAAAUGCAGGCCUAUCAUAUAAAUCAAAGAAUUGAUUGAUGAGUUUAACUACUGAAAUUUAAAAGACAAAGAGAGGGCUAAACUUAGAAAAGAGAUUCUGGUUCAGUCCAAACUAGAACAUUGUUCGAUCAUUGGGUCGGAUUUGGAGCUGGAGAUCUUGGAUUUAGGUCUACUCUAUAUGAAUGGAAAGCUAAGAUAUAGGCCUAAAACUUUCAUGCGGAGUCAAAGAUUUAAAAAGGUCGUUUUCAAGUCCAAAUUGUAGCAACAACGGAGAAGUCCAAAUCUGUCCUGCAACCCAGACACUGUUCAAUGUUCAACCCAUAUCUCGAGUUCUAAAAGUCCAAAUGACCUUAAUUUUUUUUUGCUGGAAAGCUGAGACAAUUUCCUAGAACUUUCAUGAGUUAGGUUUGUUCAAAUUCUGACGUUAUCAAUGACAUUUUGUUCAGAUAAGAAGAUAAGGAUUGUCACCAGGUCAAGAUAUGGCGACCCACUCAACAAUUAGUCAUCAAAUCAAUAGUUCCAAAUUUUAGCCUAUAAAAAGAGGCAUUUGCCAUGCAUUUAGGCAUCUUGGUUCUUCAGAUCAAGAUCAUGCUCUUUAUUUCUUUCUUUAUAUUUUUGUAAUGUUUAAGUUUUAUUUCAUGUUAUAUUUUCCUUAAUCUCUUGUUUAUGCUUUUCAUUUCCUUUACUAUACUUGUGUUCUUAUGUUGUUUAUUUAUGUUUAUCUUCUUCAUUAUGUUUAGCUAAGUUUAUUAUGUCAAGGUGAAAAGGUUUACUAAUGGUGUUAGAAUAGGUAUAAUAUAAACUUAACAUGAACUUCAAUGUUUAUAUCCAAGAGUGUUGGUUAUUAACAUGUCUUAUUUUUUUUAUUUUACUAAUUCUUAAUAACUUGUUAAAUGGUUAAUCUAAAUUUGUGUUGUAUAACACUUGGUACAACAAAUGCUUGACACUUUCAUAGUCAACCGUAUGGUAUAAUCUACACUUGUGCUAUGAAAGGAACUUGAUUUGUUGUUAACAUAAGUUAGCAUCAUGAAUUCCUGACAAUAUUUAAAAGUUUGGUUUUACUUAGAUAAUAUAAUUAAUAUGAUUAUGUUAAAAAUUUAUAAUGAACUAUUAAGGAUAAAUCAUCCGAUUGGAACCUCCUUUGUAUGUGGUUUCUAGUUGAUUAAUAAAAAAGAGUUUAUACUAUACUUAUUUUUAAUACUAUUAGUGGAUUAUCUAACAUUGACAUUUAUUUUUAUCACUGUUGAAUCCUCACAUUAAUCUUACAUCUCAAAGUUCUCUUAUUAUUAUUAUUAUUAUAGUUAACCUCCUUGUGGUUUGACCCCUAUCUUGUUGGGUUAUUUAUUACUUUGACACUCCUGCACUUGGGAUAAGACAUCAAUCUUUUUGUUGUGUCAACUAACAUCUUGAGUUAUGAGCAAGGUGACACAUAAAAAGGCUAAACACUUAGCAAUUAUCGAUUGAAAUUUCUUGAAUCUUCCAACUAUCCCUCUCCCAUGAAUUCCUUAACAGGGGCACCUUUCUAAUAGUCCGUUGAGGUUACGUAUAAACUAGUCUUAGCCUAAUGACAUUGUGGCUUCAUCUUCAGGACGAUUGAUCUCUAGGUGUCUUUAUUUUGGUAGUUUUUUUUCUCGCCUUUGUAACCACCUUUGAUUUUGUGAACCUAGGUUUCUUUCCUUUUUCUAGUGAAACUUUUCUCCUCAUUUGAGUCAACAAUCCUUUCCAAACGGAUGGCUUGUUCAAUCCUCUUAGCUAUAUCAACUAGGUCAGAAAAAUGUUGUGCAAAGCUUUCUACUAGGUAUUCAAAGUAUGAUGCUUUGAAACUGUUGCAGAAUAAACCUAUCAUCUCUUUCUCCAAUAGCGGGGGAUUAACCUAUGUAGCUGUCUCAUGCCAUCUUUAGGCAUGUUUCCUCAUGGACUCUUUGUUGCCCUUUUCCAUGGCUUGUAAGCUUGACUUAUCAAGAGCCACAUCCAUGUUGAGUUUAUAUUGCCUAACAAAGGCAUCGACUAGGUCCUUUCAUCCUUUCACCUUGGUGUUGUCCAGAUUCAUGUACCAAUUGAGAGCGACAUCACUUAAACUGUCUUGGAAGAAAUGGAUCAACAACUUCUCAUCGUAUACUACUUCAACAAUCUUAUUGCAGUAUGCCUUAAGGUGGAUUAUCGGGCAUUGAGUUCCAAUACACUUAACGAAUUCUAGCACUCUAAACUUCUUAGGAAUGACUAUGUUAGGCACCAAACACAUAUCGGCGGCUUUCACUUGGUCAUGCAAAUUGUUUCCCUUAACUACCAUCAUCCUCUGUUCUAGGGCAACCCAUUUUUCCAGACACUUAUCUUCUUCCAUUUUGUCCUUGUGAGACUCCUCUAAGGUUAGCUCAAUAGCAUGAGGGAUCCUUAUUGGACAUACAGGUUGUGUUGGGAAAUGCGCAUCGCGUUGGGGCUCAAGUGAGGUUCUUUAUGCCCCCAAGUUUGGUGGAUUGAAAGGAGUUGCAAACGUUGGUAAAAGUUGGGCUAUAAAUGUUGCUUGGGAGGAUUUCCUUUCUCCUGACUUGGAUCUCAAAGCUUGCUAGUAAGUCUAGCAACAUCUUCUUUCAAACUGUUUAACUCUUUUUGAUGUUAGGCAUCCAGUUGAGCUUUUUCUUUGUUUUUCAUUUUUUUUCACAACUACGUGUUAUAAGAGUGCGUUUUAAUGGGGGGACCUAUAUUUCACCUAUUUGUGCAAUAUUAUGAUAAUUCAUAAGUGUAUGUUCAACAUGCAUGAGUAUGAAUGGAACAUAUUGGGUAUGGAUUCUCUCUUCAAGGGGUGACAUAACGAUCGUUAUUCUCUAGAUGUGUGGUCAAAUCCGAAUCCAAUAUCAUUAUUGCAAUGCCAAGAGUAUAUUUGCUUAGCCUUUUGUCAUCUGAGCGUUCAGCGAUGUAUACUUGGUGUCUUUUGUUAUGCAUCUAAUGUCUUUGAGUAGCGGUAUCUCACUAACAUCCAGUUUAGGGCAAUCUCCCUCAGUCAUUUGCAAGGAUUCAGACUCGAUUCCAUACUCAAUAGUGGUUAUAUUAGGCAUAACAACCAUUAUGUCACUCGAAAGCCCCAUAAUAAAGAUGCUUACACGUUUAAGCUUACCUUACUGAAAUUACACAAGAAUCAACCUAAAGGGUAGGUUCUAGUCAUUAAAUGGAUUGAGGUAAUUUUGCUAUCUAGUCUUAAAGGUCUUUUGCAUACUCAGUGAUCAUCCUCAAAAGGUUGAUAUGAGGUUAACAAGUAGCAUGACAAUAGAGGCCUUGAGUAAUAUCAAUUCGGCGUAUCAACCACUUUCGAGGAAACAAUCAUGCGAGAGUUGGAUAGUUUAGCAAGCCUGACCCAGACUAAAGCCAUUGAGGUGCCGUUACUCCUCCACUUAUCUUAAAGUUGAUACCAUACAUAAAAAAUGAGAUGAGUGAAGUGUGAAGGCCUUAGAUCCAUAUCUAAUAUAUAUGGAUUAUAAACAUGAAUAACGAUGCCUGCUAAAAUAGUAAAAAGAGAAAAACAAAAAAUAAAACUUGAUAGACACAUCAUAACAACAAUAAAGAAAAAAACAUUAUGACAAAUAUUGUUUAGCAAUAAAAAAGAAAAAAAACAAAGCCUACUCAUAAUUUCCCAGUAGAGUUGCCAUUCUAUCACACCUAGACAUCGUGGUGAAUGUUCAAAAAUAUUUUCUCAUGAAAAAAAAAGAACAGAUAUCUGGCAUCUUGUUCCCUAAGAGAAAAUGGUCUAGUUUAAGGUGUCGCCACCUAGUAUUAUGGUUACUAGAAACCCUAACUGGUCAACAGAAAUUCUUUGGUACAUGACUGGUUCUAUGAAAUAAAAGAUAUUAUCACCCCUAAAGCGUCUCAUCUAAGGUAGGCUGCAUUGCUAGUUUUGUAGUAAAUUGCUAAAGAUUAUUUUUUGUUAUGUUCUUAUGGUCUUUCUAUAGUAUUCUUGACUCAAAUGUCAAUGAAUAUUCACCUAUAAAUAUUUUUUUAACUCUAGCGUUGAUAAAUAUUGCGCAACCUAAAAGUAUGAUAUUCCUAACUUUGACACCAGUAAAUAAAUUCACAAAAUUCUGUAUUAAAAAACCAAAAACUAUGUUUUUUUUUCUUUUUUAUCAUUUUUUAUUUAUUUAUGUAGCUCGGUCUCAAAACUAAAAAAAAAGGGUCGGGUCACUGGUCCAAACCAGUCACCCAGCUGGCCACUGUUGCAUGCAUGCAUGCAACAGCAACCAGUUAAUUGUUUUAGCAAGCAAGGAAGGAAACUUACCUGGACGUGAUGCGCUGCUGGAGGUGAAGUCGAGGGAGAUGGUUGUGGUCAUGGAGGGCUGGCCUACUAAUACCGUUUUCUUCUCCUUUGUUUUCCUUUUGUUCUUCCCCUGGUCUUCUUUUUGUGCUCUCCUUGUUUAUAUUGUGCUCGUCUGUUUUCCUUCUCUCUUUACUAGUUCUUUUUAUGCUAGCACUGAGGACGUACGAAUGUCUACAACCGUGGCUGAGGAGAAACAACUUUUGUUGCUCAUGGUGGCUGCUGCUCAAGUCAUCGAAAUUUGUGCUGCCACUACUAAGAAGAGAAGGUUGCUGCGGGAAAUGCAGGGGUGUAGCUGAUGCUGAUGGCUGUUGUUAUAGGCUAGGAGGAAAGGAAAGAAGGGUUCCCCCUGCUGCUGUUGCUGCUGCCUUGCAUUUUCUCCUGGUUGCUGGAGUUGUUGAUGACAUUGCUGCUAAUCUUGACUACAACCAACAUUGGGGAUGGAGCUCACAGUUGGAGGCAACGCUAUUGAUGGCUGAGGAUGGAGUCCUGCUGUUGUCAACAUGAACUAUCUUUGCUGCCGUAUUUCUCAUAAAAGGAUCAUGUUGUUGCUGUGGCGCAGAGAAGAAGUUCCUGCUGGACUGGGGGAAAGAGAAGAUGAAGGCCUCUCCUGCAACAUCGGAUGAAAGCCUAUAUGGUGGCUUUUGGAGGUUGAAGGGGGUCCUCUAUUCUGUUGGGUCUGUGAGAUGAGGGAGAUGAAAGGUGGUCUUUUUUUUGUGUGUUCUGCUUAGUCUGGGUUUCAGGGAUGAGCUGAGGAGGGAAAGAGAUGAGUUGAGAGCCGUUUUUGGAGGCCGGGGAAGAAGAAAAGAAAAGGGCUGGGGUCCUCUAUUCGAAAGUGAAUGACUAUUUUUAUCUUGAAGAUUACAAUAGAACAACAAAAGUACAUUGUAGUUUUUAGUUUUUAUACAAGCUGAUAAAUCAUAUUUUUUAUUAAAAUAAAUCCUUAAUAUUUUAAUUUUAUCUUUUAAACCUCGUAAAAUUAAAUCAAAAAUCAACAUACCAAAAUUAAGUUAUGGCACUUAAUACCGCAUUUCUUCCUGAUACCCUCAGGUUUCUUCAUGAAUAGAGGUUGGGAUACCCAGCAGUUUAGAAAACGAAAUGGCUUCCAUCCCCACGUUUGGCAUUGCUGUCCUAAAAUAAUUGGACAGUGGUCAGACAAGCCUGGUGGCAAACGACUGAGAAGAAGGCCUGAGAAUUUUAAAUGGCAGUCUGGAGUGGCAAAGGCUCUAUGAAUUCUACUCAUUGAGGUGCCAUGAAAUCGUGUGUAUCGGUGGCCACUGAAGGAAUACUCCAAAAGGUUAGAGCUUGAGAUGAAACGUUUGAAAUCUGCAGACCCAAUUGCAUUCAAAAACCCACUAUUCCUUUAAUAUUGAUGCAAAGUUUCAUUGAAGUCCCCAACAAUGAACAUAGACUCCUAUUGUUGCACAUUUAAAUUGCUCCCUCCAUGUGUAGACCAAAAAGCGCUACCAUUGCCCACCAUCUUCGAUUGACUAUCUAGAGCCGUCCGUGAAAUUGGAGGAAUGCAUUGUUUACAUCCAUUUACCAUAGCUUAUAUGGAAUGCAUGGUUUUGAUCGAUCCAUCUGGACAUGUCUUCACCUUGUAAACCCAUUUAUAAGAUAUGUGCUUCACGUCUAUAUAGAGUCUCAUGUCUGAUUUUCCUUUAGAGCAUGGAUCUCCUCAUCCAUUUCAUUCUUUCAUUCACUACUCUGUGAUAUAGGCUCUAUAACCUAAGCUUUCAAAGUUAAUGUUAUGCUUGCAUAUUUUGGAUUUAGUUUCCGUUGUCUCCUUGACCUUCUCAUUUAUGACUGAGGUGUACCUUGUUCUUAAACUUUUGCUAUCUUGGUUACUCUUCUUUAGAAGAUAUUUGAUGAACACUAGUUUUCUAGGGGCUUGCUCGCAUUAUAGGAUUUUCUUGAUCAUCAAAUGUUGUAGACUCCUCCAUUAAUUUUCAAGGUAUUUGUUGCAUAUCCUUGAAUAAGUCAUUGGACUCUUCUUCACAAUGGGAAUUAUCUGUCACCUUCACCUUUUCUGGUGACCACUAGGAAGUUACUUCAUCAAACACGACCUUCCUCGACACCAUACAUUUUAUUGGUAUUGGGAUUGCAACAUCUCCAUCCCUUUCUUUGCACAUUUUAAACCCAAGAAUACGCAACGAAUCACUUUCUUAUCUAAUUUUCUUCGAAGAAUAUCGGGUGUGAACACAUAGCAUACAUAUCCAAACACUCUAAAGUAACUCAUCUUUGCCCUCAUGCUCGUAACUUCUCACAUGAUGAGGUGAAUCUAAGAUUUGCUUAGGUAAGCCUAUUGAUAACAUGUGUAGCUGCCUUCAUGCACUCACCUUAGAAUCUCCUUGGAACAUUCUUGACAUGUAGCAUACUUCUACAAGUUUUAGCUAAGUGCCUAUUCUUUCUCCCCGCUACUCUAUUUUGAUGGGGCGCUGCUGGACAAGUAAGUUGCCGACGAAUCUUGCAUACUUUGAGAUAGUUUUUGAGUUCUUCACAAGUGUCACGUUAUCUGUACGUAAGUAUUUUAUUUUCUUACUAACCUCACUUUCAACUUUCUUUUUUAAACUCUAAACUUUGCCGAGUUUUCAGUUCUUUCUUUCAUUUUUUUGAGAAGUAUAUGAUUUCAUUAAACGCCAUAACAUGACAGCAUGUGAAAUUACAGAACCUGCCAUAUAUCAAUUUUGCAGGAACUACCAAAUGAAGCAAGGUCCAUACAAAGACGACAAAAAUGAGAUAUAGCCUAAGAAAGCAACAUUGGAAUCUACACAAGAUAACCAUUACAUCAAAAUCCAGGGGACACUUUCAAGAGUCUCCAAUUCAUCUCUCUAGUGAAUCUAGACUUCUGAAAAGAAGCACAUUUAGCAGCCUCAGCUUAGCUAUGUUCGAAUCUAGUAUCCCUACUGGCAAGGAAAAAAUACCAAGGAGAUGACAAUGGUGGUUUCGCAGGACACCACCUAUACUUGAGAGUCCAAGCUUUCCAAGAGAUGAGCCAUCUACGUUCCACUUGAAUCUGCUAAUGGGUGGAGGAGACCAUAUAACACCAGUUGUAGUAAUCUGAACAUUGGACCAACGAAUCAAACCUUCUGCGGAUCUUAAUAGGUCUAAAGGGGAGUAAGGAAAGUCAAGAUGAAGUGCUUUCAACCAUAAGCAUAGCCGAGUGAUGAUAAGGAAGAAGACUGAAUCAUAGUUCGGCGACUUUUGUUGAAAGAUCAGGUCAUUUCAAAGAAGCCAAAGGUACCACACCACUGCGAAAAACAACAUCAACCAUGCUUUCUUCUGAAAUUUACCAUGAACCAUGGCAGUCCAUUGAGAGAACAAGCCUAACAAAUUCUUUGGGCAGCACCAUGAUAAUCCCCACCACUUGAUGAUUUUGGACCAGAUGAUCCAAUGCUUAUUGCAAUAUAGAAUUAAGUGAUCAACCGACUCUUCCUCGACUAGACAAAUAGUACAGUUAGAGUCUGAACUAUCCAAAGCACUUCUUCUAACCAGCACACCUCAGGUGUUGAGUCUAUUAAUAAUAGCCAUUAAACAAAAGAUCUCCACUUUAGGAGGGACUACACCUUUCCAAAUCCCAGCAAAAGAGAAGCCAUUGUUAGAAUAGUGAGUGGGGCUUAGCAGCCCACAUAGAGAUUUAAAGGAAAAUCUUCUAGAUUUGUUGUCCUUCCAUAUUAGUCUAUCCACAACCUCGUUGUCUAAGUGCACCGUUGAGAGAACAACAUAUAAUUGUUCUAACAAGCCAAUGUUUCGACCCCUCAAAGGUCUUGUUCAGGAAAAGAACCAUAUCCAUUCAAAACCAUCCCACAUUCCCAUCUUGUCAAUGCUGACAUCUUUAUCAUUGGAUAAAUGGUAAAGAGUAGGGAAAUGAUUUGCAAGACAGUAAUUGGCAAGCCAAAUAUCAUGCCAAAACACUAUUCUCUUCCCAUUUCCAAUAAGAACCAUAGAUUGAUGGGACACAAUCUCUUGUAACCUGUUAUCUCUAAUGCAAUGGUUGAUCAUAUGCGUCCAUGUGCUUCCAGCUCCUGAUUGCGGCAAGAAACCAGAGCAGUUAGUGUUGUGUAUGAAUUUGAUCACUUUCUUCCACAAGCUUGUUUCCUCCGAGCCUAACUUCCAUAGCCAUUUAUACAGUAGAGCUUUGUUUUUAUCCCUUAAAGAUCCAAUCCCAAGACCCCCAAUCCUUUUUGGAAGAGCAACUAUUGUCUAGCUAACAUUGUAUAAUUUCCUGCUUUCCUAUUUUCUAGACCACAAAAAGGAUUUGAACUUCCUCUCAAUUGUUGUUGCAACUGUUGCAGGCAUGGGAAAUAGAGAUAAAUAGUAGAUGGGCAGGUUACUUAGGACAGAUUUAAGUAGACAUAGUCUACCCCUAAUAGAUAGGAAUAUGCCUUUCCAUACAACCAACCUACAGCUGAUGUUGCGGUUAAUAGGCUUCCACAUUGAAAUUUUGUUCAUAUUUGCACCAAUGGGCAAGAUAUGUGAUGGGGAGUUGUUCUUGCUUGUAUCUAAGAAUCUGCGCUAAGUGGUGACAUAUAUGAUCUUCAAUACCCACUCCAAUAAUAUUGCUUUUGUAGAAGUUGACUUUCAGCCCUGAUAUAAGUUCAAAGCACAAAAUGAUACGCUUUAUGUUUUGUAAACUAGAUAGGGAAGCUGAACUGAAUAUAAGGGUAUCUUCCACAAACUACAGGUGAGAUAGGGCAGGACCAGUUUUGCUGAAAUUUAGUCCCUCAAUCAAUCCCAUACCACAACCAUGCUGCAGCAUACAACUCAAUUCAUGUGUUGCUAUCCAAAUUUUUACCCAUGUUUUGAUUAAUUUCUUUUUUAAAAUAAUAAUAAUAAUAAUAAUAAUAAUAAAAAUAAAAAUAAGGGUUUACAUGUGGCAACAACAUAGAGAAUCAGGGCUAAGGAAGCAAUAUGUCAAGGACAUAAUUACUGAAUCAUAUAUAAUUACUGCAAUAUAAAAUACCAUAGAUAUAUGAUUUGAUUCGUGCUUGUUAUGGAAAAUAAUCACUGCAAUAUAAAAUGCCAUAUAUAUAGGAUUUGUUGGUGCUGGUUAUAGAAGAUAAUCCCUGCAAUAAUUAUUUCAAUAUUUCCGUAAAUAACACGUGUAGCACUACAAGAUUUCACAGUUUUACCGACGGAAAUAUUCCGUCGGUGUGUGAUAGAACGUUCGUCGGUAAAGUAUUUACCGACUAUAUUACCGAUGGAAUACUCCUGUCAGAAUACCUUUUGUCAGUGAUUCCACAUUCCGUCGCUAUAUCAGUCGGAAAUACAAAAAAAAAAUUUACUGACGGACCGUGCGCGCCAAAAAAAAAAAGUUUCCCACUUGGAAUAUACCGACGGAAAAUAUUCCAUUGGUGUUAUGUAAAUACCGACGGCCUAACUCCGUCGGCAAAAGUGUCGGUGAUAUUUGAUACCGACCGAAUAUUUCCGUCUGUAAAUUCGUCGGUAAAUUUAUACCGACGGAUUAUUUCCGUCGGUGAUGGUGGGAGAUGGUGGCUGACAUUGUCCAAUGCCGACGGAGUUAUUCCGUCGGUAAAUCCCUGUGUAAUUGUUUUUUUUUAAUUGUUUUUUAAUUAUUUAGAAAAAAUAAUAUAAAUUAAUGGUAAUACAAACCAAUUAUGCAAAUAAAAUUUAUAUUAAGCAACAAAAACUCAAAGUGAAAUAAUAUUCAUUACAAAAUGAAUGUGUUUCAAAAAAAAAUUAAACAAAAUUUUAAAUGUAAAUAAUGUUUAUUAAAAAUUAAUAUAAAGGUGGUGGAGGAGGAGGAGGAGGAGGAUGGGGGUUAGGCAGCCAAAAAGGAUUAGGCGCACAUGUUCCACCUUGUGUCAUGUUCAUGACCAUUUGACGAAGCUCUUCAUAGGCCGCUCUUUGUUGUUCAAACUCUACUCUGUGUUGUUCGUUCGCCAAUCUUUGCUCUUCUUUGAGUUGUGUGUAUGCCUCUGAUAGGUGGUCGCUCCUUUGCUGCAAGGCCACAAACUCCUUAGAUUGGGAGCUCGAUACAGAUUGGGAGCUCCCAACAGUUGAAGCAGUACCGAUCGACCGCAAGUUGGCGGCGGUAGUGUUGGAGAGCCCGUAAACCCGAUUUUUAUUGGGUCCACCUGACGAUCCAGCCUCCAUCCACAAAUCCGGAUCGAAUUCCGGAUGGGUCAAAGAAUCAUCCCCGUAUCUUUCCCUCCACCGAUUAUUAUAGGUCUCCUGAAAAAAAAAAUCAUCAUAUUCAAUUCAAUAAACAUAAUAAUAACUUACAAAAUAAAAUGGUUGAACAAACAUACCACAAACUGUUGAGCACGGUUGUCAACGAAAUGUCCACACGUCAAAAGCUUUGAGAUAAGUUUCCAUUUUCACAGCCCACACACCAAAAUUCUGCCCUGUGAACACUGGUGUUUUUUCUAGAAAAUUUACAGAAUCCAUUUCUUAAAAAAAACUCACUUAAUCUCUUGUGUUUCACUCACAAUCCCUUGAAAGAAAAAUGCUUUGAUUUAGCCUCACUAAUCUCUCGUGUUUCACUCACAAUCCCUUCAAAGAUCAAAGAAUGCUCUGAUACCAAUUGUUGAUAAUUGGUUUAUAAAGAACUGAAUGUUGAUGAUAACCAGAAAAACAAAGAACAAAGAACUUGCAACAAAGAACAAAGAGCAGAAUGUUUUUGAUGAAGGUUACUGCCAUCGCUUAGCUUUUAUUUAUAGAUCAAUUACAACACAAUUAAGAAACAUAACUAAUAUAAACUCCUUCAUUUAUGGGGCUAUGUAACUUAUCCUAAAUAAGUUUCAUAAUUAAAGAAGUAAAAAACUAACUAAACAACAUUAAGAUAAUGAUGUUACUAAUAAAUAAACAUUAAUGAAAGAUAACAUAUGGUUGAGACAUUAAUUUCAGCUUUGGUGCCAUAGCUGCACAUUCCUAUCAUCUCCCUUAGAUCUUCAAAUCUCUCUUUAGCUAAAGGCUUGGUCAACAGGUCUGCUAAUUGCUCUUUUGAAGUGCAGUAUAUCAUCUCUAGUUCCCCUUCUUGCUGGAAUUGCCUAAUAGCAUGGAACUUGAUCUUCAUAUGCUUGGUUCUGUCAUGAAAAACAGAAUUCUUUGAAAUAGCUAUUGUUGAUGUAUUGUCACAGAACAAUUCUGUGGGACUUCGUUGAUCAAAUUCUAGAUCAUUCAGUAUUUUCCUUAGCCAUAUCAAUUGCUUUGCUGCCACAUAUGCUGCUAUGUAUUCUGCCUCUGCAGUGGAAUGUGCAACCACUGAUUGCUUCUUUGAGUUCCAACAGAAAAUGCUUCCUCCAAUAGCAAAGCAAUAACCUGAGGUGCUCAUCAUUUCUUCAUCACUUCCAGCCCAAUCACUAUCAGAAAAACCAACAAGUUUAACAGAACUUGAUUUCACAAAAUGCAUGCCAAACUCUAAAGUCCCUUUCAGAUAUCUCAAAACUCUCUUAGCUGCAACAAAAUGGAUUUGACUUGGACUUUGCAUAAACCUAGAGAGGUAAUUGACAGCAAAAACAAUGUCUGGACGUGUAGCAGUUAAAUACAACAAGCUGCCAACUAAACUUCUGUAGGCUUUUCCAUUAGUUUUGGGAGCUCCAUCCUCCUUCAUUAGAUUUUGUCCCAGUACCAUAGGUGUACUGACUGGUUUGCAAUUUUCCAUUGCAAAUUUGUUUAGUAGCUUCAUUGUAAACCUCUUUUGACAUAAGAAAUAACCUUGCUCCGAUUGAUUUACUUCCAUGCCUAAGAAGUAUGACAACAAACCAAGUUCAUUCAUCUCAAACUUAUCCUUCAUGUUGGUUUUAAACUCCUCUACCAGCUGCUCCUUGUCUCCUGCAAUCAAUAAAUCAUCUACAUAUACUGAUAUGAUCAGGGUAUGUUUGCCAACAUUUUUCACAUACAAAGUUACUUCAUUCAUGCUUCUUUCAAAGCCUAAACUCAAAAGAUACCCAUCCAAUCUGCUGUACCAGGCUCUAGGAGCCUGUUUAAGUCCAUACAAAGCCUUCUUUAGCAAAUAUACUUUGUUUGAUGUGAUCUCCUUUUCAAAGCCAUCAGGUUGUUCAACAUAUAUUUCUUCAUUUAGAACACCAUUUAGAAAUGCAGACUUAACAUCCAACUGAAAAAUAUGCCAACCAUUUUGUGCUGCUAGAGCAAGCAAGAGCUUUAUUGUAUCAAGCCUAGAUACUGGAGCAAAUGUCUCAGUGAAGUCAAUACCUGGCUCUUGUGAAUAACCCUUCACUACAAGUCUUGCUUUGUGCUUGCUGAUACUCCCAUCUGCAUUCAACUUGGUUUUGAAAAUCCAUUUCACACCAAUUACCUUCUUGUGAACGGGUCUGUCAACCAGCAUCCAUGUUUCAUUCUUUUCUAUCAUCGUGAGCUCCUCCUUCAUUGCAGCUAUCCAUACUUGUGAGUUGAUAGCUUCUUCAAAAUCUAUUGGUUCUGCUUCAGCAACAUUGCACCUGCUGUAAAUGUCAGCUAAGGACCUUGUCCCCCUUACUGGUUUGUCAUCGACGGUAUCAUCAUCCUCUGCAGCAUCCAGUUCAAUUUGAUACUCUUGUUUUGUCCCUUCAAUUGAUGCAGCUUCCCAGUUCCAUAUACCAUUCUCUGCAACUUUUACAUCUCUAGCAAUCACAACUUUAUUAGAUUUCAGAUCAUAGAUUUUAUAAGCCUUAGAUUUUGUGCUAUAGCCUAUAAAAAUUCCCAUAUCAGCCUUUUGAUCAAGUUUUCUUCUCUUAACUUCAGGUUGCAAGACAUAGCAAGGGCUGCCAAAAACUUUUAAAUGAUCAACAUUGGGUUUAAAGCCAUACCAGAUUUCAUAAGGAGUCUUAUCUCCUAACACUCUUGUGGUCAUACGUUUAGAAAGGUAAGAUGCGUGUUUUACUGCCUAUGCCCAGAAUUUUUAAUGGCAUUUUCUUCUCAUAUUAGCAAACAUCUUGCCAUUUCCAUCAAUGUUCGGUUUCUCUCUCACUUAUCCAUUCUGUUGUGGAGUGUAGGGAACUGUCAAUUGGUGUUUGAUCCCUUCUUUUGCCAAGUAUGCCUAAAUUGUCGAGAGGUAUACUCUCCUCCAUUGUCAGAUCUUAAUAUCUUCAAUUGUUUCCUGUUUCUAGUUCAACUGCUGCUAACUUAACAAACUCAGCAAACACAUCAGAUUUUGAUUUCAGAAAGUGAACCCAGCAGUACCUGCUAUAAUCAUCAACAAACAGAAGAAAAUACUUUGAACCAUUCAAUGAUUCAUUAUGCAUCGGCCCACACACAUCUGUGUGUACAAGCUGGAGUUUUGACAGUGCUCUAUAUGCAUUGUCAGGAAAAACAACUCUAGUUUGUUUUCCUAACUGACAUGCUUCACAAAUACUCUUUUGUUCCUGUAUAUCUGGUAAACCGUGAGUCACCUGCAGGUCAGCCAUUCUCUUUAAAGUUGCAUAAUUGAAGUGCCCCAACCGUUUGUGCCAGAGAACAGAUUCAUUAUUCUCAAAAGUGUUAGCACUCAAACAUACUUCUCUCCAAUCAACAUUAAAACUUAUGUUCAUCAUUUUUGCAAAAGCAGUAACACUCCAUUUUUAUCUUUAAUAUCACAUACUCCAUCAUUAAAGAAUAUUGAGUAACCAGAUUCCAGUAAUUGUCCCACACUCACUAGAUUUUGAUUAAUCUUAGGUACAUAAAGCACAUUUUUUAGAGUUUUUGUACCUGACAUUGUUUCAACUUCAAUCGCCCCUUUGCCUUCAACCUUCACAUACUCUCCAUUGCCAAUUCUUACUUUGGACAUGUAGCUUUUAUCCAAAUCCUUGAAUAAACUCAAAUCUGCAGUCAUAUGAUUAGUGCAGCCACUAUCAAUAAGCCAUGAUGAAUUGUUUACCUCUGCUGUGUUACACAUCUCCUGUAUUGUAGCCAUGAAUAAAAGAUCUUCCUUGACUUCUGAACAAUCGGCUACUUGAGCUUGUUUUAAUGUUUCUGCUUUAUUUUUGCAGAAUCUUUGAAUGUGACCAAAUUGCUUGCAGUUUCGGCAUUGUGCAUUCUUGAGCCAACACCAGGCUUCAAGAUGAUUUGUUUUCUGACAAAAUUUGCAAGCAGGAAACUGUUCUUUCUUCUCUUUCCCUCUAGUGAAGUUGUUGUUCUGUUGCCAGUUAUUGGAUUGCCAGCCUUUCCCUUUUUCUCUUUUUCCUUCUUGAUUGUUUCUGUAAAAAUUCUUAGCCCGGUUCUUCUCCUUGUAAACUGCAACAAGAGCUCCUUCACUUGAUCCUUCUUGUCUAUAAGCUUGCCUUUGCUCCACAGCUUGCAAUGCAUUUACCAGUUCUUGCAGGCUCAUUUCAGAGAAAUCUUUAGAAUCUUCUAAAGAGCAAAUUUUAUGUUCAAAUUUUUCUGGUAGACUUACCAGAACUUUCUCUACUAUUCUUGAAUCUGGAAAAUCUUCUCCCAAAAGUCUCACUUGAUUCACAAGUUUUGAAAUUUGAGAAGAGAAGUCUUUGAUGGUUUCAUUUUCUUUCAUCUUCAAACCUUCAAACUGUCUUCUAAGAUUUAAAAUCUGCAUCUUCCUUGACUUCUCAUCACCAUGAAAUUCUGCUUUUAAUUUAUCCCAUGUUUCUUUGGCAGAUUUACAAGCCAUAAUUCUGGUGAAGAUUUCUUCACUCACAGCAUUAUGAAGACAGGUAAGAGCUUUGAAUCGCUUUGCCUUUUCUUCAUUAAAAAACUUCAUCUGUGCAAUCGUAGGAUUGUUUCCUAGUGGAGUUGGUGGCUUAUCGCUCUCCACUAUCUCCCACAAGUCAAAAGCUUUGAGAUAAGUUUCCAUUUUCACAGCCCACACACCAAAAUUCUGCCCUGUGAACACUGGUGUUUUUGCUGGAAAAUUUGCAGAAUCCAUUUCUUAAAAAAAAACUCACUUAAUCUCUCGUGUUUCACUCACAAUCCCUUCAAAGAAAAAUGCUUUGAUUUAGCCUCACUAAUCUCUCGUGUUUCACUCACAAUCCCUUCAAAGAUCAAAGAAUGCUCUGAUACCAAUUGUUGAUAAUAGGUAUAUAAAGAACUGAAUGUUGAUGAUAACCAGAAAAACAAAGAACAAAGAACUUGCAACAAAGAACAAAGAGCAGAAUGUUUUUGAUGUAGGUUACUGCCAUCCCUUAGCUUUUAUUUAUAGAUGAAAUCAAUUACAACACAAUUAAGAAACAUAACUAAUAUAAACUCCUUCAUUUAUGGAGCUAUGUAACUUAUCCUAAAUAAGUUUCAUAAUUAAAGAAGUAAAAAACUGACUAAAUAACAUUAAGAUAAUGAUGUUACUAAUAAAUAAACAUUAAUGAAAGAUAACAUAUGGCUGAGACAUUAAUUUCAGCUUUGGUGUCAUAACUUCAACAAGAUUAUGUCUAUCAGUCUAAAUGUGCAUCUCUUUAGAGGUCUAGAUUCUCGUGAAAAUUAAAUUGGAGACUCUUGGAAGCUUCUCCUGAAUUUUGCAGUAAUGGUUAUCUUGUGUAGAUUAUAUUCUUGCUUUCUUAGUCUAUUUCUAAUGUUUUGUCCUCUUUGUAUGGACUUUGCUUUGAUUGGUAGUUCCUGCAAAAUUGAUAUGCGGCAGGCUUUGUAAUUUUUCAUGCCGCCAGGCUAUGGCGUUUAAUGAAACCAUAUUCUUCUAAAAAAAAAAAAAAGCCAUCAACAAGGCUUGUAUCGUAAAAAUCUUUCCCACCACUACCAUUUAGAGUGAAUUCUGCCAGGGAUGCUGGUGGGAUCGCACCGGCUCCGUUGCAUUCUAUGACGCCAGAGGCGCAGUCAGCUGUAGCACAAACAAACUUUCCCGAGGCAUCUGUAGAGCAUUGCGUUCUGGCCCACAAGCGGCCAGACCAAUUGACAGGGACACUCAGCGAAGAUGAAGCACCCGUCGCCAAUGUGAAGCCAGUUGAAGAUAAAGGCGGACGGCCAGCUGCCGUUAGAGUUCCUGGCCAGACUGUGUAUGGACACUUGCUUUUGAAGACGAAAGUCACAGAUUGAGCUCCUGCAUUCGUGCAAAAUUUAUUUUUGUUGAUAUCAAUUGCUAAAUCUUAGUCGAUUCAAAGAAAAUUUUAAACAAGAAACACCCUAUAUUAAGAACAUCGUAAAUCUAUUGAAAUAUAUUUUUUUAUUUCUUAUUUUAAUUUAAAGCUUUAAAUAAUAUUUUUCCUCUGCAAAUCAAAAUAACUAAUUUAUUGAUGUCAUUUUAUUUUCAAUAAUUAUCAUAAUUAUUGAUGAAAAUUAUUAGUUGUAAUCCAAUAGGAUUCCUUAAUUUAUUAAUUAAUAAUUAUGAUAUUUGUCAAUGAAAAUGAAAGGUUACAUUUACAAUAUGUUAUUUAUUUAUUUAUUCCAUGUAUGCUAUUAAUUAUCUAAUUUUAUAUAUAAUCUUAUUCAUGAUUUUUUUAAUAAAAAAUUAAUGUCGGUCCUUAUGAAUAAAAAACUUGUCAAUAAAGAAAAAUCUUGAUGUUAAUCCCUAAAAAUAUGUGAUUUUACCAAUUAAAAAAAAUUAAUGUUGAUCUCAAAAAGUAGGUGAUAAAAAUAGGAUAUUUCAUUGGUUUAGAAAGAUUUUGACGUUAAUCUCUAAAAAUAUGUGAUUUCAUCAAUUCAAGAAAAAUUGGACAUUAAUCACUAUAAUAUAUAAUUUCAUCAAUUUUGGGAAAACCUGAUGUUAAUCUUAAAAAUAAUAGAUUUCAUCAAUUAAGGACAAGUUGGAUGUUAAUCUCUAAAAAUAGGAGAUUUUAUUGAUUUAGGAAAAAAAUCAAUGUUAAUCCCUAAAAAUAUAUGAUUUUAUUAUUUAGGAAAAACGGAUGUUAAUCCCUAAAUAUAAGGGAUUUCAUCGACUUAGAAAAAAAAUUUAACAUUAAUCCCUAGAAAUAGGUGAUUUAUUUGAUUUAAGAAAAAAAGAAUUUUAAUCCCUGAAAAUAAAGGAUUUCAUCGAUUUACGAAAAAAAUUUAUGUUACUCCUUAAAAAUAGACUAUUUUCUUGGUUUAGGUAAAAAAAAAAAUGGUGUUAAUCCUUAAAAACAGGUUAUCUCAUCAAUUUAGAAAGAAAAAAAUGGACAUUAAUAACUAAAAAUUGGUGAUUUCAUUGAUUUUUAAUAAAUAUUAAUGUUAAUCCCUAAAAUAAAAAAUUUUAUUAAAAAACCUAUUUGCGAAAAUGAGCGUUUGGGCACGAAUACAUAGUGAAAAUUAGGCUUUAGCCAUACUUUAUUGAAUGUCUAGAAUGACCCGAAGGGUGCCAACUAUACUUAUUAGGUCUAUGUGAGGCCAGGUUACCCAGCACGGGUCUACUUGCAACAAAAGAGAUAAUAUGUCAUAAAAAACAAAUAAUAUAUAUAAAAAAACAUAAUUACAAAUAAAGAUGAUAAAACAAAAACAUGAUAAUUUUUUUUCCAAUCAUAAUGGUGUCACUUUGAGAGUGACCCUGCCAAUAAAAUAACAAUUUACUUAUUAAUAAAAAGGUGAAUCAAGAGGGUAUUGUUGGAGGCACCCUUCAAAUAUUGAUCCUAUUGAAGUUUAACAAAACAAUUUCUUUUAAAAAACAUAAAACCAUAAUUCAAUUGUAAUAGCAUACAAUCAUUAUUUUUCUAUAUAUUUUUUGUUUUUUAUGUGAAAAUGCCCCUACCGUAUUUUUUUAAAAAUACAUCCACAUUAAAAACCUAUCACAAUGAAAAAUUAAAAACAAAUAAGAAAAACCAAAUGUCCACAUUCAAAUUUCACAACUAGGGGCUUCUUACCCUACAGGUUGCCACACCAUGGUGUAAAUCCAACAUUUUAAGUGUCACAAAUUGUAACAGCCUCAUUUGUUAAAUUAGUUUAUCCAUAAAACUUCCACAUAAUAAAUGAAUGUUUUUUUUUUAAUUCACAAUAACUUCCUAAAAUUUCGAACAAAAUUUUAGCAAAGUCUCCUCUAUACCAAGAGAUCCUAAUUUAUCGACAAAUUUACCCUGCAUACAUUUCUAUUCACAUCCCAACCAUGAACACAUCUACAAAUGAUCCAACUCAACUAUUCAAUUCAUUCAAGAUUAUGAUCAUGAUAAAUAGUUUUAUUCAAUUUCCAUCUCAUAAUACACGCAUAAAUUAUAAAUUAAGAUGAACAUCCAAAUAUUGAAAUUUCAUAUACAAACACAGCAUAGUUUAACAUUUUAAACAUAACCAGUACAUUAUAAUAUUCCAAGCACAAAUUAAUACAUUUCGAUAUUCCAAACACAAAAUAGUAUAAGGAGUAUACUAUUACACUCAUGUUACAUGAUUAUUGCAUAACAAAAUACAUAAAUAGACCCCAAGUCCCUAGCUUAUACAAAAGGGGUUAAUAACCUAAUUUCUACUCCUAAUAUGCAUGGAGGGACCUACAAAUCAUGAUUUCAAUAUAAAUAAAUAAAUAAAAUAAAAUACAAUCAAUUGCAAGAAAGAAAAUUAUACAAUACAUUUAACUAGCCCUUUCAAGGAUUUGUUAAUUUGUUUUCCAUAACUAUUUCCCUUUACAUAUAUAUAUAUAUAUAUAUAUAUAUAUAUAUAUAUAUAUAUAUAUAUAUAUAUAUAUAUAUAUUCCAAGUUCUGAUUCUGAUCAAAGGUAUCCACCUCGCCACUUCUACCCAAAAUGGGGAGGUUACUGCCGAUGUUGAUGACCCUCAUUAGCGCCUUUAAUUGCCUAUCCUGGGAUCAACUAAUCAAGUUCAUAGAAAUGCCGACACUAAACUAACCAUUGGUGUCAUUAACUAUUUCCUAGCCGAAAUAGUUAAUCAAUGUUUCAGGUUACCUUGGGAGGUCCCCGGGCAUGCCGAUGUCAAGAAUCCUUGACAUCAUUAGCUUUCACCUCGGAAAGCAAAUCAAGUUCCAUGAGUUAUGCCGAUAUCGACGUUGCCCGCUGAUAUCAUUAACUAUUCUGAACUCGAAUAGAUAAUCAAGUUUCAUAUUCCACCUCUCUUGUACCAGUCAUGUCGAUGUUAGCCAACUUGGCUAACAUCAUUAGCCUUCCAUAUUUAGGAUGGUUAAUUAAAUUCGAGGAAUGGUCAUCCAUAUGAAUCAUUGUUAUUGUCCAUUUCCUCCGUAAGGACCCAUUAUUAAAUCUAGAUUUCCAUUCCCAUUCAUCCCUUCCUUUUUCUCUUCUUUUCUCUUCUUUUUUUUCCCGUCAUCAUUAGGCACCAAAACUUAUGACUCAACCAAUGCUUAAAAUAAUUAUGAACUAGAGAAGAUAUAGGUACCGAAUACCUACCUACCAUCAUUUCUCGAUUUGCACUCCCUUGUUGUUGUUGUUGUUGUUGUUCUCCCCCGCAAUUCCUCUUAAAUUGACAAGUAUAACACAUUAGUUAAUGUUUGGUUUUCAUUUCGCAAGUAGCAAGGCAACAACAAUAUUUAUGCUUUACAUUUCAUUGUUUUAAAUCAUCACGCACAUCAUCAACUUCAUUUUUAAAUGUGGUUUAUCCUCUCCCAGUGUCAAGAUUCGAUGUUACAAAAAUUGUUGUGGGAAGGAAACCGGUUUUCUACCCCUAUCACGACUAAAUCCCCUGUUUUAAUAAUUCUUACUGAAUCUACCAGCAGGAUGGCAAUUUGGCCUUUUCUCAUAUAUUUAUAUAUAUAUAGAGCUCUAGAGAUCCAAAUUAAGCGAGGUCAGAUUCAUUGGAAAGCUGACAUCAUAUAGAGACUUAUGCAAUCUCUACAUAUGAGAGGGGAGAGUAGAAUCCACAAAACCUGGAGGCUUAACCUAUUGAUUAGCCAAUAUUUUCUAUAUAUUUGUAUAGAGCAAUAUACAAUAAUAAUGAUGAAGAUUAUAAUAUAGGAGUAUGCCUAUAAUAUUUUCUACAUGGUUACAUUCUAUGAUAAUGAGAAAGCAAACUAGUAAACAACCAAUCAGAGGAACGCCCUGCUUCUCACGUCAAAUGAAAGCAAUUGAAUGUAGGUAGAGGGCCAUACUCACAAGAAAAUUGAUUUACACCCGACAUUAUAUUUUGUAAGAGUAAAAGCUAUAUAUUUGUGUCUAUAAAUAUCAUAUAGAUUUUUUUAUGGAAAUAUCUUGUUAAUAAAUAUUAAAAUAUUUGAUAUCGCAACACGAAGCAUAUAUCUUGUUGUGUUUAAUAACUUUUUUAUUUGAAUAAAUUUUGUAUCUAAUAAAAUGAUUAUCCAUGCCAAUAAAAUGAUGAAAAUGAGCAUCACAUGCUUAUAAUUAAUUAAUUAAUUAAUUAAAUUAAAUGAAAAAAAUUAUAUAAAAAGAGAAAUAAAAAAAAACACAAAUAAAAAUACUCGAGAUAUCUCGAGUCAUUUUCAAAAUAAGUGAAAAAUCCUAUAGAAAACAAAAUUCAAUGGAGCCCAAUAUCCAAUUAAAUAAAUGUUAAAUGAUGAAACUAAAAUAAAUGUGUGCUUAAAAAAAGAGAAAAAACCAAGCAAACUCGGGCAAACCUCCUCAACCUAGGUUAAUCUCUAAAACAUAAAACUCAUGAAAUCCUAGACUCUAGCUUGAUUAAGAAACAUAAUUCUCAAAUAAUUUAAUGUUGAAUAAUGAAAACAUGAAAAAAAAUCAAUUUAAAAAAAUUACCAAAGUGAAAAAAUUACCAAAUCAAUUAAAAUAAUGAGGAUUAAAUCUGAUAGGGAAAAAAAAAAUAUGAAGAAUGAUAUUGUAAAAAAAAUCUAAUUAAAAAAUUUUCUCUAAUAAAAUAUUAGUAAUAAAAAGAAUAUGGAUAAAAUUUGAAAGAUAAAAAAACUUAAAGGGGAUGAAAUUGUCAAAGAAUUCCAAUUUAAUAAAUUAUUCCAAACAAACAAACAAUGAUCAAAAGAACAUGCACCAAAUCCGAAGGGAAUAACAAAUUGAAGGCAUGCUUUGAAAUUUUGAAGGGGCACAUGUGAAAAUCAUGGAGAGAGGAAAGAAGAAGAGAAAGACAAGGUUGUUUGCCCCAAACCAAACAACCAGUUCACUCGGUCUUACCAAACGGUCGACCGGAUCACCUUAAAUGCUAGAUUUUGACAAUUUGAACUGCUACAUCUUGAACGAUACUAAUCCUAUAUACCUAUAGAGUGAAGUGCUUGAGUUUAUUUUAAUUGUGCUAUUAAGAUAAGAUAUAAAGAUUUAUAUAAUCACUAAAAUGAACAAUUAAUUCUUUGUCUUCACUUGUUUUGCAUCUUGGAUAUCUUCAUUGAUUUUUUCAUGACAUCCUUCAUGCUUGUUGAUGUUAAAACUCAUUUGGGUUAUUCCUAAAAUUUCUUUACCGUAUUCCUUUUCAAAAUAAAAAUAAAAUAAUAAAAUAAUAAUAGCAUGGAGACUAACAACGUGGAAAAAGCUAGUAGAGGAAGGAUUUUGAAUAUAGAAAAAUAGAAGUUUUGUGUCAAUUAAGGGUUGCAUUAACAAAAUUUUCAAUCAAUGCUCAUUUUGAAAAAGGCAAUUAGGGACUUCAUUGAAAAAAUCUAAAACCAAUGACCAAACUAAAAAAGAUGUGUGAAUAUAGGGGUUAAAAUUGACUGAAUCAGGGACCACAUUGAAGAAAUUGGAAGUUUGUUGAUCAAUUGAAGGUCAAAAUGCACAAAUUCAAAACCAAGGAUCAAAGUGAAAAAGGCAACCAACUUGAGUGCUGAUAUUUGAAUUUGACAGAGAUGUAAUUGAAUUAAUUCUUAAAAUCAAAAUCUAAAUUGAGAACUUAAUUGAAGAAAUACAAAAUUGAGGACUGAUUUGGAAAAAAAAAACUUCUUAGGCAUCGUUUCAUGCAUUUGUUAUUCCAAAAAAGAAAAAAAAAGACAAAGCUCAAAACGGUGUCGUUUUGGAUGGCACUCGACAUCUUCUACUCCCCCCAAACGUGUUAUAGGCAUUUCCCCCCUUCUUUGUAGCGCCUCCCUCUCCCUCUCCCUCUCCCACUUGUCCAAAAUCCCCAACACAACCCACACCUCCUCAUGGGCUACCACCAUGAUGAAAGGGCAGAGGGGACAAGCCUUGUAGGUGACUUUGGGGUGGUUGCACUGUGGCCGCCCCAGCUACCUUACCCCUUCGCCAUGACUAGACAGGGGUAGGGCAGCUCCCCCCCCCCCCCCGCCCUUUAUAAAGACCAUCCUUACCAGGAGGUUGGGGGGUGAAAAAAAGAAAGAAAGAAAAAGGAAACAAAAACGAAACAAAAAAGAAAAGGAAAGAAAGAAAAAUAAGGGAAAACAAUGGAAACAAAGGGAAGAAAAAGAAAAAAAAAGAAAGAAAAGGAAGGAACACUCUUUGGCCUCUAUUCAAAGAAGAAAAGGAACCUCCUCUCCUCCCCUCUCUUGCUAGUUAGUAGUAGCAGCCACCAUUCCUCCUAGUCAUCACCAUAACAAUGCCAUUGUCAAUGUCAGCAACCACGCUACCCUCACUCCAAGUAAUCUUCUUCCCCUCUAUGUUCCAUCUUCUUACCUGCUUUCCUUCUCCAUUUCAUUUGAAUGUAGAGCGUGAGCAAUUCACGUUAUGCACAGUAACCAUUUAAUGGUUUUUUGGGCUCGGUCUAGCCUUAUAUAAAAAAAGAAAAAAAUAUGUUGGGUUGACAUGAACCCAACUCUUUUGGCCCGAAGUCAACCCAAUUUUUUUUUUUUGUAUUUUUACACUGUAAAGAUACAAAUUCGUUACUAAAAUACCUGUUUUUUCUCCAAAAUAUUGCAAAACAAAUAUAUAGAAAAACAACAAAAGGAAUAUCUUGUUUUCAUGCAUAUGACCGAGUCUCUUAAAAAUAUAAGAAAUUUCAUAUCGUAUUUUCAUACAAAAUGAAAUUCAAAAACAAUAUGUGUUAGCAUGCAUUUUGGGCUUUAAUAACCACUUUAUUAAAGCAAUGAGAACUACGUCUAUAUUUAAAAAAUAUCAAAAAAAUAUUUUGUUUUCUUUUAAUAUCUAGGAUUACGAACUUAUGCAUAAGACGUAUUCCUGAUAUAUAUAUAUAUAUUGACAUUAAAAUGGUUAUGUUUUUACCUGAUAAGAUAAGGAUUUUCUUAACGAGGAAGACCUUUUUUAAACCUUAGACUGACCAACAAUUAGAAAACACAACAAUAUGUUAGUUAUAUCAGAUAAUUAAACAAUGCAGAUUACCUGAGAUAAGGCGUAUUGGGGGUGUUAAUACCUUCUAUUUAUGCAACUAGUCUUCGUGCCCGAUCUUAGAGACCAGUUAGGGUUUCUAUUGACCAAAAAACUAAGUGACGACUCCCAUUCCUUCUUUCCACUAAUAAAGGACAAGAAUUCCUUAUCUUUCCCAUUUCUCAAUUCGAGAGGAUGUUAGUCAAUGUCACACACGUGCGACAACCAUCAACAGCUCUCGUGAGCCACCAGGAAUCUUCAUUGUUUAUAGCAACCAACUGGAAGCUUCGACUUGUAGUAGCAACUUCAAACCAACCAUUUACCCUCUCCCAUGGUGACAGUAGCACCUAUAACCAAUAGAGAGAAGAACUAAAGAGGAAGAGGAAUUACAAUACAAAUAGAACAAAGUAGAAAUUUCAACUCAAUCGAUCUUCUUUCUUUGGUAGCCGUGAGCCUCACUGUUGGGGUUAACAGGAAGAGGAAGGAUUGAUCUACCAUGUCAAGGUCCUCACGCAAUCUCAGGUCUCGUAGGCAUGACGCGUCAAUAAUGACAGUUCUCUUCCAGGGUGGGCAACAGACACGAUGCCACUGAUCAACCUACUUCCAACAGAUUCCAAACAUCUCUAGCCAUUCCUGAAGGCAAAAUAUUAAUGUUAAGAUUGAAAUUUGGUAAUGUUGUUUGGUUGUAUGAACAUAAUUUUGAGGUGAUGAGAAAGUUGUUUGAUUCAUAGUUUUGUUAUAAGUAUAAUAUAAGUAUCAUGUGAAAAUAAUAAAUGAGCAUUAUUGAUUUUGAUUAAAAAAUAUUUGACAAGUAUGAAUUGUGAUUUUGAAGAUAUGAUAGACAACGUGUACAUUUUUUUAUAAAAAUAAAUGUUGAUUAGAAAUUGUUUGUUAAUUGGUUAUGUGCAUAUAAGAAAUAAAAAAAAUGUGCAAAAUGUGUGAGACAUUUGUUUUUGAAAGUGAGUUGGAUGAAUAUUAUAAGAUGGUUGAAUAUAACCAUAAAAUUUAAAAUUUGAGAAUUUUUAGAUUAUUGUGAAAAAUCUUGCAAUGAAUAUAUAUGGACUAAUUAUUUUUAUAAAAAUAAAGAUUGAUUAAUUAACCCAAGAUUGUAUGGUCUAACCUUAGGCUUUGUCUUUUAGAUGUUGAUUAAUAAAGAAAAAUAAAAAUAAAAAUAAAUUUGUCCUUGUAUUAAUUGUUCUUAUCAAUUGAUUAAUUAAUCCAAGAUGGAAUGGUCUUCUACUAGGGUUAUCGAGUAACAUGAUCAAUUAAUAUUUGAUCAAUGAAUUAAUUAUUUCUAUUAAUUAUUAAUUGACCAAUGAUGAUAUGAUCUAAUAUUAGGUUAUGUUCUUUAGUGUCGAUAAGUGAAUGAUAAUACCAGUUAAUACAUGAUCUCUACGAUAUUAACCAAUAAAAUUAAGUAGACCAAGAUGGGAUGGUCUAAUAAUGGGACCUGUUCUUUGAAUGCUACUUAAUGAAUAAUAUGAAUUUUUUAACCCGCGAUAAGCCUCAUAUAUAGGUGUGCUCAUCAUUUCCAAAUAAUCGAGGAUAGAAAGGUCCAAUAGUAGUGACACGACCAAAAGAUUGAUGUCUUCUUCCAAGUGCAGGAGUGUCGAAGUAAUAAAUAACCCGGCAAGACUGGAGUCGAACCACAGAUAGGUUAAUUGUAUAAAUUAUAAAUAACAAGACGACAACAACAACAACAACAACAACAACAAUAAUAACAACAAUAAUAAAAAUAAUAGUAAUAGUAAUAAUAAUAAUAAUAAUAAUAAUAAUAAUGAUACUCAGUACGUAACGUUGUUAUACCUGAGAAUGAUCUAAAAGAUCGGGUCACAGGUUUCCAGCCUAUAUACUGAGUUUAUGAAAAGAUCAAAGAGAUAAAUUAUAUAGUAUAAACAAAAUGUAAAUAAUAAUAAUAAUAUUAAUAGUAAUAAUAGUAAUAGUAAUAGUAAUAGUAAUAGUAAUAGUAAUAGUAAUAGUAAUAGUAAUAGUUAUAAUAAUAAUAAUAGUAGUAGUAGUAGUAGUAGUAGCAGUAGUAGUAGUAGUAUUAAUAAUAAUAAAAAGAAGAGGAGGAAGAAAUUAAUGAGAACUUUGAGAUGGAAGAUUAAUGUAAGGAUUAAACAAUGAUAAAAACAAAUGUCAAGGUUAGAGGAUCCACCAAUGGUAUUUCAAACAGGUAUAGUAUAAACUUUUAUUACUCAAUUUGGAAACCACACACGGAGGAGGUUCCAAUCGAAUGAUUUGUCAUUAAUAGCUCAUUAUAAAUUAUUAACAUGAUCAUAUUAAUUAUCUUAUUUACAUAACACCAAACUUUUAAAUAUUGUCAAGAAUUCAUGAUGUUAACUGAUGUUAACAACAAAUCAAGUUCCUUUCAUAGCCCAGGUGUAGGUAAUACCAUACGGUUGGGCUAUGAGAGUGCCAAGCAUUUGUUGUACCAAGUAUUAUACAACACAAAUCUAGAUUGACCAUUUAACAAGCAAGGUAUUAAGAAUUAGUAAGAUAAAAAAAUAAGACAUGUUAAUAUUAAACAUUAAGGUCCAUGUUGAGUUUACACCAUACUUGUUCUUACACUAUUAGUGUAACCUUUUAACCUUGACAUAAUAAACUUAGCUAAAUAUAAUGAAGAAGAGAAACAUAAAUAAACAAAACAAGAACAUAAAUAAGAUACAAGUUAACUAAGGAAAAGAAAGGAAAUGAAAAGCAUAAACAAGAUAUUAAUGAAAGCAAAACUUAAGAAUCACAAAAAAAUAUAAAAAGAGAAAUAAAGAGCAUGAACUUGAUCUGAACAACCAACCCCCAAAUGCAUGGCAAAUGCCUCUUUUUAUAGGCUAAAAUUCAGAAUUAUUGAUUUGAUGACUAAUUGUUGACUGGGUGGCCAACUUUUGACUUGGUGAAAAUCCUUAUCUUCUUGUGUGAAUAAAAAAAAAAUGCUACCAUCCGAAUUGGGUCCACUGGAAAACAUGAAAGUUGUAGGAAAUUGACUCCGCUUUCCAUGAAAAAAAAAUGGAGGUCAUUUGGACUUCUAGAACUCCAGAUAUGGGCCAAACACUUAACAAUGCUCGGGUUGCAGGACAGAUUCAGACUUCUCCGUUGUUGCUAUAAUUUGGACUGGAAAACGGCCUUCUUAGAUCUUGAUGAAAACAUGAAAGCUAUAGGCCUAUGUCUUAAUGAAUAGUGUUCCAGUUUGGACUGCACCAACAUCUCUUUUCUAAGUUUCACACUCUCUUUAUCUUCACAAAUUUCAAUAUUUGAAUUAGUCAAUCAAUCCUUUGAUUUAUGUGAUAGGCUUGCAUUUAAGAUGAGCAUUUACCAUAUAUUAGGAUUUUAUAGUAUUAGACUUGUUAUUAUAAAACAUGCUUUAGUUAAGGAGUUAUUGAUACUUUAAGUGCAAAAUGAUGAUAUAAAACCUUGAUAAAAUGCACUUUUAAGUACUAAUCACACCCCCCAACCAGCUUAUUACUAGUCCCUAGUAAUCAAAGCGUUAAAAUAGAAAAACAAUUUGCAAAUUCCAUAAAGCAAGGCAUUCAUCAUUCAACUUCCAUUAAUCUAUCCAGAUAAACAAACUCUCAUUAAAUUCAUAUAUCUGCUUCAUACUCUUAAACAAGAUAUUAAUAAACCUUUUUUUGUGCUCAAAAUAUCAACAUAUAGUUAUGGGGCUUUACUUGGAAGAAAAACAAAUUUGUUCUAAUGUUUAAGGUUAACUUCCUUGGGUUGGGAUUAUUUUUCUUCUUUUUUUUUUAUUUAUAUACACAUACAACUUAAAACACAAUGCAUCUUUAACCCAUGUAACGAGUUUUAGGCUAAUGACUCCCAGACCAGUUGGUCUUAGGGCAUUAGGUGUUGAGACACCCCUACGAGCUUAGCAACUCGGGUUGCAGAUACUGAUACGUAGAUAGUGCAAUGUUUGAUUCCCUUAAGCUUUUCUCCUUAACCCAUGUAACAAGCUUGGGCCAAUAGCUCCCAAGUCAGUUGACUUUAGGGUAUUAAGUGUUAAAACACCCCUUCGGGCUUAAUUGCUUAGGUUAGGGAGGCUACGAAACCAAACUUAUCUACGUUUUUAUUAUCAUUUUUUUUUUUUUUUUUGCAAAUUAUAUACUAUCCUUUCCCUUAGUUGUUACCUUUAACAAAAGAACAUAAAUAAUGUAAUAAUCCAAUGUGCAACCGACAAUCAUAUGUUAAAGUGUGUGUGUGUGAAAAUGAAGAUUUAAUAAUACUUGUUAAAUGAGCAUAUGAGCAGAAUCAAGUGAUAACAAUAUGAGAGUUUGUAAACCUGAAUAUUUCAAGAAGUAUUCUGAUAGACCUUGUUAAGAAUGUUUACUAAGAUGCGUCUCAAGAGUCACUUUAACAAAAGAACUCCUUUUACUCUGCCAUCCUAGUAACAACAGUUUUGCAAAUAGUUUAUGAAAUAGAAAACACAGUUUUUUUUUUUUUUUAAAUCCUACUACCCUUUCCCCCCAACCAAAAUGAGACAUUGUCCUCAAUGUCUUAAGGUAGAAAGAUAGAGUAUAGAAGACAUCACCUGAAAUAACGAACACUGACAAACCUGAAACACACUUAAACAAAUAUAAGAAACAACAAAACACAAUAAUAAAACCAAAAGACACAAAGUUUUUACAAACGAAGGCUCAAAUCCAAUCUAAGCUUUUUACGGCUUUCCUUAGUUGACCAAUUUAUGCUCAUGGAGGGAUUAAUUACAGGGAUGAAAGAUUGUAGUUGGUCAAUCAAUUGUUCAGCAGUAGCAGCAGAGAUUAUGAUUUGUCGUGCUGAAGAUGUUAGAAAUUCCUGUUCCACAGCAUGAUCAAGAAAAGACAACAACUUAUCAUAAAAACCAUUAACAUUUAACAAACCUAUGGGUUUAUGGUGAAUGUGCAGUUGGGCCCAAGAGGAAAUAUGAAAGAUCUCUUCCAAUGUGCCCAGACCACCUGGUAAGGCAAUGAAGGCAUCAGCAUGGUUAAACAUUGCAUUCAGUCGAUCAGACAUUGUGGGACCUGUAAUUCCUCUCCAAUUGUUUUUCCAAUGAUGUCCCCUUUGCUAAAGCUUUGGGGACAACCCCCAAAACUUGACUACCUCCUAAAAAUGCAGCUAUUGACACUCCCCCAUUAACCCAAGGCUGCCUCCUCCAUACACUAAAUGAAUCUUUCUCAGCUAGUACCUGACCAAGAUGAUUUGCUGAUUCUAAAAACUCUUUUUCUUUCCCAGGACUGGAUCCACCAAAAACACAAAUAUUUGUUUAUGUGAUGACUUGAGGAACCUGCCAUUUCUACACACUUCUAUUAUUUGAUGAAUGUAUGGGUUGAGUAGAAAUGAAGGGAAGGAAGAGAAGAAUUUAUAGAUGAGAAAUUGAAAAUGCAAUCAUACCACCUAUAUGUAGGCCAGCUGUAGUCUCACACUCUCUCUCUCUCUUUAUUUAUUAUUUAUUUUGAAAAAGCAUGUGUAUGUACAGGUAGUUGUGAUUGUGGCUCACAUCUUUCCUUGGUUUUACGUCCAAGAACGGCUUAAACGCCCUCUAUGGGUCGGGGAUAGGCUUCCCAUCCAGUUUUCUUAAAAACUGGCAAACAGGGUCUUUUUUAGUCAGAUUCCCAAGACUAAGUCGAGCAUGUUCUUUAUGGAAUUGUGGCCAUAAAUCAUGAAUUGCACGAUGCACAUCUCCACUAGGGUGCGUCUCAAGAGUCAAUAGAAGAUUAUCUAAAGACCCCUUACUCAGGCCAUCCUUAAUGAAUUGUAUUUUAUCUUCACGGUUUAUAGAUACCAUUCCUAAAGAACGACAUGUCGCAUUACAAGUCCAUCUGGCACAUCCGUGACAGACUUUCAGUCGUUUUGCACGACGUUUCUUUGCAAAAGUGCUUUUACCUGUUCCAGGCAUGUGUGAAAUGAAAGAAUUGGAGGACUCACCUGAUAAUCGACCUUUGCUUCAAUUAGCCAACGAAUAUCUUCAGGAAUUCCAUGGUUCAUUAACAACCUCAAUCUUGCACAUCUAGCACGGUAAAUUUUUGUAAUCGCAUUCUGAGGCAGAGCGGGAAAAUACUUUUUCAAUUUUUCAAGAGUGGUGUCCAUUUUCAAAUGAGAAUUGGGGAGAGAUUCAAAGAAAGGAAGAAAGAGCAAGAAUUGCACAAAUAUAUACAGAUAUCAGUUAUCAUGGGAAACUGAAAGAACCGACUUAAGAGUCACGGAGUACCGUUAUCCGCCAUUUGACCGGGGAGAGAGACUAGCAAAACAAAAGUCACAAACAAAAACAAAACAAUGUGAGAAAAAGAAUCAAUCUUUAUAUACAGGAUCACCAAUUCAAUAGAGUCAUUUUCAACUGAAAAAUUGUCAAAAUAAACUUUCAAACGAUGCCAUUUACCUUGAAAACAUUGCCAUUCUUUGGAUUUCGAUAUCACAGGCCCCAUAUGGAUACACAUGUUUCACAAUAAAAGGACCGAUCCAUCUUGAUCUUAGUUUUUUAGGAAAUAAAUAGAGUCGAGAAUUAUAAAGCAAGACUUUUUGACCAACAUUGAAUGUUUUUCUCAAUAUUUUCUUGUCAUGAAACUCUUUGAGUCUUGCUUUAUUAAUUCUUGAAUUGUCAUAUGCAUCAUUUCUGAUUUCCUCAAGCUGAUUUAUUUGCAAUUUUCGCAGCUGACUAGCAUCAUCAAUGUUUGAAUUGAAAGCUUUAAUAGCCCAAUAAGCUUUAUGUUCAAUUUCAACAGGCAAGUGACAAGGUUUUCCAUAUACUAGUUAUAAGGUGACAUACCUAAUGAUGUUUUAUACGUAGUUUGAUAAGCCCAAAGUGCAUCAUCAAGUCUUAAAGACCAGUCUUUCCGAUUAGGGUUCACCGUUUUCUCUAAGAUCUGUUUAAUCUUCCUAUUAGCCAGUUCUACUUGUCCACUCGUCUGAGGGUGAUAAGGGGUGGCAACUUUGUGUGUGAUUCCAUAUUUCUUCAUUAAAGACUCAAAUAGCUUGUUGCAGAAAUGUGUUCCACCAUCACUUAUAAUGGCUCGAGGGAUUCCAAAUCGACUUAAAAUGUUUUUUUUCAAAAAUUUUAUCACUGUUUUGUGAUCAUUGGUUCGACUUGGAAUUGCCUCUAUCCAUUUUGAAACAUAAUCUACUGCGACCAAUAUGUACAAGAAACCAAAUGAUGGAGGGAAUGGACCCAUGAAAUCUAUACCCCAACAGUCAAAGAUCUCAAUGAUAAGAAUAGGAUUUAAAGGCAUCAUGUGAUGUUUCGAAAUAGAUCCCAACUUUUGACAAUUUUCUCAAGUCUUACAAAAUGCAUGUGAGUCUUUGAACAUGGUGGGCUAGUAAAAUCCACUUUGUAAGAUUUUUGCAGUUGUCUUUCUUGAUGAGAAAUGACCCCCACAUGCCUCAGAAUCACAAAAUUUAAUGACACUACUUACCUCAUUGUCAGGAAUGCAUCUUCGAAAUAUUUGAUCAGGAUAAUAUUUGAAUAAAUAAGGGCCAUCCCAAUAAAAGUUCUUCACUUCGUUCAAGAACUUUCUUUUGUCUUGGGUACUCCAAUGAGCUCGCAAUUGUCCUGAAACAAGAAAAUUAACAAUAUUAGCAAACUAAGGCAUUGUAGAGACAUAAAAUAAAGAUUCAUCAGGAAAGUAGUCAUCGAUUGGUGUGAUGUCAGAUCUCGAAUCAGUUGUCAAUCUUGACAAAUGAAGUAACAAAAUCCACCGCACCAAUCUAGCCUUAGAAUCUUUCUUAGAGAGAAGAUAUUUCAAUGCUGCAUGAUCACUAAAAACAACAACAGUGAGCCAAUAAGAUAAGAUCUGAACUUGUCACAUGCAAAUACUACUGUAAGUAAUUCUUUUUCAGUGGUAGUGUAAUUCAUUUGAGCACUAUUUAAAGUUUUACUUGCAUAGUAAAUCACAUAAGGUUUCUUAUCUUUUCUUUGUCCCAAGACAGCACCCACGACAUAAUCACUAGCGUCACACAUUAUUUCAAAAGGUAAUGAUCAAUCAGGAGGUUGAAUGACAGGAACAGAAGUAAGCAAGUUUUAAGUUUAACAAAGGCUUUUCACAUGUUCAGUCCAUUCAAAAACAUUUCCUUUGUUAGAAGGUUACACAAUGGUUAGAUAUUACACUAAAAUCUUUGAUGAACCUUCUGUAAAAACCAGCAUGUCCUAAGAAUGAUCUAACAUCUUUAACAGAUUUUGGUGUUGGUAAGUUGGCAAUUAACUCGAUUUUAGAUUUGUCAACCUCAAUUCCUUUCGAUGAAACAAUGUGACCAAGUACAAUGCCGUUUGUUACCAUAAAGUGACAUUUUUCCCAAUUCAGUACAAGAUUCUUCUCUUCACACCUGUUCAAAACCUUUUCCAAGUUAGUUAAACAAUCAUCAAAUGAAUCACCAAAAACAGAAAAAUCAUCCAUAAAAAUCUCAAGAAAACGUUCAACCAUAUCACUGAAUAUGCUAAGCAUGCAUCUUUGAAACGUGGCUGGUGCAUUACAUAAUCCAAAAGGCAUCCUUCGAUAUGCAAAAGUACCAAAUGGACAUGUGAAAGUAGUCUUCUCUUGAUCUUCCAAUGCAAUUUCAAUUUGAUUGUAACCUGAAUAGCCAUCUAGGAAACAAUAAAAUUCAUGACCUGCAACUCUUUCUAGGAUUUGAUCCAUGAAAGGUAAAGGGAAAUGAUCUUUUCUAGUCAUUGAAUUAAGUUUCCUAUAGUCAAUGCACAUGCGCCAACCAGUAAUAGUCCUAGUUGGAAUUAACUCAUUUUUCUCAUUUGUUAUCACAGUGACUCCAGACUUUUUGGGUACAACUUGGGUAGGACUUACCCAUUUGCUGUCAGAAAUAGGAUAAAUGAUUCCAUUAUCUAGAAGCUUAAUGACUUCAUUUUUCACUACUUCUUUCAUAUUAGGAUUAAGCUUCGUUGCAUUUCUCUAGAGGUUUAGCAUUUUCCUCCAAAUAAAUCCUGUGUGUGCAAAUCAAAGGGCUAAUUCCUUUUAUGUCAGCUAUGGUCCAUCCUAAUGCAUUUUUGUGCAUUUUCAGAGUCUGUAAUAACUUACCUUCUUGAUGUGCAUUAAGUUUGGAAGAGAUUAUUACCGGAAAAGUUUCAUUUUCUCCCAAAAAUGAGUAUUUGAGAUUAAAUGGUAACGGCUUCAAAUCAGGUUUUGGUGGUUGAACACUUGAAGGUAUGACUCAAUUGAUCGUGGUGGCAAUUCUUCAAUUUGUGGUCUCCAAUUACAUGCCUUUGCUUCUUCCUGAAAAUAACCAUUUGCAAUCUCAGGUUCAUCAAUCUCAGUUUCACUAGAAGUGGUUUGAAAUUGAUCAUGAACUAAUUUUUCAAUAAAGUCCACUUCCUGUAAAUCAUUAUCAUCUCCAGGUUGCUUGUAAAUGUUGAAAAUAUUCAUCUCCAAUGUCAUGUUUCCAAAUGAUAGCUUCAUCAGUCCAUUCCUACAAUUAAUCAAUGCAUUAGAAGUGCAAGAAAUGGACGUCCUAAAAUAACAGGAAUUGAAUUACAUGCUUCAACAGGUUGUGUAUCCAAGACAAUAAAAUCUACAGGAAAUGAAUUUAUCAACUUGUAACUAACACAUCCUCAACUAUUCCUCUAGGCACUUUUACAGAUCUAUCAGCAAGUAAAAGAGUUACAGAAGUUGGUUUUAACUCACCUAGAUUGAGACUUUGAAAAACCGAAUAUGGAAGUAAAUUCACACUAGCUCCAAGAUCAAGUAAAGCUCUUUCAAUUUUAUGUUCUCCAAUAAAGCAAGAAAUUGUAGGACAACCAGGGUGUUUAUAUUUCAAAGCAUUAUUAUUCUGAAGAAUAGCACUUACUUGUUCGGCUAAAAAGGCUUUCUUUUUCACAUUCAGUUUUCUCUUCACAGUGCAUAGAUCUUUCAAAAAUUUAGCAUAGGAAGGUACCUGUUUAAUAGCAUCCAACAAAGGUAUAUUGAUCCUUACCUGUUUGAAAAUUUCAAGGAUUUCAGAAUUGUGAUUGACUUUCCUUUGUUUGGUCAUGGCAUGAGGAAAUGGAAGUGCUGGCGGAGAAUCAGUCUUUUCUUCACAAUGUUCAGAUUCAACCCCAUUGACUCAUCAUCUUUCUCACAAGGUUCAAGAGUGGGUUUUUCAAUAACCUUACCACUGCGAAGAGUGAUGACUGAUUUGACUUGAUCCAUGUGUUGGCUUCCGGAACUACUUGCAUUUGCAUUGUAUUGCCCCUUUGGAUUUUGUUGUGGUUGAGAUGGAAACUUACCUUUCUCUUGAAAACUGAGAGCAGAUGUGAAUUUUGCAAGAGCAUCUUUAAAAUUUGUCAUGCUUUGAGCAAGUUGAGUGUUGAUUGUCUCUUGCUUUUCAAUGAAUGCAUGCAAUGUUUCCUCAAGAUUUCUUCUAGGAGGUGGAGCAUAAGGAGGUGCAUAUCCAUGAGAAUUUUGGAAAUUAUGGUGUGCUUGAAACGGUGGCUGUGAAGUUUGUGCAUUAUUGUUUAUCACUCUUCCAACUGAAAUUUGGGUGAUUUCUCCAACCAGGUUGUAUGUUUGCGAGUAUGGGUUAUGAUUGGGCCUUUGGAAACUGUUUAAAGCAUGGGCUUGUUCAUGGAGGCAUUCCUUGAAAGAAGGCAAAGUUGGACAGUCAUUGGUUGCAUGUUCAUUUGUUUCACAGAUUUGACACACAAUGUCUUGAACAGAUUUUAAUUGACCACUCUUUUUCAAUUCUAGUGCCUCGACUUUUCUAGCUAAAGAUGCAAACUUGGCUUGGAGGUCAUGAUCUUCCCUAAGGUUAUACAUACCUCCACUAGAUGUAUGAGGUUGGGUUUUACUUGGUGCCUCAUAAGUGCCCGUAGUGUCCCAAUUUUGCGCAUUUUCAGCUAGCAAGUCUAGGUACUCCAUUGCUUCAUUAGGGUCUUUAUCUUCAAAAGUUCCAUUGCACAUCAAUUCAACCAUUUGCCUAUCUUUAGGUGUUAACCUUCAUAAAAUUGUGAAACCAAUCUCCAUGUUUCAAAACCAUGAUGAGGGCAAGUAUUAAGCAAGUCUCGAUACCUAUCCCAACAUUGGUAAAAUGUUUCACCUGGUUUUUGAGUGAAAGUGGUGAUUUGUCUUUUGAAAGAGUUGGUUCUGUGAGAUGGAAAAAACUUCUUUAAAAAUUGUUGUUGCAUUUCAUCCCAAGCACGAAUGGAUCCUGACCUAAGAUUUUGUAGCCAUGUUUUAGCUUUAUCUUUUAAUGAAAAAGGAAAAAGCUUUAAUCUAAUGGUAUUCAUGCUACAAUUUAAGUCAUUAUAGGUGUUACAAACUUCUUCAAAUUCUCUCAAAUGCAAGUAUGGAUUUUCUAGAUCUAAGCCAUGAAAAGAAGGUAAAAGUUGAAUAAUGCCUGGCUUAAAAUUAAAAUGAGAUGCAUCAGGAGGGAAAACUAUGCAUGAGGGUGCACUUGUUCUUGUGGGAUUCAUGUUGUCUCUAUGUGUCCUAACAGUUAUUCUCAUUUCAUUAUGAAGUGACUGGUUAUCUUCUUCAUCCAUAUUUUCUGAAAAUGAUGAGGAUACCCUACAAAGUCUACCACUUAAUGUACGUGACCAAACACUCAUGCACGUAUAGAAAGAGAAUAAAAGGAAGAAGAAAACAAAAGAAAAAGAAACAAAACAAAAGAAAAAAAGUUAGAUACAAGAAAAGUGAAAAGAGAAAACAAAAUAAAUACUAUAAUUUGUUUAAGAAUUAACUCCCUGGCAAUGACGCCAAAAACUUGACACGACUAAAAGAUUGAUGUCUUCUCCCAAGUGCAGGAGUGUCGAAGUAAUAAAUAACCUGGCAAGACCGGGGUCGAACCACAGAGAGGUUAAUUGUAUAAAUUAUAAAUAACAAGACAACAACAACAACAACAACAAUAACAACAACAACAACAACAACAAGAAUAUUAAUAAUAAUAAUAAUAAUAAUAAUAUAGUAUAGUAGUAGUAGUAGUAGUAGUAGUAGUAGUAGUAGUAAUAUUAAUAAUAAUAAAAAGAAGAGGAGGAAGAAAUUAAUGAGAACUUUGAGAUGGAAGAUUAAUGUAAGGAUUACACAAUCAUAAAAAUAAAUGUCAAGGUUAGAGGGCCCACCAAUGGUAUUUCAAACAAGUAUAGUAUAAACUCUUAUUACUCAAUUUGGAAACCACACACGGAGGAGGUUCGAAUCGGAUGAUUUGUCAUUAAUAGCUCAUUAUAAAUUAUUAACAUGAUCAUAUUAAUUAUCUUAUUUAUAUAACACCAAACUUUUAAAUAUUGUCAGGAAUUCAUGAUGUUAACAACAAAUCAAGUUCCUUUCAUAGCCCAGGUGUAGGUAAUACCAUACGGUUGGGCUAUGAGAGUGCCAAGCAUUUGUUGUACCAAGUAUUAUACAACACAAAUCUAGAUUAACCAUUUAACAAGCAAGGUAUUAAGAAUUAGUAAGAUAAAAAGAUAAGACAUGUUAAUAUUAAACAUUAAGGUCCAUGUUGAGUUUACACCAUACUUGUUCUUACACCAUUAGUGUAACCUUUUCACCUUGACAUAAUAAACUUAGCUAAACAUAAUGAAGAAGAGAAACAUAAAUAAACAAAACAAGAACAUAAAUAAGAUACAAGUUAACUAAGGAAAGAAAAGGAAAUGAAAAGCAUAAACAAGAUAUUAAUGAAAGCAAAACUUAAGAAUUACAAAAAAAUAUAAAGAGAGAAAUAAAGAGCAUGAACUUGAUCUGAACAACCAAGCCCCAAAUGCAUGGCAAAUGCCUCCUUUUAUAGGCUAAAAUUCAGAAUUAUUGAUUUGUAUGACUAAUUGUUGAGUGGGUGACCAACUUUUGACUUGGUGAAAAUCCUUAUCUUCUUGUGUGAAUAAAAAAAAAUGCUACCAUCCGAACUGGGUCCACUGGAAAACAUGAAAGUUGUAGGAAAUUGACUCCGCUUUCCAUGAAAAAAAAAUGGAGGUCAUUUGGACUUCUAGAACUCCAGAUAUGGGCCAAACACUUAACAAUGCUCGGUUAAGAUGAACAUUUACCAUAUAUUAGGGCAUUUUAUAGUAUUAGACUUGUUAUUAUAAAACAUGCUUUAGUUAAGGAGUUAUUGAUAGUUUAAGUGCAAAAUGAUGAUAUAAAACCUUGAUGAAUAUUCACUUUUAAGUACUAAUCAAGUAGAACUUGUCCUUUAAACAUUUUCUAAUAGAUAAUAAGAACUAUACUCGAAUAACAUACAUACCAGUUUAGGUGAACCAUAAAAAAAAAACACAUUUAUCAUUGAAAACAAACAACAAUACAAAUUACCUUAAGUAGGAUGUAUAGGGUUAUAUCUAUUACAUAACCAACCCCUUACCCAUAACCUCUAAAAAUUAGUUAGGGGUUUUAGUUACCAUGAAUUUAGGUGACGACUUUUUGUCCUUGUUCUACCUUUUUUUCACAUAGCUCGCCCCGAUGUCCACAUGCAACACAAGUUUGACCAAGUGAACCGAGUUAUAGGUUGGCCCUUUAAGUCACUUGGGUUUGACUGGAUCAUUGUCCACUCCUGUUUAGAAGAAAAUCAAACCAAAACAAGGUUUUGGGUUAGAGAAUCACGAACGAAUCGUGUUGGACUAGACCAAGUUUAAUGACUAUGACUUACAUAACCUCACGUAGAAAUUGCACUUGGAUCUAAGUUUUUUGAGGUAAAAAAAUAUUAUAAAAAUAGCACAAUUAAUUAGUUGCAUUGUUAGGAACGAAUCAACCAUAUAAAUUACGUACAAUUCAAUAUGUUACACUGGUAAGAAUAUCAUAAACCUAUUGAAAUAUAUAUAUUUUUUAUUUUAAUUUAGAAUUUUAAAUACUUUGUUUCCGCUAAAAAUCAAAAUAACUACUUUAUUGAUGUCAUUUUAUUCUCAAUAAUUAUGAUAAUUAUAAAUGAAGAUGAUUAGUUAUAAUCAAUUUAUAUUUCAAUAGGAUUCCUUAACUUAUGAAUUAAUAGUUAUGAUAAUUAUCAAUGAAAAUGAUCGGUUGUAGUCAUUUUAAAUUUCAACAAGAUUUCUUAGUAGGUUAGUUGUAGUCAAAUUAAAUUUCAAUAAAAUUAUGUAACUUUGUAGGUUAAUUAAUAAUUAUCAAUGAAAAUAAUUAGUUGUAGUCGAUAUAAAUUUUCUUAACUUGGUUAAUUAAUAAUUAUCAUAAUUAUCACACCAUGACAAAUGCGAGACUCUUUAAAAUUAAAGGGAAAAAAAAUAAUGAAGUCACCACCUAGUAAUAAAAAAAACUAGGAAUCCUAAAAUAGACACCGGUCAGAGAUUUAGGUAUUCAGUUAGUUAUACCUAGGGGACGAUCAAUGUCACCCUUAUUGCAUCCUUUCAAAUGAAGGGUUACCUGUACAAUGUUUUUUUUUCUAAAUUUAUUUUAUACAUGCUAUUAAUUAUCUAAAUCUAUUUUUAUUUUUAUUUUUUAUUUAUAUUGAUAAAAAAUUGAUAUUAUUGGUUAAGAAGAUAUUGUGAUGAUGUUGGAAAGAGAUUACAAUAUUGAUAGUGGUGUUUUGUUUUGGUAAGUGAGAUUGAUGUUGUUAUCUAUUUUUGAGUCCCUACAUAAAAAAAAGAAAAAAGAAAAAAAUCAAGAAUUUUUUUUUUUGAAGAAAACCAAAAAAUAUAUAUAGUAGUGAGAAGAAGACACAAGGGCACCCAAAAAAUGGCCAAAGAUUGGUUAAGAAAGUUCAAAAAUACAAAGAUUGGAAUUUGACAGUAUAUUUUUGAGUGAUGAAUGCCAUAUUGACAAAGAAAAUUGAAUUUGAGGAAGAAAAGUCUAAAAUCAGAUGUUUAAGGACUAAUUUAGAUUUUGUUAAAAGAUUAAUUGAGUUUAUGAAGGUGAUUGCAAGAAAAAAUAAUUUUUAAGUUCAUUGUGGUUUUAAUUGGAAGAAAUUAAAGUUUGAGAGUUGAAUUAUAAUAUUUAGGAGUUAAUUUGGUCAAAUCAGGGGCUUAAUUACAUAAAUAUUGAAGUUUGACGGGCAAUUGGAGACUUGAUUAAAGAAAUCUAAAACCAAGGACUAAAAUGGAAAAGGUGCAUGAAUAUAAGGGCUGAAAUUUACCAAAUCAGGGGCUAAAUUGAAGAAAUUGAAAGCUUGUUGAUUAAUUGAGGGUCAAAAUGCACAAAUUCAAUACCAAGGACUAAAGAGAAAAAGACGGUCAACAUCAGAGGUGACAUUUGAAUUUGGCAAGGAUGCAAUUGAAUUAAUUCUUUAAAUCAAAAUUACAAUUGAGGACUUGAUAAAUAAAUAAAAAGCUAAGGACUGAUUUGGAAAUUGAUACGUUUUGGUGUCAUUUUCAUUUAAAUGAAACGGCGUAUUUUCUAUAAAAUAACACCAUUUCAUUCACUGUUCAUAUAUAAAAAAGUAGGUUUUUCUUUCCUUCUUUGCAACAUCUCUCCUUCCCUUUUGCCCAUAAACCCUAACAUAACGCACACCCCCUCAUUACCUACCACCAUGAUGAAAGGGGUAGGGAAGGCUAGCCAUGCAGGUGGCUUUAAGGUGAUUGCACAAAGACCGCCCCUGCCACCCUACCCCGUUACCAUGACUAGAUAGGGGUAGGGGUUGCUCUCACUCCCGUACCCCUUAUAAAUAACCCCUCACCACGCAGUGAGGAGGGAGGAAAAAAAAGGGGAUGACCAAAACAAAAAAAAGGAGGAGGAACGGAAAAUUAGAAAGUACGAGGGAAGGAAAAAAAAGAAAUAGAAAAAGAAAAGAGAAUAGAGUUUGUUAGGCCAAAAUCAGCUCAACCCUUAUUUUGGGCUGAUAUUGGACCAAGUUUGUUGGGCCAACCUCGGCCUAGUUUGUUUAGGCCAAAUCUCGGCCCAACUAAGUGCGUUCAGCCCACAUCAUUGGGUUCGGCCCAACCCAAUAUAUUUUUAUAAUAUAAUAUUAAUAUUAUGUAUUAUUCAAAAAAACAAAAAGUUCUAAGAAUUUUCAAAAAACUUUUCAAAACAUUUGUGAUUUUCUCGUGUAUUUUUCUAUCAAUUUUGAUUAAUAUUGGUUUAUAUUUUUAUAUUGUAAAAAUAUAAAUUUGGUAUUAAAAUACAUAGUUUUCUCUGAAAUGUUGUAUAUAUAUUUGGGAAACAAAAAAAAUGAUUUUUUUCAUGCAUACGACCAAGUCUCUCAAAAUAUAUGAAAAUAUUUCAUAUCGUAUUUUCAUGCAAAAUAAAAUUAAAACAAAAAAUGCGUUAUGAUGCAUUUUGAGCUUUAAUAGCCAGUUUAUUAAAGCCACGAGAACUAGGCCUAUAUUUCAAAAAUACCAUAAAAAUAUUUUGUUUUCUUUUAGUAUCUGAGAUUAAAAAUUUUUAUAUAUAGACAUUAGAAUGGUUAGGUUCUUACCCGAUAAGAUUAGAAUCUUCUUACUAAGGAGAUCUUUUCUUAAACCAUAGACAAACCAACAAUUAGAAAACAUAACAAUAGUCUAGUUAUAUUAGACAAUCAAACAAUGUAUCGUACCUUAGGUAAGGAGUAUUAGGGGUGUUAUUACCUUCCAUUUAUGCAACCAGUCUUCGUGUCCAAUCUCUGAAACCAGUUAGGGUUUCUAUUGAUCAAAAUACUAGAUGACGACACUCAUUUUUUUCCCCACUAAUAAAGGACAAGAAUUCUUUAUUCUAUCCAUUUCCUCACACCACAUGCCAAUAUGGAAUUUCAAGAGGACAUUUGGCCACGAUGUUGCAUCAUGUACGACAAUUGAGAAAGGGGAUGGUUGGAUUUUGGUCUCGACUUGAGUUGUUUUGGUUGUGAUAUUGGUGAUCGAUGUUGCUGCUAUCAUUAUUAGUGUAUGUCAUUGGCAACUUCUAUUAGUGGUCGGAGGGAGUAGUUGUUGUUGUUCUAGGAUUCAAGAAACAAUACACCUAAAAGGAAGGUGAAUUAAUAUUUCACUAAUAAUAACAAAUAUUGAAAUUGAUUCAAUUAAACAUAAUUAACUAACAAUAUAAUUAAAUUGCAUAAAGUAAAGUGUAAAGGGAUAGGAAUUAUAAAUUCAGCUUUUAACAUGGUUUGGCAAGUCUAUAUCCACACCUCAAGCACCCAAACUGAUCUUGUGUAUUUUGUUCUUUCACUAGUCCAAGUUGAAGAUUGCAAUUGUCACUUGAUGAAUCCACACCAAGAUUUUACACCACUUGAAGAUAUUCUUUUUUUGACGGUUUGAACAUAUUGAACCUUGAACCGAUACUAAUCCGAUACAUAUACAGUGUAAAAUGGAAGACUAUUUUAAUCAUUCCAAUUUUUUUCUUUCUAAAUCUUAAGUUUUUCUUCAGGGUUGCUAGGGUUUCUUACCCACCUUUUGUAUUCCCUCUAAUUUUUCUAUAGAGGCUAGAGUUUUUUUUCUUACCUUCCUUUCUACUUAUAGGCAAUGGGGUAGGUUCUAGAAUCUUUAUAGGUAGAACAAUCAUAUCCUUUGAUUUUUUAGAGUAAAUUUUGACCCUUCAUCAUUUUGUAUAUAUAUUUGGCACAACAUGCUCGUGUUCUAUAAAGCUCACACCAAAUCUUAAUCCUAAAGAGUGGGGAUGAGAGAGAGAAAAAAGAAGAAGAAGAAGAAGAAAAUGGAGCUGAAAAACUUCACUGCCUUUUUUCAAAAUCAGACGACCCGUUUCCUUUCAAAGGGUAGCCAAAAAACUCCCAUACACACUCUUUAGCGAGCUUCUUCUUUACCAAAAAACAAAAAAACUAAAAAAAUUAGAUCAUCAUUUUCAAAUAACCACCUUCUAGCUAUAACUGGAAACAAAAAAACAAUACAGCCUCUCUCAUCAGGGCUGUCUCUUUUCGCCACCCUCGAGUUACUAUCUUGCCCCACGUUGACUCCAGGAACCAUAGCCGCUGCUUCCACAGUACCAUUAACAUGAGGUGUUCAUUACCAGAAUCAUAACCCAAGGCAGGCCAGGAGCCCACUCACAAUCGUCCAUGUGCAUCUUCAGCGUACUCGUUCUACACUCUUGCCUCAGACCUCUCUGGACUUAGCUUUAUUCAAGCACUAGCCACUCAAAAAAAGAGUGAAGAAGAGGUACGGGAUAUCCAGUGGCGCUGUCUCCAUCAUAAUCACUCAAGGUAUAAAGCUUCUACCUAUUCUCAUUUAGUUGUAAUCUUUUACAUGUGCAUGCUACUGCAAAGGCAAGCUCCCGUUUUUCCUUUAUGUGCUAUGAAGUUAACAUAUAGUGUUGUAAGGUGUGUGCAUCUUUUAAGCUUCUACCUAUGUGUGAUUUUUGACAUGAGAUGAUGGCUACCUUGCUUUGGAUCCCUUGUUAACGAUGAUGCGUGAACCAGGCAUGAAAAUCUUCAAUGACUAUCGUGCAUGAUUUUUAUGUUCAAAAGAUCCAGUACUCUAGUAUUGGCCAAGCCGUAAAUAAAAUGAUUUUUGGUUGAAGAAGAAUCGGUAUGUGCAAGGGUUUCUGGAUCAUUUCUUUUUACUGUCCCAUGGCUUUUCGUUAAUGCUAGUACAACUAUAUUUCUCUUUUCUGAAGUUAAGUAGGUUGAUAUCUAUAAAUAGGUUUAUCACGGUUUUAAGAAUAUCAAAGAAAAGAAAAACCUUUUAUGGGUCUUUAAGGCACAAACACGCUAUUAAGACAACUUUUAAGGGUGUUUUUUUUUUUUCACUAAGGACAUGUGUGGUAAAUAUACCCAAACCUAUUUUUAUUUAAUUCACGAUAUUCACCGCCCCAAUUAGUUUUAACAUAUUUAAUUUUAAGUGAAAACUGAUGCUCAACAAGUGUUUGAAAACGUUGAAAAGUGGAAAAUACAUCAGAUUUCGCAACAAGCGGAUAAUACCAUAUGUUUGGUAUGCGCACCGACAAAAAUAACAAAAUAGCAGAAGUCAUCAGAAGAAAACAUAGGAGCAGAACACCAAACAUCACUAAAAAUUAAAUGAAGUAGGGUAGAAGUUUUGUGACUGGUAGGUUGCAACGACAAACGGGACGACUUGCCUAAAGGACAAGCUUGACACUGAGUAAGAGAAUGUCUAGAAGUACAUAUGAUUUUAUUGUCGGAAACUAAAAAAUUUAAAAUGCAUGGGGUUGGAUGACCCAAACGAUGAUGCCACAGGUCGGCAUUCGCGGAGAUGCAAGGAGACCAAAAAGCUUGACGAACUGACAUGACAGAAGACUCGAAGAGGACAUAAAGGCCAUCAUUACUCUGACUGGAAAUGAGAACUUCUUUGGUGACGAGAUCCUUGACAUAAAAUAUAGAAGCUGAAAUUCAAAAUAAACAUGAUUAUCAUGACAUAAUUUUUGAAUAGAUAACAACGGUUUGGUAAUAUGAGGCACAUGAGAACAAUAGAUAAUGUAAAAAUGUGUUUUGGGGAAUGUAAUGUAGUAUGUCUAAUAUGGGAUAUGUCAAGGCCUUUAUCGUCACCAACAUGCAAAUAAUUAUUACCAAGAUAGGGUACAUAAUCGAUCAGAGUUCCAAGAUCAGGUGUGACAUGUUGAUUUGCGCUGGUGUCGGGGAACCAAGUUGCAGCAGAAGCAUUCCCAACAGCAAGGUGAGCAGAGGGCUGCUGGGUUCUACUGCGAAACUAGGGACAAUGAGGAGCUGUGUGACCAAAAUUGUAGCACAAUUGGCAGCGAACAUGCUACUGUCCAGACCACUGCCCAGCCCCGGAGUUGCGCCUAGCCUCCUGCCAGUUGUUUUGCCGUCAGUCUACAGCAGAUUGGCCCUUGUUCUGAUGAGUGUAGCAGUUGUUGUUGGGACACCAAUUGCCUUAAGAGCGACCUAUGUUGCGGCUGAAGUUGGGGCUAUGAUGAGACAUCAUUACAUGAUUUCACAGUUUUACCAACAGAAAUAUUUCGUCGGUUUGUGGUUCAGAGUUCAUCGGUAAUGUUUUUACCGACGACAUCACCGACGGAAACCCUCUGUCGGCUUUCCUUUCAUUGGUAACACCUAAUUCCUUCGCAACAUUGGUCAGUAAAAAAAAAACAAUUGCUAAUGGUUUUAUAGAUGGAAAUUGCGCGCCAAAAAAUAAACAUUCCCGCUUGAAAUAUACUGACAGAUUGAUUUCGUCGGUGAUAGUGGCAUAUCCAGUAAUAUUUUUUAGCUCCCCGUUAAAUUAACUAUUAAAAUUAAAUAAUACUCAUUACAAAUUAACAUAAUGGUGGAGGAGGAGGAGGCUAGUUGUUAUACGACCAAAAAGGAGGAGGCGCACAUGUAUUACCACUCUAUGAUGCCAUGUUCAUGACCAUUUGGCGAAGCUGUUCAUAAUUCGCCGAGAGUUGUUCAUAGUUCGUCGAUAGGUGAUCGAAUUUUUCAGUGAGCUGAGCCAUGUGUUGCUGCAAGGUCACGAACUCUUUAGAUUGGGUGCUCGAUACUGAUUGAGAGCUCCCAAUGGUUGAGACACUACAAGCCACCCACAAGUUCUAGGGCAUAGUGUUGAAGAGCACGUACACCCAAUUUAAUCGAGUCCACCGGAUGAUCGAACCUCCAUCCAUAAAUCUAGAUUGAAAUCAGGAUGGGUCGAAGGAUCGUCCCCAUAUCUCUCCCUUAACCGACUAUUAUAGGUCUCCUGAAAAUGAAAAAAGAAAGCAUCAUAGUCAAUUAAAAAAUAAUAAUAACAACUUACGAAAUAAAUGACUGAACAAACAUACCACAAAGUGUUGAGCAUGAUUGUCAACGAACUAUUGUGCUUCCUUUUGGUGGUUUUGACUCCGCACGUGCGUAUCAACAAACACCUCCAUUGGGCUUGGUUCAUGUCCAAGAGACGUAGCCUGUAAUGAAAAAAAUUAAUUAACAACAAAUUAAUUUAACAAUAUAUUUCAUUUAAAUUAAUCUUGCCAUAUGUUUUGCAUGUGUAGUAAACGAAAUGGAGUCGCCGGUGUGCGUUGCCACCGAGCCAUGAAUUGGUCGAUUCCGGUUGCCAGCACUAGACUAAGAGCGUCGUGUGAAUCGCUCAGACGUCACAUGCUCAAGAUAAUGCGGCCAUAAAUCUGCCGGGAUGUAUAUCGGUUUGAAAUCCUUCCAAACCGCCACGCCGUUCCAGCCUUGGAGACCAUUAUCUCUUGCGGUUUUUUUUUUCUUUUUUUAUGCUUCAUACCAAAAAUCACACAACCUACUUCCAUAGCAAUAAAUUAGAUUUUGAAACAUAAAUUUUUUUCUAAAACAAUCUCGUAUUGUUUUCAAUUUUCCCAUACCUAGAUUAAUGCAUUGAAUCUUUCCUAAGAAGAGCUGUGUAUAGACUAUAUUUACGUUAAGAAAGGCGGGGAGUGGACAGAAAGGAGAGGAACGAAGGAAAAAAGAGAGUAGAACUACACUGUCGAAAGCAAAAAAAAAUACAGAGGCAGGGGCAUGAACUCAACCAGCAUAACACGCUUUCAUCACCAUCUCCCUCAUCAUCUCCAUGGAGAGGCAGGCAAGAGGACAUAAGAGGAAAAGAGGGCAACAACAGAAAAGAAAACAGAGGCAGAAAAAAAAGGAAAGGAAGAGCAAGGGAAAAGAAACGCAAACAGGGGAAAGAAAGAACAAGAGAGAGACAGAAUACUAGAAAAAAAACAAAGAGAAAAAGAGAAAGAAAAAAAAACACAGAGAACAAGGGUUCAUCUUUUCGACUGUGAAAGUCUUCACAGGAACGAAGAGGAGAGAAAAAAGCAAGAGGCAGGCAAAACAAGGAGAAAGAGAGAGGGCAGGGAAAUGAAAAAAGAAGAGAUAGCGAGGGGAGUGAACGACGCAGAUAACAGGGGAGAACAGAGGGAGUUUCUUUCCUUUAUCCUUUCAUUACUGUGAGAAAGGAAAACAGAACGGAGUAGAGAGAGAAGAGAAGAAAAAACAAAACUUGGAAAGAACCAGGUAAGUUGUCGCUCUUUUCUUACCAGCUUUGCAUGCAUUCUUGGUUGCAUUGUUACUAUUCAAGUGAAAUUUAAUUCACUUGAACAGUAACCAGCCAAGGCAUGUGUGAGGAAACACACGCAUGCCUUUGUGCCCAACCGGGUCACUGGUUUAGGCCAGUGACCAUGUUAGGCCUGCUGGGUUCAGCCCAACCACAUGGGCCAAACUGGACCCAGCCCUUAAAAAACGAGUAAUAUUGUUUUUUUUUUUUUGUAUUUACUUUGUGGUUUUUUUGUAUUUUUAUAUUGUCAAAACAUAAAUCUUGUAUUUAAAAUACCCGGUUUUUGACGCAAUGUGACAUAUAUAUAUAUAUAUAUAUAUAUAUGUUUUCAUGCAUACGGCCAAUACUCUAACAUGUUUUGAAUGUUUUUUUAUAUAAAAAAAAUAUAUUGGAAGUUUUGAAAAUGUGUUUUCGCAUGGAUUUCUUAAACACUAUAAAAAUUAUUUUCUUGCAUUUCUGGAUUUUUACAACAUGUUUGUAAAACUCCAAAGGGUAUUGGCCAAUAUUCCAAAAAUAUAAAAGCUUUAUUUUGGGGGGAAUUCAUCUAUCAUUCACCGUUAAUGUUUGGAUAAAGAAAUCCGUAAGGGAUGAAUAUCCAAAAUAGUAUUGGAAAUAAUUUGUUAUUAUUCGCUCUUAAUGUUUGGAUAAAGAAACCCAAGUGGUUAAUAUGCAAAAUAUUUUUCUAGGAAUAAUAAAACACCAUACAUCUUUGAAAGAAGUCUCGAUUAUAAUUGAGGACAUUUCAAUUUUUUGACUCCACGGUUUACGAGCCAUGAAAGUAUGAAACACUAAGGCAAAAAAAAAGGCUUUUAAAGCACUCUGAAUUUCCUUAGAUUUCUAAAUCUUUGUUCCUUUUCCUUGCGAUUUAGGAGUCGCGAACACUUGAAAUACCAAGAGGAAAAUGAGCUUUUAAAGCACAUUGAAUCUCCUUGGAUUUCUAUCUUAAUAAAUUUAGUCUGAAUCAAACACAGAUUUCAAGAGAUCUGCAUUGGUUCCCCUCGGCACUUUGUAGACAUAUCUAAAGGUAUGAUCUAUAUUGGCCAAGGAUUCUUGCUUUUAGACUUUGAACCUAAAAUCAUUCAUCAUAGCAAACCUAUCUUAGGAAAACUAAUUAAGAGAACACCAACACCAUAGCAAUUAUAAGGCAAACCAAACACCAAGCAGCUUACCUUAGGUAGGGCGUACUAGGAGUGCUAAUACCUUUCCUUUACGCAACCAGUCCCUUGCUUUAGAAUCUCUGAAAGACUAGUUAGGGUUCCUAGAGACCAAAAUACUAGGUGGCGACUCCUAUUCACAAAACAAAACAAAAGACCCGAAAUCAAUCGAGGAUCGCCGCGACGGUGCGACAAUGUUGAUGAUAGAAAAUCUAUGGGUGGUUAUCUUGUGUUCUUUGGUCAGACAUCAAUUUUAUGGAAAUCAGGUAAGCAACGUACAUGUGCUCACACUUCUACUGAAGCCGAGUACAAAGCCUUAGCCGAUGGCACUGCUGAGGUUAUCUAACUUUAGUAUUUAUUAAUAGAUCUCCAGAUUUCAUCCGCUUCUGCUCCUUUCAUCUGGUGUGACAACCUUGGUGCCACUUAUUUGUUUGCGAAUCUUGUUCUUCAUGCUCGUACAAAACAUGUUAAGGUUGAUUAUCAUUUUGUCCGAGAUAGAGUUGCAAAGAAGGAGAUUCAGAUUCGUUUUAUUUCUUCUCGGGAUUAACUUGCAGAUGUCUUCACUAAACCACUUCCUAUUGCUUCAUUUACUGCUUUUUGGUUCAAGCUUCGAGUUGAUCCUCCACCCUCAGCUUGAGGGGGCAUAUUAUAGAAUGCACCUAUAUAGGAAAUAUUGUAUAUAGAAAAUAUUGUAGUCAUACUCUUGUGUGGUAACCUCCACCAUUACUAUUGUAUAUUGCCAUAUACAUGUAUAUAGAGAAGGUUGGCUAGCCAAUAGGUUAAACCUCCUAAUUAUUCUAACUUUCACUACAUCUACUUAGUACAUAUAAGUUGAAGGAUUGGUACCUUGACCAAUGAACUGGAAAUAUCGUUAAUUGAUAAUGAAUGGCAUACAGUCUUACCAUAUAAGUUGAAGGAUUGAUAAUCGAUCCUUUUGGGAUAUGUCAAUCCCAAAUCUAUUAUUCCAUUUAUUUAUUAAUUAUCAUAAAAACAUUUAUUAAAUGUGCUGUCCUCCAACUCUUUCCAUGAAAAGAAAAGGUUGUGAACCACCACAUUUGAUCAUGGACAAAAGGUAAUCAAAUAGUUGCCUCCACUAGGACAAGUAAACGUGCUCGAUUUAUCAUCAUAAGCAUAACUGUAAGCUUGAGGACACUGCUGCUUGAAAGUCAUCGAAUAUUGGCUAGGAGGACAUUUGUCAGGUGUAUUAUAGUCUCCUGUGCAGCAGUACUGCGGCUGGUUAAAUGCCAAACACGCGCUCUUGCAGGCAAUCACAGUCCCAUCUGAACCCUUCACUUGUAAACUAGGAUCACAAACAGCAUUCACGUUAGCUGCACAGCUUGUAGAAGGGCAGCCAGUAGAACCUCCUUGCGGGGUUAUCGAAAUCGGGAUGUUAAAGCCAUCAACAAGGCUUAUAUCGUAAAAAUCUUGCCCACCACUACCGCUUAGAGUAAAUUCUGCCAAGGAUGCUGGUGGGAUCGCACCGGCUCCAUUGCAUUCUAUGACACCGGAGGCACAGUCAGCAGUAGCACAAACAAACUUUCCCGAGGCAUCUGUAGAGCAUUGCGUUCUGGCCCAAAAGCGGCCAGACCAAUUGACAGGGACACUCAGCGAAGAUGAAGCACCCGUUGCCAAUGUGAAGCCAGUUGAAGAUAAAGACGGACCGCGAUCAGCCGUUAGAGUUCCUGGCCAGACUGUGUAUGGACACUUGUUUGUGAAGUCGAAAGUCACAGAUUGAGCUCCUGCAUGCGUGCAAGCUGCGCAAGAUUUAUUUUUGUUGAUAUCAAUAGUUAAAUCUUGGUCGAUUCAAAGAUAACAUAAUUCAAUAUUUAAGAUCUUGUAUUAAUUCACUUAUUUUUCUUUUACAAAUAUAACAUAACCCAGGAUUUUUGUUUAAUAUAUUUUUUUUCUUUUUAGUUUUUUAUCUGGAAACUCCCUCCUGGAUAAGUUUAUUGGAUUCACGAAAUCCAUUGAAUAAUGAAAACUAAUUAAUAUUGCAUAUGCAAACAGAAAAUAUAUAUGUAGAAUAAUCAAAGUGAAUAAUAUGCAUAAUAGAGUUUUCCAUGCAAGAAUCUAAUAUUUGUAAUAUUGUAAAACUACUUGCCACAGAGGAAGAUGACGAGGGUGAAGGUAAUUAUAGCAAUGGGCACACGACUCUCCAUUGCCGAGAUGCGUCGAAUUAACACUUUUUCAGUAUCUUUUAAGAGAUUUGAGCUAAGCAAGAAACACUCUAUAUUUUAAAAAGAUUGUGUUUGCCACUUAAUAAAUAGUGUUAAAUUUGCAGACUAGUAAACAGCCAAACAGAGGAACCGUCUUCCACACGCACCGUCUCAUCCACGAUGACAUUUGAAAAUGAAUGCCAAAUUAUAAAAUUAUAAUUUAUUUAUAUUUAUAAAAAAAAAUUAUAAAAUUGGGUCUAUCACCUGAAGUGUGUGGAUACCGUCCAUGCACUGACCUGCACUCAUCAACUAUUUUUUAAUAUUAUUUUUACUUAUAAAAUUAUAAAAUUAGAAAUAAACCACCCUGGUAAAAAAAAAAAAAAAACCCCAAAGAAAUAUACAAAUGCCCUUGGUUUGAACCACAAGUGACUAACUAGAUAUCUCAAGAGGAACGCCCUGCUUCUCACGUCUAAUUGAAUAUUGAAUGUAAUACCGUUUCCUUGUUUGAACCACAAGUGACUAACUAGAUAUCUCAAUUGAUGAGAAAGCAGACUAGAAAACAGAGGCAGUUCUCCUCCAUCAUGUGCGACUGAGGAGCCGUGAUGAGUGCGAGACUCUUCAAAAUUGAUGAGAAAGCAGACUGGUCCCUGCUUCUGGAAUGAAUGGAAGUCUAGAAUUUUUCCAAAUCCAAUUGUCUAAUGAAUGUAACUCUGGAAUUAUUCCAAAUCCACAAGUUUCAUAAUGUUGUGUUGAUUGUGAGACAUUAUUUCAAAAACUGAAGGGGAAUAAAAUUGUAAAAAAUUCUAAUUUUACAAAUUAUUCCAAAUAAAAAAACAAUAAACAAAAUAAUAGGAAUGAAAUUCAAAAAAUAACAAAUUAAAGGCAUGCUUUGAAAUUUUGAAGGGCUACACAUAAAAAUCAAGAAAAAAAAAUAUUGUCGGCAACAAACCAAAAAAUAUUUGUCACACGCGCUGCCUCACCCACGGCAGUAAUUGGUCAACAAACAUUCUGAACGUGCCACUUGAAGUGUGCGGAUCGCCCAAGAACUAACCUGUACUCAUCAGCUACUUUUUUUAAACUAUUUUUUAAAAAAAUAAUAUUUAUAUUUAUUAAAUUAUAAAAUUGAAAAUAAACCACCCUGAUAAAAAAAAAAAAAAAACCAAUGAAGAUAUACGAAUGCCCUUGGUUUGAACCACAAGUGACUAACUAGAUAUCUCAAUUAAUGAGAAAGGAGACUAGCAAACAGCCAAUUAGAGGAACGCCCUGCUUCUCACGUCUAAUGAAUGCAAUUGAAUGCAGGAACAGGGCCAUACUCACAAGAAAAUUAAUUACACCCGACAUCCUACUUUCUAAGUGUAAAAGCUAUAUUUCUGUGUCUAGAAAUAUCAGGUAGAUUUUUUUAUGGAAAUAUCUUGUCAAUAAAUAUCAAAAUAUUUGAUAUAGAGCAUAUAUCUAAUUAUGUUUAAUAAAAUUUUUAUUUGAAUAAAUUUUUAUUUAACCAAAUGAUUAUCCUUGCCAAUAAAACGAUGUCUAUCCAGUAUAAUUUUUUUAUUUAAUUUAUAUUUCAAAAUAUUAUGAAAUAAGAAUGCUCUUACCCAAGGUUAAAGUUCAAGCACGGUAUGAGAAGGUGGAAAAAGAUGUUGAUAACUAUUGGGGUCAUAGGUUUUCCUUCUUUUUUUGUGUCUUUGGAAAAUAGAAAUGCAAAGGACUGUCACGGAGUUUUUCCAUACCAUGCUUGGGCUUUGGAUGUAUGUUUCCUUGACAUGAGAUGAUGGCUACCUUGCUUUGGAUCCCUUGUCAACGAUGAUGCUCGUUAAUGUUGGUACAACUAUAUUUCUCUUUUCUAAAGUUAAGUACUAGGUUGAUAUCUAGAAAUAGGUUUAUCACGGUUUUAAGAAUAUCAAACACGCUAUUAAGAAAAAUUGUAAGGGUUUUUUUUUUCCACUAAGGACAUGUGUGAUUAAUAUUCCCAAACCUAUUUUUUCAAAGCUUUUUUUUUUUUUUUGUGUUUUGUCAAACUAAUCUUAGUCUAAUUUUAAUUAUUUUUCAAGUUUGGAAGAGCAUUUUUGCAAUUAAUUUUUCAUUCUUUAUCCUUUUAUAUUUAAAAACAAGUUUAUUAAAUCCACAGGUAGAUGGCCUAAGUUUGAAAAACACUAAAACAUUUAACUUGUUUAUUUUAAUAUGAAUUAUGAGCUUAUACGUGAGAUUUAUUUUUGAUAUUGAAAGAAACAAAGGCAAAAAUAUGUUUUGGCUCUAUAAUGGCUAGGCUUCACCCAUAAAGCUAUUGGUUCACUUUACUGGGAUAGACUUGCUUUAAUCAAUAGACAAACCAAUGAUAAGAAAAAAAAACAACAGUGUCUUAGUAAUAAUCAGACAAAUAAACAAUACAGCUUAUCUUAGGUAUGAUGUACUAGGGGUGAUAAUAUCCAUCCUAUAUGUUGUACGUGUGCGGCGUCGCGGUGAUCGUCCACCAUCUCAAGGAAAAUGGAACGGUGUAUCCCUGGAAAAUGUGGAGAGACAAGGAAUUCCUUGUCUUUUAUCAGUAAAAUAUGGACUGGGAGUUGCCACCUAGUAUUCUGGUCAUUAGGAACCCUAACUGGUCUUAGAGAUCGAGUACGGAGACUGGUUGCGUAAAUGGAAGGUAUUAGCACCCCAACUACGCCCUACCUAAGGUAAGCUACAUUGUUUUCAUGUCUAAUAAAAUCUAAGUUCUUAUUGUGUUUUCUAAUUGUUGGUUUGUCUAAGCUUCAAGAAAAGCCCUUCUUAUUAAGAAGGUUCUUAUUUUAAUGGGGUAGAACCUAACUGUUCUAGUGUCUGAAAAAAAUUUAAUAUCUAGAAUACGUAUUACGUGUAAUGUCCUACCCCGGAUACUAAAAGCCAAACAAAAUAAAAAUUCUAUUUUUUUUGUAAUUUUGGCCAAUGUUCUCUUGACUUUAAAGCAAAAAUGCAUGCUAAAACAUUGUUUUUUGUGUAUGAAAAAAACAAUAUGAUUUUUUAGCUUUGAGACACUUGGUUGUAUGCACAAAAACAUUUUUUUUUCUUUUUUUUCAAUUUUUUUUGUAUUUUUGAAAGUUUUGACGAAAAUCAGGUAUUGUAAUACCGGAUUCGUAUUUUGUUUUUGAAAUGACAAAAUAAACAGACUCAGAUUAAACAAAACAAAGUAUAAAAAUACACGAAAAACUUACAAUUUUUCAAAGGCAUUUUUUUUUUAAAAAAAUUUGAAUUGGGUCGGACCCGACCCAAUUAUUUUUCUUUGGACUGGGCUGGGCCCAAAUAUUCAGCUGGGCCAAAAUUGGCCCAUCCAUGAACAGUGCUCUCCACUGUUUGUAGACUAAGCAAUGGAGGCAAGACGAAGCAGAAGAGAAAAAAAAGGAAGGGGGAAGGCUGACCUGCGGUGGCUGCUACCGUUGGUUGUGCUGCUGGAGGCGACAGGCGGCGACGCUGGUGGUGGCACUGGUGGUUUGUGCUGGCUCUAUAUUUUUUUCUUCUCUCUUUCUUCUGUUUUUCGUUCUCUUCUCUGCUUAUUCUUUUUUUCUUUCGGUAUUCCCCCUCUACUCUGCUCUCUCUUCUCCUCUCUCCUUUUUUUCUCUCCUUUUUUUUUUCUUGUUUUUUCCUGCUCUCUCUCUCUUACUCUGUUUUUCUUCUUUUUUUCUAUCCUUGUGUUUUUCUCCCUCUCCUCUCUGUUUUUUUUUCAUUGUCCUUGUGUCUCCUUUCUCCCCUUUAUUUAUAGGGGAGAAAGGAGGCCUACACCUCUGCCUAGUCAAUGGCGUAGGGUUGUAGGGUGGACGGGGCGGCCACUGUUCAGCCGCCCCUCUACCACCCUAGGGACACCUCUCGUCCCCUAAUUCUAACACGUGGAAAGCUGUUCAAGUGGAGGGGUCAGGUUGGCAUUUUUUUGGAAAGAGUUGGUGGCGGUGACAGAGGAAGAAAAAAUCUUCUUCUUGCCCUGCUUCGCGCGUCCAAGGGAAGAAGAAAACCCACAAUACCGUUCAAAACGACACCAUUUCGGCCUUUUUUUUGGUGAACAAGUAUUUAAAACGAUGCCAUUUUUCCCAAAACACGCCAUUUCAUUUAAAUGGGAAUUGGCACCAAAACGCGUCAGAUUUCAAAAUCAUGCCUUCAAUUUGCGUGUGUUUUGCAUUUUGGUCCUUGGUCUCGGAUUUCUUCAAUUAAGUCCCUAAUUGGCCAUCAAACUUCAAUAUUUAUGCAAUUAAGCCCCUUAUUUGACCUAAUUAAAUCUCAAAAAUUAUAUUUUGACCCCAGAAUUUUAAUUUCUUUCAAUUAAAGCCCAAGUUCACUCCAAAUCAAUUUUUCUUGCAAUCAAAACCUCCAUAAAUUCAAUUAAACCUUCAAUAAAAUUUAAUUGAGUCCAGAAACAACUGAUUUUGGACUUUUCUUCCUCAAAUUGAAUUUUCUUUGUCAACAAGGCUUUUAUCAGUCAAUAAAAUACUACUAAAUUUUGAUAUUUUUAUUUUUAAACCUCCUCUACCAAUUUUUGACCAAAUAGAGGAACACGUGAAAAUCAAGAAGAGAAAAAAAAAAGAAAAUGAAAAAAAAAAAAUGUUUGUAAUAACAACCAUCUUCAACCCGCACCGUCUCAUCCACGAUGACAUUUGACAAUUAAUGUCAAAUUAUAAAAUUAUAAUUUAUUUAUAUUUAUAAAAAAUUAAAUUAUAAAAUUGGUUUUGUCACCUGAAGUGCAUGGAGAUCAUACAUGCACUGACCUGUAUUCAUCAAUUAUUUUUUAAUAUUAUUUAAAUUAAUUAAAUUAUAAAAUUAGAAAUAAACCACCCAGAUAAAGAAAAAAAAACCAAUGAAAUAUACAAACGCCCUUGGUUUGAACCACAAGUGAUUAUCUAGAUAUCUCAAUUAAUGAGAAAGCAGAAUAGCAAACAGCCAAUUAGAGGAACGCCCUGCUUCUCUAAUUGACUAAAGAAUGUAACACCGGUGCCUUGUUUGAACCACAACUGACUAACUAGAUAUCUCAAUUGAUGAGAAAGCAGACUACUAAACAGCCAACAGUGGCGGUUCUCCUCCAGCAUUACACCGUGAUGAGUGCGAGACUCUUCAAAAUUGACAAGGAAUCAGACUGGUCCCUGCUUCUGGAAUGAAUGGAACUCCAAAUCCAAUUGUCUAAUCAAUGUAACUCUGGAAUUAUUCCAAAUCCACAAGUUUCAUAAUGUUGUGUUGAUUGUGAGACAUUAUUUAAAAAACUGAAGGGAGAAAAUUGUCAAAGAAUUAUAAUUUUAUAAAUUAUUCUAAAUAAAAAAACAAUAAUCAAAAGAAUAUGAAUCAAAUCCGAAGAAAUAAGAAAUUGAAGGUGUGCUUUGAAAUUUUGAAGGGCCACACAUAAAAAUUAAGGAGAGAAAAAAUAAAAAAUAAAAAUUAUCAGCACCAAACUAAAAAGCUAUCUGCCACACAUGCUGCCUCAUCGAUGGCGGCAAUGGGUCAACGAACAUCCCUGCAUGUGCCACCUAAAGUGUGCGGAAUUGCCCAUGCACUAACAUGUACUCAUUAACUAUUUUUUUAAUAUUAUUUUAUAUUUAUUAAAGUAUAAAAUUGGAAAUAAACCACCCUGAUAAAAAUAAAAAAAAAACGCAAUGAAAAUAUACAAACACCCUUGGUUUGAACCCCAAGUGACUAACUAGAUAUCUCAAUUAAUGAGAAAGCAGACUAGUAAACAGCCAAUUAGAGGAACGCCCUGCUUCUCACAUCUAAUGAAAGCAAUUGAAUGCAGGAAUAGGGCCAUACUCACAAGAAAAUUGAUUUAUACCCGACAUGGUACUUUGUAAGUGUAAAAGCUAUAUUUCUGUGUCUAUAAAUAUUAGGUAGAUUUUUUUAUGGAAAUAUCUUGUCAAUAAAUAUCAAAAUAUUUGAUAUUGCAACACGGUGCAUAUACCUAAUUGUAUUUAAUAAUGUUUUUAUUUGAAUAAAUUUAUAUUUAACCAAAUGAUUAUCCAUGUCAAUAAAACAAUGUCUACCCAAUACAAUUUAUUUAUUUAUUUUAUAUUUCAAAAUAUUAUGAAAUGAGCAUCACUUGCCUAUAUUUAUUUAAUUAAUUAAAUGAAAUGAAAUGAAAAAAUAUCUAUAAAAAGGAGAAAUGAAAAAAAAAACAACAAAUAAAAAUACUCGAGAUAUCCUGAGUCAUUUUCAAAAUAAGUGAAAAAUCUUAUAUCUUCACUGUUGGUACUGAUAUUUGUUAUCUUUUGGUCUACAUUGAUGAUAUUCUGCUUACGGGUAGCAACUCUCUUCUGCUCCAAUGCCUUAUACAGCUACUGAGCUUAGAAUUUAAGCUUCGCGACUUGGGUUAUGUUCAUUAUUUUUUAGGUAUUGAAGUUCAGCCUAUCGGUAUGGGUCUUAUGCUCCGAUAGCAUAAAUAUACACUUGACAUCCUCACUGAGGAUGGUAUGUUUUCUUGCAAACCUGUUGAUACUUCUAUCUCUACAUCCAAAGCUACCUUUUAGAUCCCUUAUUUUCUGAUGCUACAUGCUUUCAUCAAAUUUUGGGUGCUCUUCAAUAUCUCAUUUUUACAUGCCCAGAUAUUUGCUUUGCUAUUAACAGAGUCUGUCAAUUUAUGCAUGAUCCUACAUAUUCUCAUUGAGCUACCGUUAAAUGCAUGUUGUGUUAUCUUAGGGGUACGACAUCACAUGGCCUACAUAUUACUCGCUGAUUAGUACUUAAAAGUGUAUUUUUAUCAAAGUUUUAUAUCAUCAUUUUGCACUUGAAGUAUGAAUAAAUCCUUAACUAAAACAUGUUUUAUAAUAACAAGUCUGAUACUAUAAGUUAGCUUAAUUUAUGGUAAAUGUUCAUCUUAAAUACAGGCCUAUCACAUAAAUCAAAAGAUUGAUUGAUGAGUUUAACUACUGAAAUUGAAAAGACAAAGAGAGAGCCAAAUUUAGAAAAGAGAUGCUGGUUCAAUCCAAACUGGAAUACUGUUCGGUCAUUGAGUCAUAUCUGGAGCUAUACAUAUUGGAUUUAGGCCUGCUCUAUAUGGAUGGAAAGCUAAGACAUAAGCCUUAGACUUUCAUGGAAGUCCAUGAUUUAAAAAGGCCAUUUUCAAGUCCAAAUUGUAGCAACUGUAUGGUAUAACCGAUAACUGUAUGGUAUAAACAAUUUAUAAUCCGAUUGGAACCUCCUUUGUAUCUGGUUUCCAGUUUAGUAAUAAGAGUUUAUACUAUACUUGUUUGAAAUACCAUUAGUGGAUCCUCUAACCUUGACAAUUGUUUUUAUCAUUGUUUAAUCCUUAUAUUAAUAUCACAUCUCAAAGCUCUCUUCAACUUAUUGUUAUUAUUAUUCUUGUUGUUGUUGUUGUUACUAUUACUAUUACUAUUAUCAUUUAAAAUUUAUAUAGUUAACCUCCAUAUGGUUCGACCCCGAUCUUGCCAGGUUAUUUAUUACUUCGACACUCCUACACUUGGAAGAAGACAUCAAUCUUUUGGUCGUGUUACUCACAGUUCUUCCUUUGCCUUACAUGGUUUUAUAGAUGGAAAUUGGGCAGAUAGUGUUGAUGAUAGAAAAAAUCAUGGGUGGUUAUCUUGUGUUCUUUGGUCAGAUGUCGACUUUGUGGAAAUCAGGUAAGCAAUGUACAAUUGCUCGCUCUUCUACUGAAGCUGAGUACAAAGCCUUAGCCGAUGACACUGCUGAGGUUAUCUGGCUUCGGUAUUUAUUAACAAAUCUCCAGAUUUUGUUUGCUUCUGCUCCUUUCAUCUGGUGUGACAACCUUGGUGCCACUUAUUUGUCUGCGAAUCCUGUUUUUCAUGCUUGCACAAAACAUGUUAAGGUUGAUUAUCAUUUUGUUCGAGAUAGAGUUGCGAAGAAGAAGAUUCAGAUUCAUUUUAUUUCCUCUCGGGAUCAACUUGCAGAUGUCUUCACUAAGCCACUUCCUACAGCUUCAUUUACUAUUUUUCGGUUCAAGUUUCGGGUUGAUCCUCCACCCUCAGCUUGAGGGGGCAUAUUAUAGAAUGUACCUAUAUAGGAAAUAUUAUAUAUAGAAAAUAUUGUAGUCAUACUCUUGUGUGGUAACCUCCACCCUUACUAUUGUAUAUUGCCAUACACAUGUAUAUAGAGAAGGUUGGCUAACCAAUAGGUUAAACCUCCUAAUUAUUCUAACUUUCACUACAUCUACUUAGUACAUAUAAGUUGAAGGAUUGGUACCUUGACCAAUGAACUAAAAAUAUCGUUAAUUGAUAAUGAAUGGCAUACAGUCUUACCAUAUCAACAACAUGAAAAUUGAUAAAGAUCCUUUUGGGAUAUGUCAAUCCCAAAUCUAUUAUUCCAUUUAUUUAUUAACUAUCAUAAAAACAUUUAUUAAAUGUGCUGUCCUCCAACUCUUUCCAUGAAAAGAAAAGGUAAUGUUUUUACCGACAACAUCACCGACGGAAACCCUUUGUCACUCCCCUACCCCUUAUAAAUACCCCCUCACCACGCAGUGAGUAGGGAGAAAAAAAAGGGGAUGACAAGUGUCGCAUGUCAAAAUCUGCACGGCGUCUAAUGGCAAUUUUUCGUUUUGUUUUGCUGAUUUGGUUCUUUGGAGUUGCCACCUAGUAUUUUGUUUACUAGGAACCCUAACUGGUCUUUCAUAGAUUCUAAGGCAAGGGACUGAUUGCGUAAAGGGAAGGUAUUAGCACCCCUAGUACGCCCUACCUAAGGUAAGCUGCUUGGUGUUUGGUUUGCUCUAUAAUUGCUAUGGUGUUGGUGUUUUCUAAUCCCAUCAAUUUUCCUAGGUUUGAUUCAAAUAAAAUUUAUUUGGAUAGAAAUCCAAGGAGAUUCCAUGUACUUUGAAAGCUCAUUUUUCCCUUAGUAUUUCAAGAGUUUGCGACUCGUAAAUCGCAAGGAGGAGGGACAAAAAAAUUUAGAAAUCUAGGGCCCUAAAAAAACCCUAUUUUUUAGUAUUUUAUACUAUCACGGCUCGUAAACCAUGGAAUUGUUUUUUGAAAUGUCAAUUAGAAUCAAGGCUUCUUUCAAGGAUGUGUGUGGAUUUAUUACUCCCAAUAAUAUUUUGGAUAUUCGUCCUUUAAGGAUUUCUUUAUCCAAACAUUAGCGGUGAAUAAUAGAUGAAUUCCCCCUACCCAGUUUUACAAACAUGUUGUAAAAUCCAGAAAUGCAAGAAAAAACAAUUUUUGUUGUGUUUAAGAAAUCCAUGCGAAAACACAUGUUUCAAAACUUUCAAUAUUUUUUGUAUAUAAAAAAAAAACAUUCGAAACAUGUUAGGGUAUUGGCCGUAUGCAUGAAAACAAAACAUUAUUUGUUAAUAAACAUUUUUUUUUGUUGACGAAAACUAGGUAUUUUAAUACCGGAUUUGUAUCUUUACAGUAUAAAAAUACAAACCGAUAUUGAUCAAAAUACAGUAAUAAAAUUAUAGAAAAGUCACAAAUUCUUUGAAAUAUUUUUUGAUGAAUUUUUAUUUAUUAUUUAUUAUUUAUUUUUUUUGGCUGGGCCCACAUGUGAAUAGUAAAAUAGCAUUUCACUGUUCAAGUGAAUUAUAUUUCACUUGAACAGUGAAAUGCAAGGAAAUGCACAGCGACGAAGGGGGGCAAACCUGGUGGCGGUGGAGAGGAAGUGUUGUGUUCCUGGUAGUGUUGGUGUCGCGGCGGAUGGCUGUGACAGUGGUCAGUGACUGAGGAUGACGGUGUGCUUCCGGUGAUUGCAGUGGUGGAGGCCGGCGUUGGCUACGGGAGGAAGAUGAAAAAGUUGCAGAGGAGAGAGAAACAUUGGAAGUAAAGGAAGAAAUCUGCAAAAAUUGGGCGAAAAUGCUGGUUUUUGGCUGACUUUGGACCCGAUUUUCUCCCCCCUCAGACCAUCAAAUCCGACUCUAUUUAUAGGCUCGAGCGGACAAUUCUCGGGGAUAGAGGGGUUUCAGGUGGCCAUUUUGGUGCAUGAGUUGUCAAUUUUGGGGAACAAACGAGGCAUUAAACGCGCCUCCAAAAGGGCUACCCGGACAGCUUCACGGGGAAGAUGAUGAACAAUAACCACGCGAUUUUUUCAAUUUAGUCCGCGUUCUUUCAAAUUAGUUCAAUGGAACCCCUAAUUGACCCUAAACCUUUGAUUUAAUGCAAUUUUGGCCCCUAAUUUCAAUCAAUUAACUUGGUAAAAAUUAAAUUUGGUCUCUUAAAAUUCCAAUCUUCUUAAUUAAGCCUAAAUUAGGCUCCCAAACUUAAGUUUUCACCAAUUAAGCCCCAAAUAAAAUUAAUUUGACCCACUUAAAGUAUAAUUAAGUCCUUGCACUUAAUUAAAUCCUUAAAUUGGAUCCAAAUUAAUUCUUAAACAUAAUUAAAAUUUAAUUUGGCCCAUGAUUAAAUCAAAUUGGCCUAUUAAAAAUUUAAUUAUGUCAUUGACCUUGAAUUUGCAUUUUUCUCGAUUUUUGGGCAUGAUGGGGUACAAUUAGGCCUUGGAUUUCCUCCAAAAUUGCAGCUUGAUUGCACAAUUUGCUUUCUCCACAUUGCCAGCCUUUAUUUUAUUUUUUAUUUUAUUUUAUUUUAUUUGUGGGGUGUACCCAAAAUGGGUUACAACAGAUGCCCCCUCUUUAUAAUGCUUACGGAGCAGGGGUUUUACGCAGUACGUUUUAUAAAGAUAAACCAAAUUGAACUCCCGAAACUGAUCUGGUCGCAGCUUGAUCGAUCUGAAACUUUGUCUUUAGAACAAUCCUCCUCAGCCCAAAAAACUAUGAUAAAAAUUUAGUCAUCUCGAGCUCCCUAUCCAGGGAUCCUCUGAAUUCUAACUUCAGUUUGAUUAACAUGGAAUUCCAUCCGAGAUCCCUUCUAGCAAUCUCUAAAAAGUUAUAUUUGUAGUUUGGCUAACCUGAAAUCCCAUCUGGCGAUUUCCCUUAGCCAAACUAAAAUCGGUAUUACGGUUGGGUUAACCUGAGAUCCCUUCUGGCGACCUCCUUAAACCAAAAUCUGUAGCUUACUCAACUUGGAAUCCCAUCUGGUGACCUCCUUAAACCAAAAUUUGUAGCUUACUCAACUUGGAAUCCCAUCUGGCGAUUCCCUUUUAACCAAAAUGAAAUAUGAGGUCCCUUCUAGCAACCUCCUUUGACCAAUAUCGAAAUACGAGAUCCCUUCUGGCGAUCUCCUUUAACCAAUCAACUUGGAAUCCCAUCUGGCGAUUCCUUUUUACCAAAGCUGAAAUAUGAGGUCCCUUCUGGCAACCUCCCUUGAUGAAUAUCGAAAUACGAGAUCCCUUAUAGCGAUCUCCUUUAACAAAAAAUCUUGGAAUCCCAUCUGGCGAUUCCUUUUAACCGAAGCUGAAAUAUGAGGUCCCUUCUAGCGACCUCCUUUGACCAAUAUCGAAAUAUGAGAUCCCUUCUGGCGAUCUCAAUCAACUUAGAAUCCCAUCUGACGAUUCCUUUUAACCAAAGCUGAAAUAUGAGGUCCUUUCUGGCGACCUCCAUUGAUGAAUAUCGAAAUACGAGAUCCCUUCUGGCGAUCUCCUUUAACAAACAAUCUUGGAAUCCCAUCUGGCGAUUCCUUUUAACCAAAGCUGAAAUAUGAGGUCCCUUCUGGUGACCUCCUUUGACCAAUAUCGAAAUACGAGAUCCCUUCUGGCGAUCUCAAUCAACUUAGAAUCCCAUCUAGCGAUUCCUUUUAACCAAAGCUGAAAAUAUGAGAUCCCUUCUAGCGAUCUCCUUUAAUCAAAAACCAAAAAAUCUAUUUUGUAAAUCGGUCAACCUGGAAUCCCAUCUAGCGAUUCCCUUUUAUCGAUUGCUAUCGAUGUCGUUCUUCCUAAUGGCAGGGUUUAAAAAUUAUUAUUUUCUCUUCUCGUUGUUCUAGAAUCAAAACUUUGAUUCUUUGCUAUCAUCAACUCAAUGAUUCUUUCUUCGUCCACAAUCUUGUUGGAAUGCACUAAGGACUCCUCCUGUAACGAUCCAAAAAAAAAAUACAUGCAAUGGUUUAUGAUUAGAUGCCAUGCAUGCAUUUGUACCUGGUUUUGAAACAUAGGCCCCAUCAUCUUCUUCUAGUUCAUGAGACUCUCUCUUAACAUGAGCUUGCUUUUAAAGUCGUAUGCUGGAUUCAUCUCUCGUGUUGCCUCUUUUUACCUAUCAUAUCUUGGGGAAGAAGUCUUUGACUUUUUACAGGUAGCUAUUUUUCAAAAUGUAUGGCUUGUUAUUGCUUCUUUGUCAUGCUUUUGUCAAAUGCUUUAGCCUGGUUUUCAAAUCUAUAGGCUUCCGUCCAGUUUCAAACACGUAAAACUUGUCAUAAAAACAUCUCUUAUUGCCCCCAGUGUAGGGGUGUGAUCCUAGUCUAGGUUUUUAUAUAGAGAAGAAAUUCAUUUAGCCAAUGAUAAACUUUUUAGUGAGUGAUGCGAUAACAACAAGAAAUGCACUGUUGGGAUUAAUGCAAAAAUGAUUGUUGUGAGAUCAAUGCAAAAAAAGAAACAAGUCAAUGGGCAAACUUUGCUUUAUUGAUUUAGAAGCCUACAUCAAGCAUAAUAUCUUUUUACAGAGUCAGAAUUCACAGGUCGAGCUAGGUCUUCUCCAUCCAUUCUAGCCAACUUUAGCUCUCCUCCUGAGAAUGCCUUCUUUACUACGCAAGGACCCUCGUAAUUUGGUGCCCAUUUGCUUUGAUCGUCUCCGGGUAACGACAAUAUUUUCUUCAAUACUAGAUCCCCUUCUUGAAACAACCGCGGUCUAACCUUUUUAUCAUAUGCCUUGGACAUUCGUUUCUGAUAAAGUUGGUGAUGACAUAUUGCAGCCAUCCUCUUUUCACUGAUCAGGUUCAGUUGCUCGUGUCUCACUUUGGCCCACUCGGCUUCUUCUAAUUCGGAAUCCAUCAACACUCUUAACGACGGGAUUUCCACUUCCAAAGGCAUCACUGCCUCCAUACCGUACACCAGAGAAUAUGGGGUAGUCCCUGUCGAGGACCUGACUGUAGUGCGGUAUGCAUGAAGAGAAAACGACAACAUCUCAUGCCAAUCUCUAUAUGUGACUACCAUUUUCCGAAUAAUCUUUUUGAUGUUCUUAUUGGCAGCUUCUACUGCACCAUUCAUUUUUGGUCGGUAUGGUGAGGAAUUCGAAUGCUUGAUUUUCCAUUUAGUACACAGCUCCAUUAUCAUUUUGCCAUUGAAAUUCUGUGCAUUAUAUGUCACUAUCCUUUCUAGAGGACCAUAUCGGCAAAUCAAGUCCUUUUCUACAAACUUCUUCACUACCUUUUGUGUUAGGUGGGCAUAUGAAUUAGCUUCCACCCAUUUUCUGAAGUAGUCAAUAGCUACGAGGAUGAAUCUGUGACUGGCCUACAACCGGAGCUGGUCAAGUUCUGCCUUGACCUUGAUCCAGACAUCCGGGUGGGCCCUCCUCAGCUUCUGUGAUAUCUUCAUAGGACCAAGCAAAGACAUCUGAAUAUUCUUGUAAUAGGGUGAUCAUCUUUGUUCAAAAGUAAUUAAGGUACCUAUUUUCAACUCUUUCUUUAGCUGACCACUGCCCACAUUGAUGGUUUCGAGUUCCUUGGCGGCAGGCUUCCAAGUCUGUUCCUGUUAUUCUACUAGCCUGGUGAAUUCACUGAUAUUGCUUUCAUCCCACUCUUUUUCUUCCGUAGCUAUCACAUGCUCGUUCAAGUUUGGCCAAUUAUUCUUGAUGCUAAAUGUAUGUGAUGUUGUAGGAGAUCCGCUUUCAGGAUUCCUGAAAGCGGGAAGUGCUUGGUGUAAAUGCAUAAAAAACAAUUUUGAAAAGUGCAUGAUCUCAUCAUUUAUUUAAAGAAAAAGGUGAGCUCAAAGACAAACACAAAAUCUAGCUGACAUCAUGAUCUUGAUUGUCAACUAGAGAAAAAAAAAGCAAAGAAAGCAAUGACAAAAGCAUGUUUAGGCAAACACGGUUGGUGUACAUUUUAAAAACUACUGGAGCUUCUUGGGUCACCCAGUUCUGAAACUUCUCAUCCUGAGCCAACUUGCUCACAAAGGUCUUGGCAGAGACUUCUUCUAGUGUGUGGACAACCAGUUGUGGCAGUGCUUCAUCUUCCUUCCGCACCUAUGUUUUCUUGUCAACUCCUUUGAUCUCACCUUCUUCCAUCAUUGACAAUUCUUGACCAAGGUUUUCCAAUCCUUUAUCCACUAUUACUUGCGGCAUGACUCGGCAAUGGAUUUGAAUUGAUAUUGGGAGUGUCUUCAAAUGACACCCAUCCUAUCUUGAUGAGCUCCAACAACCUUUUCUUGAAAGCGUAGCACGUUUCAAGACCAUGGCCGGGGAUACCAGUAUGGUACUCGCAAGUCAACUCGGGCUUGUACCAGAUGGGGAAUGGUGGUUGUAGUGGUAAUGUGGGGAUAUGAGCUAUUUGUCCAAUGCUCAGUAGUUUGGCAUACAUGUCCUUCAAAGGCAUUGGUAAGGGCGGUAGUUGAAUAGAAAUGUAUCUUGUGUUUGGUCUUUGGUCUUUGUUUUGGUUGUUUGACUGGUUAUUUACUCGAUUAGGGGAAAAAGGUUGGUCAAAGUUUAUGUGUGAGAAUUGAGAGGUAGGUACUUGUGGAUUAUGAGAAUCUACUCUCUUGCCCUUAUACCCACCUUCCAAGUUGUUAAUAUCGCCUUCUCUUUUUCUUCCAAUAAAACCCUUCUUUUCCAACGGCAUCACUAUACGCCCAGCUUUAAUCCCUUGCUCUAUCCUUUCAGCUAUGCGUACCGCAUCAUAGAAAUGUUGAGAGCAGCUACCCAUUAAGUGCUCAUAAUAAGGUGCCUUGAAGGUAUUGGCAAUCAAGCUCACCAUCUCUGUUUCUAUCAAAGGGGGUUGGACAUGCAUUGCCUCAUCCCUCCACCUUUGUGCAUAAGCCCUUACUGACUCUUGGCUCCUUUUCUCCAUUGACAUUAGACUUGUUCGAUCAGGAGCGAUUUCCAUGUUAAACUUGUACUGCUUAAGGAAAGCCUCUACCAAGUCUCUCCAGCUCCUGAUCCUGACACUAUCUAACCUCAUGUACUAGCUCAAAGCGGACCCUACGAGGCUAUCCUGAAAGAAAUAGAUUAGCUGUUUAUCAUCGUGAAUUACUUCUGCCAUUUUAUUGCAGUAGGAUCGAAGGUGAGUGUUUAGGCAUUCCAAACCAGUGUACUUAAUGAACUCUGGUAUCCUAAAAUCUUUUGGCACCACGAUGUUUGGUACCAAACACACCUUAGCUGCUCGCAUGGGGUCAAACCAGUCAUUACCCUCAACUGCCCUUAAUCUUUCUUCCAAGGCAAACAACUUGUCCUGGUCCAUCAAAUUAGGAGACCUAUUAUCCGGGAUUCCCUCCAUUGUUAAGUCAACAGUGAUUGGAGCCUGAGUUGGUUGGAUAGGGGUAGUAGACACAAAAUGUUGUUCAUUGGCCGAGUUUGCCCCCUAGUUUUGAGAUGCUUGAGGGAUGUGAGCUGCUGGCGCUCCUUCAGGUGGUUGUGCUGACGUUCCCUCCCCGUUCUUAGCUCUCAAAAGUUGCUCGAGUAGGUCGAUCAUCCUAGCAACUUCAUUUUUUACGGAUUCUAACCCGGUCUGAUAGUGUGACUCUAAGUGAGCUCUUUCUUCGUUCUCCAUCCUUGAUCUGGACCGGGUUUGGCGGAUUCUGGACGUAGGACCUAUGUUUCACAAUCUGCAGAUGCGUGCAUAGAUGUAUGAGAAAAAUGCAUGAUUGUGAUAAGAAUGCUUUGUUCAUUGGGUAUGGAUGCAGCCUUCUUGUGAACGAAUAAUAGCCAUCACAUUAUAAGCAUAGUUUCUCUUGUCACAUUGCUUUGAUAAGAGUUCUGCCUUUCGAGUCGUUUGCUUGAAUCAUAUUCACCAAAAGACAGAUUUUGCAUAAGAAGAUGGGUCAACGCCCUUUUCAUUAAUGCUUGAUAAAUUUAUUACAUUUAGAAAUAAAAAGAAAUACAACAUGUUAAUCCCUUUCCUCCAUAAACUCUUUAGCCAAAUGUAAGAAGGCAAAGCCGUGGUUCUCAAUCUUCCCUAGAAAGGCAUCGAUUUCAGCUAGGCUUCGGCGAUAGCGAAUGAUGUCUCCUCCCAUAUUCCGCACAUUGAUUCUAAUAAUUCGAGCAUGUGCAGCAGCUUCGUCCAUUUGCUCAUCUGUCUUGGUCAUUUUUUUCUGUGAGCAACAUGUUGGUUCUGUUCAAAGCAAUGUUGUUGACGUCGAUUUGAUCCUUGUGUUUUUCCAUUGUUACUAGCUUCUCGUCUAAAUACUUUACUUUUUCACGUUCUUUGUCAAGUUUUAUCCUCAUAACUUUUAUCUCAUUCUUCUUAACCGCUAACUCUGCUUCAACAUCCUCGAAACCUCUCCUUUUACUUUCUUCUUUUACAAUCCCUGUAGAACGGAUUUCCCACUCCAUAUAUUUCUUAUUCAAAUCCUCAUACUUCCCAAUCCUAUCCAUCAGUUCGAACUGCACUUGCACAAAUUUUUCUUGGUAGUAUUCUGCACUUUCUUGGCAAUCGUUAAAGUGCAUCUCCAUUGCUUCAAGUUUAGAGCAACUUUGCAUCCAAUCCAAACUCAUUCCAACUAGCUCCUUCUCACUUUCUUUCCUAGCACUCUUCUCCUCACCUAGCUUUACCUCAAGCUUUGUUAUUUUCGCAUCUCUAGACUGUAUUUGCUCAUCUAGAAAUGCUCUCCUUUUAUCCUCUUCUAGCAUCAUUUCUUCCAACAUUGCCUUGUCUUUUCUGCUUUUGCCCAACUCUAUUCGAAGUUUUUCCACUUGCCUUCUCAACUCAUCUUCAUUGUUAACCCUUUUUCUCUUAAUAGGCUCUUCUGUAGCUUUAGGAGAUUUGGCUUCUACACAAGGCAUGGCUGAAGCAGCUAAGUCUCUCCAUUUUUCAUAUCCUUCGCUUGCACUUGGAUCUUUUAAACCUUAUAUCUCAACCAAAACCAGAUGCUUCCAAUCUUGUUUGAUGAUCUCCAAAACCUUUUCUGCAAUGGGAUCUUUGAACAAACCAAAGAAUUGAGCAAUUCCUAUAGUCCUGGGAACAAACUGCAUGCCCCCAAGUUGCCUUACCACUAAGGCAGGAGCAUAACUCGCAUAACCUGUAAUCCCUACUAAUGGUACCCAACGUCUUUGUCCACAACUCAUUAGGACCUUCACUGUCGUUACCCAUAGGGCUCUCCACUUAAAAUCACUAUUAGGCAAACCUUUUAAUUUGUCAACCUAACCUUGGUUGUCUAGAUCUCCCCAUUCUUCUUCUUCUACUAACUUUAGGGGUCUUUGGGUGAACCACCAAAAAUGAUUGAAGAUAGGCUUUUUUGUUUCGAUAUGGCUAACCAUCCAAAUAUACAACAAUUGUGUGCAACAACUCAUUGCUCCUUUUCCGGUCCUCCUACAAUGGUUAAGUGUCAAGAUCGUUUCAGCUAAAAUAGUAGCCACUGGAUUGAUUUGUGUAUUCUCAUACUCUACAUAAGCAGCAGCGGCCUCCAAACUCACUAAACCAGUCUGGCUUGGGAACAACACAAGGCCAAAUAUACCCAAAGCAAUCAAUCUCUUUUUCUAAUCCUGACUUCUUUUCCAAUUCAAAUUCUAGCAUCCUCCAUUUCAAACCGGUACCAUUCUUUUCUAAAAACUAUUCCAAGUUGGAGAUUAUGAGCAAUUUUGACAGUUCAGGGAUGAUCUUGCCAGAUCUCAAAGGCAAAUAAAUCCGAUACAGGUCGUUUGGAAACUCGGUCAACAAUCCAUAUUCCUCAACCGUGGGACACAGGUCUAUGCUUCCAAAGGAAAAACAUCGGUAGUCUAGAUCCCAAAACUGAACUAAAGCUCGCACAGUUGGGCUUAAAACUUCUACCCUUGCUAUUUCCACCAAACGUCUGUAUUUCCUAAAAAAUGCAUUUUAUCUACAUUCUGAAAAUGAGUCGUUAAUUUGUUCACCUCAUUCAUAAUGCAAUUCAGGUUCUUGAUUGGUGGCAUCUUCUUAGCAUCGCUUCUAAGGCAGUCUCCUUUAGUCAAUUGUGACAGUUCAGAAUUUUUCCCAUACUCUACGAUGGAGGAUUUAGUGAUGAUGGCCAUUUCGUUCACAAGUCCUGCAAUUCAAAAUGCGUUGGGGUUAGACUUGUUUUGAUGCAAAAGAUAUUAUGGAACAUACACCCUAAGGAUAGGUUCUAGUUCCUUUACGUGAGACAUAGGGUAGGUUUACUACUGGGUCUCUAAAAAGAGGGUCUCUUGCUGUUCCAGUGAUCACCCUCGUAAAGGAAAUAUGGGGGUCCAGUAGAUAGUGGAAUGACACGUGUACCAAUCACAAUCAGUCUAAACACUCAGCAAAGAGUUGGGGUUUACACAAACUUAAACCUUGACUCAAGUCAUAAGGCAAGCUGCUAGUUCCCCACUUAACUUAAAGUUACAUGUGUGUGCCCUCAAAAACAUAAUAAUAAUAAAGUGAUGCAUGACUAUACCAUGUAUGAUAGAAUGUAAGGAUGCAUACUAAAGCUUUUAAACAAAGUAUCAUUCAUAUAAGAAAACAAAAACCAAUAACACAUAGCAUGAACAAACAAAUUAUCAAGCUUAGUCCUAAUUCCCCAGUGGAGUAGCCAUUCUGUCGAACGUCAAAAUCUGUGCGUCGUCCGAUGUCGAUUUUUCGUUUUGUUUUGUUGAUUUGGUUCUUUGGAUUCGCCACCUAGUAUUUUGGUCACUAGGAACCCUAACUGGACUUUUAGAGAUUCUAAGGUAAGGGACUGGUUGCGUAAAGGGAAGGUAUUAGCACCCCUAGUACGCCCUACCUAAGGUAAGCUGCUUGGUAUUUGGUUUGCUCUAUAAUUGAUAUGGUGUUGGUGUUUUCUAAUCCCAUCAAUUUUCCUAGGUUUGAUUCAAAUAAAAUUUAUUUGGAUAGAAAUCCAAGGAGAUUCCAUGUGCUUUGAAAGCUCAUUUUUCCCUUAGUAUUUCAAGAGUUUGCGACUCGUAAAUCGCAAGGAGGAGGGGCAAAAAAGUUUAGAAAUCUAGGGCACUAAAAAAAACCCUAUUUUUUAGUAUUUUAUACUCUCACAGCUCGUAAACCGUGGAAAUUUUUUUUGAAAUGUCCUCGAUUACAAUCAAGGCUUCUUUCAAGGAUGUGUGCGGAUUUAUUACUCCCAAUAAUAUUUUGGAUAUUCGUCCUUUAAGGAUUUCUUUAUCCAAACAUUAGCGGUGAAUAAUGGAUGAAUUCCCCCUACCCAAAAUAAGAUUUUUGUAUUUUUUGGAAUAUUGGCCGAUACCCUUUUGGAGUUUUACAAACAUGUUGUAAAAUCCAUAAAUGCAAGAAAAAACAAUUUUUGUUGUGUUUAAGAAAUCCAUGCAAAAACACAUUUUUCAAAACAUUCAUUAUUUUUUAUAUAUAUAUAAAAAACAUUCGAAACAUGUUAGGGUAUUGGCCGUAUGCAUGAAAACAAAACAUUUUUUUUUGUUGACAAAAACCAGGUAUUUUAAUACCGGAUUUGUAUCUUUACAGUAUAAAAAUACAAACCAAUAUUGAUCAAAAUACAAUAAUAAAAUUACAGAAAAAUCACAAAUUCUUUGAAAUAAUUUUUGAAGAAUUUUGUUUUUUUUUUUUUUUUUUGGGCUGGACCGAGCUGGCCCCACACGUGAAUAGUGAAAUAGCAUUUCACUGUUCAAGUGAAUUAUAUUUCACUUGAACAGUGAAAUGCAAGGAAAUGCACAGCGACGAAGGGGGGCAAACCUGGUGGCGGUGGAGAGGAAGUGCUCUGUUCCUGGUAGUUUGUGGAGGCCGGCGUUGGCUACGGGAGGAAGAUGAAAAAGUUGCAGAGGAGAGAGGAACGUUGGAAAUAAAGGAAGAAAUCUGCAGAAAUUAGGCAAAAAUGCUGGUUUUUGGCUGACUUUGGACCCGAUUUUCUCCCUCCUCAGACCAUCAAAUCCGACUCUAUUUAUAGGCAGUGGAAGAGAGCAAUCUUGUCUACGUUGGAGAAAAAUUGCAGCCCUUGAUUCAGUUGGGAAGCAUCUCGACCGUUGGCUCAAAGUGUGCACCUCGAGCUGCCAAAUUUGGCAGCUCCAGGCUGUGAACUGCCCGAGGUGGCCACUUUGAGCCACUCAACGGAGCCGUUUCGGCAUUUAUAGGCUCGAGCGGACAAUUCUCGGUGAUAGAGGGGUUUCAGGUGGACAUUUUGGUGCAUGAGUUGUCAAUUUUAGGGAACAAACGAGGCAUUAAGCGCGCCUGCAAAAGGGCUACCCGGACAGCUUCACGGGAAAUAUGAUGCACAAUAACCACGCGAUUGUUUCAAUUUAGUCCGCGUUCUUUCAAAUUAGUUCAAUGGAACCCCUAAUUGACCCUAAACCUUUGAUUUAAUGCAAUUUUGGCCCCUAAUUUCAAUCAAUUAACUUGGUAAAAAUUAAAUUUGGUCUCUUCAAAUUCCAAUCUUCUUAAUUAAGCCUAAAUUAGGCUCCCAAACUUAAUUUUUCACCAAUUAAGCCCCAAAUAAAAUUAAUUUGACCCACUUAAAGUAUAAUUAACUCGCACUUAAUUAAAUCCUUAAAUUGGAUCCAAAUUAAUUCUUAAACAUAAUUAAAAUUUAAUUUGGCCCAUGAUUAAAUCAAAUUGGCCUAUUAAAAAUUUAAUUACGUCAUUGGACUUAAUUUUUAUGCAAAUUCAUCCAAUAAUCAUUUAAUAUGACCUUGAAUUUGCAUUUUUCUUGAUUUUUGGGCAUGAUGGGGUACAAUUAGGCAUUGAAUUUCCUCCAAAAUUGCAGCUUGAUUGCCCGAUUUGCUUUCUCCACAUUGCCAACCUUUAUUUUAUUUUUUAUUUUAUUUUAUUUGUGGGGUGUACCUAAAAAUGGGUUACAACAAUAAGAACAAAAGAAAGGAGGAGGUACGGAAAAAUAGAAAGUAUGAGGGAAGGAAAAAAAAGAAAUAGAAAAAGAAAAGAGAAUAGAGUUUGUUAGGCCAAAAUCAGCCUAACCCCUAUUUUGGGUUGAUAUUGGACCAAGUUUGUUGGGCCAACCUCGGCCUAGUUUGUUUGGGCCAAAUCUCGGCCCAACUAGGGUGCGUUCAGCCCACAUCAUUCGGUUGGGCCCAACCCAAUAUAUUUUUAUAAAAUAAUAUUAAUAUUAUGUAUUAUUCAAAAAAACAAAAAGUUCUAAGAAUUUUCAAAAAACUUUUCAAAACAUUUGUGAUUUUCUCGUGUAUUUUUCUAUCAAUUUUGAUUAAUAUUGGUUUAUAUUUUUAUAUUGUAAAAAUACAAAUCUGGUAUUAAAAUACAUAGUUUUCUCUGAAAUGUUGUAUAUAUAUUUGGGAAACAAAAAAAAUGUUUUUUUUCAUGCAUACGACCAAGUCUCUCAAAAUAUAAAAAAAUAUUUCAUAUCGUAUAAUCAUGCAAAAUAAAAUUAAAACAAAAAAAGCAUUAGGAUGCAUUUUGAGCUUUAAUAACUAGUUUAUUAAAGCCACGAGAAUUAGGUCUAUAUUUCAAAAAUACCAUAAAAAUAUUUUGUUUUCUUUUAGUAUCUGAGAUUACAAAUUUUUAUAUAUAGACAUUAGAAUGGUUAGGUUCUUACCUGAUAAGAUUAGAAUCUUCUUACUGAGGAGAUCUUUUCUUAAACCAUAGACAAACCAACAAUUAGAAAACACAACAAUGCUCUAGUUAUAUUAGACAAUCAAACAAUGUAUCUUACCUUAGGUAAGGAGUAUUAGGGGUGUUAUUACCUUCCAUUUAUGCAACCAGUCUUCGUGUCCAAUCUCUGAGACCAGUUAGGGUUUCUAUUGAUCAAAAUACUAGAUGACGACUCUCAUUUUUUUCCCCACUAAUAAAGGACAAGAAUUCCUUAUUCUAUCCAUUUCCCCACACCACAUGCCAAUAUGGAAUUUCAUGAGGACAUUUUCCACGAUGUUGCAUCAUGUACGACAAUUGAGAAAGGGGAUGGUUGGAUUUUGGUCUCGACUUGAGUUGUUUUGGUUGUGAUAUUGGUGAUCGAUGUUGCUGCUAUCAUUAUUAGUGUAUGUCAUUGCCAACUGCUAUUAGUGGUCAGAGGGAGUAGUUGUUGUUGUUCUAGGAUUCAAGAAACAAUACACCUAAAAGGAAGGUGAAUUAAUAUUUCACUAAUAAUAACAAAUAUUGAAAUUGAUUCAAUUAAACAUAAUUAACUAACAAUAUAAUUAAAUUGCAUAAAGUAAAGUGUAAAGGGAUAGGAAUUAUAAAUUCAGUUUUUAACAUGGUUUGGCAAGUCUAUAUCCACACCUCAAGCACCCAAAUUGAUCUUGUGUAUUUUGUUCUUUCACUAGUCCAAGUUGAAGAUUGCAAUUGUCACUUGUUGAAUCCACACCAAGAUUUUACACCACUUGAAGAUAUUCUUUUUUGACGGUUUGAACAUAUUGAAUCUUGAACCGAUACUAAUCCUAUAUAUAUACAGUGUAAAAUGUUUGAGUUCAUUUUAAUCAUGCCAUUAAGCUAAAAUAAAAAUAUUUACAGAAUUACUAAAAUGAACAAUUAAUUCCAAGAUUCUCAUUUGAUCUUCAUUCGCAUUGGUGGCUAGGUUUUAGAGAAGAAGAGACUAUUUUUUGUUUUGUACACUUUCACUCCAAUUUUUUUCUUUCUACAUCUUAAGUUUUUCUUCAGGGUUGCUAGGGUUUCUUACUCACCUUUUGUUUUCCCUCUAAUUUUUCUAUAGAGGCUAGAGUUUUUUUUCACACCUCCUUUUUCUUACCUUGCAUUUCUAUUUAUAGGCAAUGGGGUAGGUUCUAGAAUCUUUAUAGGUAGAACAAUCAUAUCCUUUGAAUUUUUAGAGUAAAUUUUGACCCUUCAUCAUUUUGUAUAUAUAUUUGGCACAACAUGCUCGUGUUCUGUAAAGCUCACACCAAAUCUAAAUCCUAAAGAGUGGGGAUGAGAGAGAGAAAAAAGAAGAAGAAGAAGAAGAAAAUGGAGCUGAAAAACUUCACUGCCUUUUUUCAAAAUCAGACGACCCGUUUCCUUUCAAAGGGUAGCCAAAAAGCUCCCAUACACACUCUUUAGCGAGCUUCUUCUUUACCAAAAAACAAAAAACUACAAAAAUUAGAUCAUCAUUUUCAAACCACCUUCUAGCUAUAACUGGAAACAAAAAAAACAAUACAGCCUCUCUCAUCAGGGCUGUCUCUUUUCGCCACCCUCGAGUUACUAUCUUGCCCCACGUUGACUCCAGGAACCAUAGCCGCUGCUUCCACAGUACCAUUAACAUGAGGUGUUCAUUACCAGAAUAAUAACCCAAGGCAGGCCAGGAGCCCACUCACAAUCGUCCAUGUGCAUCUUCAGCGUACUCGUUCUACACUCUUGCCUCAGACCUCUCUGGACUUAGCUUUAUUCAAGCACUAGCCACUCAAAAAAAGAGUGAAGAAGAGGUACGGGAUAUCCAGUGGCGCUGUCUCCAUCAUAAUCACUCAAGGUAUAAAGCUUCUACCUAUUCUCAUUUAGUUGUAAUCUUUUACAUGUGCAUGCUACUGCAAAGGCAAGCUCCCGUUUUUCCUUUAUGUGCUAUGAAGUUAACAUAUAGUGUUGUAAGGGUGUGUGGAUCUUUUAAGCUUCUACCUAUGUGUGAUUUUUGACAUGAGAUGAUGGCUACCUUGCUUCGGAUCCCUUGUUAACGAUGAUGCGUGAACCAGGCAUGGAAAUCUUCAAUGACUAUCGUGCAUGAUUUUUAUGUUCAAAAGAUCCAGUACUCUAGUAUUGGCCAAGCCGUAAAUAAAAUGAUUUUUGGUUGAAGAAGAAUCGGUAUGUGCAAGGGUUUCUGGAUCAUUUCUUUUUACUGUCCCAUGGCUUUUCGUUAAUGCUAGUACAACUAUAUUUCUCUUUUCUGAAGUUAAGUAGGUUGAUAUCUAGGAAUAGGUUUAUCACGGUUUUAAGAAUAUCAAAGAAAAGAAAAACCUUUUAUGGGUCUUUAAGGCACAAACACGCUAUUAAGACAACUUUUAAGGGUGUUUUUUUUUUUUUUUCACUAAGGACAUGUGUGGUAAAUAUGCCCAAACCUAUUUUUAUUUAAUUCACGAUAUUCACCACCCCAAUUAGUUUUAACAUAUUUAAUUUUAAGUGAAAACUAAUGCUCAACAAGUGUUUGAAAACGUUGAAAAGUAGAAAAUACAUCAGAUUUCGCAACAAGCGGAUAAUACCAUAUAUGUUUGGUAUGCGCACCGACAAAAAUAACAAAAUAGCAGAAGUCAUCAGAAGAAAACAUAGGAGCAGAACCCCAAACAUCACUAAAAAUUAAAUGAAGUAGGGUAGAAGUUUUGUGACUAGUAGGUCGCAACGACAAACGGGACGACUUGCCUAAAGGACAAGCUUGAUACUGAGUAAGAGAACGUCUAGAAGUACAUAUGAUUUUAUUUUCGGAAACUAACAAAUUUAAAAUGCAUGGGGUUGGAUGACCAAAACGAUGAUGCCACAGGUCGGCAUUCGCAGAGAUGCAAGGAGACCAAAAAGCUUGACAAACUGACAUGACAGAAGACUCGGAUAGGACAUAAAGGCCAUCAUUACUCUGACUGGAAAUGAGAACUUCUUUGGUGAUGAGAUCCUUGACAUAAAAUAUAGAAGCGCGAAAUUCGAAAUAAACAUGAUUAUCACGACAAAAUUUUUGAAUAGAUAACAACGGUUUGGUAAUGUGAGGCACAUGAGAACAUUAGAUAAUGUAUAAAUGCGUUUUGGGGAAUGUAAUGUAGUAUGUCUAAUAUGGGAUAUGUCAAGGCCCUUAUCGUCACCAACAUGCAAAUAAUUAUUACCAAGAUAGGGUACAAAAUCGAUCAGAGUUCCAAGAUCAGGUGUGACAUGUUGAUUUGCGCUGGUGUCGGGGAACCAAGUUGCAGCAGAAACAUUCCCAACAGCAAGGUGAGCAGAGGGCUGCUGGGUUCUGCUGCGAAACUAGGGACAAUGAGGAGCUGUGUGACCAAAAUUGUAGCACAAUUGGCAGUGAACAUGCUACUGUCUAGACCAUUGCCCGGCCCCGGAGUUGCGCCUAGCCUCCUGCCAGUUGUUUGGACCUCAGUCUACAACAGAUUGGCCCUUGUUCUGAUGAGUGUAGCAGUUGUUGUUGGGACACCAAUUACCUCGAGAGCGACCUAUGUUGCGGCUGAAGUUGGGGUUGUGAUGAGACAUCAUUACAUGAUUUCACAGUUUUACCAACAUAAAUAUUUCAUCGGUUUGUGAUUCAGAGUUCGUCGGUAAUGUUUUUACCGACGACAUCACCGACGGAAACCCUCUGUCGGCUUUCCUUUCAUUGGUAACACCUAAUUCCUUCGCAACAUUGGUCAGUAAAAAAAAAACAAUUGCUAAUGGUUUUAUAGACGGAAAUUGCGCGCGCCAAAAAAUAAACAUCCCGCUUGAAAUAUACUGACAGAUUGAUUUCGUCGGUGAUAGUGGCAUAUCCAGUAAUAUUUUUUAGCUCCCCGUUAAAUUAACUAUUAAAAUUAAAUAAUACUCAUUACAAAUUAACAUAAUGGUGGAGGAGGAGGAGGAGGAGGCUAGUUGUUAUACGACCAAAAAGGAGGAGGCGCACAUGUAUUACCACUCUAUGAUGCCAUGUUCAUGACCAUUUGGCGAAGCUGUUCAUAAUUCGCCGAGAGUUGUUCAUAGUUCGUCGAUAGGUGAUCGAAUUUUUCAGUGAGCUGAGCCAUGUGUUGCUGCAAGGUCACGAACUCUUUAGAUUGGGUGCUCGAUACUGAUUGAGAGCUCCCAAUGGUUGAGACACUACAAGCCACCCACAAGUUCUAGGGCAUAGUGUUGGAGAGCACGUACACCCAAUUUAAUCGAGUCCACAGGAUGAUCGAACCUCCAUCCAUAAAUCUAGAUUGAAAUCAGGAUGGGUCGAAGGAUCGUCCCCAUAUCUCUCCCUUAACCGACUAUUAUAGGUCUCCGGAAAAUGAAAAAAGAAAGCAUCAUAGUCAAUUAAAAACUAAUAAUAACAACUUACGAAAUAAAUGACUGAACAAACAUACCACAAAGUGUUGAGCAUGAUUGUCAACGAACUAUUGUGCUUCCUUUUGGUGGUUUUGACUCCGCACGUGCGUAUCAACAAACAACUCCAUUGGGCUUGGUUCAUGUCCAAGAGACGUAGCCUGUAAUGAAAAAAAUUAAUUAACAACAAAUUAAUUUAACAAUAUAUUUCAUUUAAAUUAAUCUUCCCAUACCUAGAUUAAUGCAUUGAAUCUUUCCUAAGAAGAGCUGUGUAUAGACUACAUAUACAUUGCCUCUGCUGACCUAAAGAAAGGGGGGGAGAGGACAGAAAGGAGAGGAACGAAAGGAAAAAAGAGAGUAGAACUACAUUGUCGAAAGCAAAACAAAAUACAGAGGCAGGGGCAUGAACUCAACCAGCAUAACACGCUUUCAUCACCAUCUCCCUCAUCAUCUCCAUGGAGAGGCAGGCAAGAGGACAUAAGAGGAAAAGAGGGCAACAAUAGAAAAGAAAACAGAGGCAGAAAAAAAAGGAAAGGAAGAGCAAGGGAAAAGAAACGCAAACAAGAGGAAAGAAAGAACAAGAGAGAGACAGAAUACUAGAAAAAAAAACAAAGAGAAAAAGAGAAAAGAAAAAAAAACACAGAGAACAAGGGUUCAUCUUUUCGACUGUGAAAGUCUUCACAGGAACGAAGAGGAGAGAAAAAAGCAAGAGGCAGGCAAAACAAGGAGAAAGAGAGAGGGCAGGGAAAUGAAAAAAGAAGAGAUAGCGAGGGGAGUGAACGACGCAGAUAACAGGGGAGAACAGAGGGAGUUUCUUUCCUUUAUCCUUUCAUUACUGUGAGAAAGGAAAACAGAACGGAGUAGAGGGAGAGAAGAGAAAUAGAAGAAAAACAAACUGGAAAGAACCAGGUAAGUUGUCGCUCUUUUCUUACCAGCUUUGCAUGCAUUCUUGGUUGCAUUGUUACUAUUCAAGUGAAAUUUAAUUCACUUGAACAGUAACCAGCCAAGGCAUGUGUGAGGAAACACACGCAUGCCUUUGUGCCCAACCGGGUCACUGGUUUAGGCCAGUGACCAUGUUAGGCCUGCUGGGUUCAGCCCAACCACAUGGGCCAAACUGGACCCAGCCCUUAAAAAACGAGUAAUAUUGUUUUUUUUUUUUGUAUUUACUUUGUGGUUUUUUUGUAUUUUUAUAUUGUCAAAACAUAAAUCUUGUAUUUAAAAUACCCGGUUUUUGACGCAAUGUGACAUAUAUAUAUAUAUAUAUAUAUAUAUAUAUAUAUAUAUAUAUAUAUAUAUAUAUAUAUAUAUAUGUUUUCAUGCAUACGGUCAAUACUCUAACAUGUUUUGAAUGUUUUUUUAUAUAAAAAAAAUAUAUUGGAAGUUUUGAAAAUGUGUUUUCGCAUGGAUUUCUUAAACACUAUAAAAAUUAUUUUCUUGCAUUUCUGGAUUUUUACAACAUGUUUGUAAAACUCCAAAGGGUAUUGGCCAAUAUUCCAAAAAUAUAAAAGCUUUAUUUUGGGGGGAAUUCAUCUAUCAUUCACCGUUAAUGUUUAGAUAACGAAAUCCCUAAGGGAUGAAUAUCCAAAAUAGUAUUGGAAAUAAUUUGUUAUUAUUCGCUCUUAAUGUUUGGAUAAAGAAACCCAAGUGGUUAAUAUGCAAAAUAUUUUUCUAGGAAUAAUAAAACACCAUACAUCUUUGAAAGAAGUCUCGAUUAUAAUUGAGGACAUUUCAAUUUUUUGACUCCACGGUUUACGAGCCAUGAAAGUAUGAAACACUAAGGCAAAAAAAAAAGGCUUUUAAAGCACUCUGAAUUUCCUUAGAUUUCUAAAUCUUUGUUCCUUUUCCUUGCGAUUUAGGAGUCGCGAACACUUGAAAUACCAAGAGGAAAAUGAGCUUUUAAAGCACAUUGAAUCUCCUUGGAUUUCUAUCUUAAUAAAUUUAGUCUGAAUCAAACACAGAUUUCAAGAGAUCUGCAUUGGUUCCCCUCGGCACUUUGUAGACAUAUCUAAAGGUAUGAUCUAUAUUGGCCAAGGAUUCUUGCUUUUAGACUUUGAACCUAAAAUCAUUCAUCAUAGCAAACCUAUCUUAGGAAAACUAAUUAAGAGAACACCAACACCAUAGCAAUUAUAAGGCAAACCAAACACCAAGCAGCUUACCUUAGGUAGGGCGUACUAGGAGUGCUAAUACCUUUCCUUUACGCAACCAGUCCCUUGCUUUAGAAUCUCUGAAAGACUAGUUAGGGUUCCUAGAGACCAAAAUACUAGGUGGCGACUCCUAUUCACAAAACAAAACAAAAGACCCGAAAUCAAUCGAGGAUCGCCGCUCCGCCGCGAGGGUGCGACAAUGUUGAUGAUAGAAAAUCUAUGGGUGGUUAUCUUGUGUUCUUUGGUCAGACAUCAAUUUUAUGGAAAUCAGGUAAGCAACGUACAUGUGCUCACACUUCUCCUGAAGCCGAGUACAAAGCCUUAGCCGAUGGCACUGCUGAGGUUAUCUAACUUUAGUAUUUAUUAAUAGAUCUCUAGAUUUCAUCCGCUUCUGCUCCUUUCAUCUGGUGUGACAACCUUGGUGCCACUUAUUUGUUUGCGAAUCUUGUUCUUCAUGCUCGUACAAAACAUGUUAAGGUUGAUUAUCAUUUUGUCCGAGAUAGAGUUGCAAAGAAGGAGAUUCAGAUUCGUUUUAUUUCUUCUCGGGAUUAACUUGCAGAUGUCUUCACUAAACCACUUCCUACUGCUUCAUUUACUGCUUUUUGGUUCAAGCUUCGGGUUGAUCCUCCACCCUCAGCUUGAGGGGGCAUAUUAUAGAAUGUACCUAUAUAGGAAAUAUUGUAUAUAGAAAAUAUUAUAGUCAUACUCUUGUGUGGUAACCUCCACCAUUACUAUUGUAUAUUGCCAUACACAUGUAUAUAGAGAAGGUUGGCUAACCAAUAGGUUAAACCUCCUAAUUAUUCUAACUUUCACUACAUCUACUUAGUACAUAUAAGUUGAAGGAUUGGUACCUUGACCAAUGAACUGGAAAUAUCGUUAAUUGAUAAUGAAUGGCAUACAGUCUUACCAUAUAAGUUGAAGGAUUGAUAAUCGAUCCUUUUGGGAUAUGUCAAUCCCAAAUCUAUUAUUCCAUUUAUUUAUUAAUUAUCAUAAAAACAUUUAUUAAAUGUGCUGUCCUCCAACUCUUUCCAUGAAAAGAAAAGGUUGUGAACCACCACAUUUGAUCAUGGACAAAAGGUAAUCAAAUAGUUGCCUCCACUAGGACAAGUAAACGUGCUCGAUUUAUCAUCAUAAGCAUAACUGUAAGCUUGAGGACACUGCUGCUUGAAAGUCAUCGAAUAUUGGCUAGGAGGACAUUUGUCAGGUGUAUUAUAGUCUCCUGUGCAGCAGUACUGCGGCUGGUUAAAUGCCAAACACGCGCUCUUGCAGGCAAUCACAGUCCCAUCUGAACCCUUCACUUGUAAACUAGGAUCACAAACAGCAUUCACGUUAGCUGCACAGCUUGUAGAAGGGCAGCCAGUAGAACCUCCUUGCGGGGUUAUCGAAAUCGGGAUGUUAAAGCCAUCAACAAGGCUUAUAUCGUAAAAAUCUUGCCCACCACUACCGCUUAGAGUAAAUUCUGCCAAGGAUGCUGGUGGGAUCGCACCGGCUCCAUUGCAUUCUAUGACACCGGAGGCACAGUCAGCAGUAGCACAAACAAACUUUCCCGAGGCAUCUGUAGAGCAUUGCGUUCUGGCCCAAAAGCGGCCAGACCAAUUGACAGGGACACUCAGCGAAGAUGAAGCACCCGUUGCCAAUGUGAAGCCAGUUGAAGAUAAAGACGGACCGCGAUCAGCCGUUAGAGUUCCUGGCCAGACUGUGUAUGGACACUUGUUUGUGAAGUCGAAAGUCACAGAUUGAGCUCCUGCAUGCGUGCAAGCUGCGCAAGAUUUAUUUUUGUUGAUAUCAAUAGUUAAAUCUUGGUCGAUUCAAAGAUAACAUAAUUCAAUAUUUAAGAUCUUGUAUUAAUUCACUUAUUUUUCUUUUACAAAUAUAACAUAACCCAGGAUUUUUGUUUAAUAUAUUUUUUUUCUUUUUAGUUUUUUAUCUGGAAACUCCCUCCUGGAUAAGUUUAUUGGAUUCACGAAAUCCAUUGAAUAAUGAAAACUAAUUAAUAUUGCAUAUGCAAACAGAAAAUAUAUAUGUAGAAUAAUCAAAGUGAAUAAUAUGCAUAAUAGAGUUUUCCAUGCAAGAAUCUAAUAUUUGUAAUAUUGUAAAACUACUUGCCACAGAGGAAGAUGACGAGAAGGUAAUUAUAGCAAUGGGCACACGACUCUCCAUUGCCGAGAUGCGUCGAAUUAACACUUUUCAGUAUCUUUUAAGAGAUUUGAGCUAAGCAAGAAACACUCUAUAUUUUAAAAAGAUUGUGUUUGCCACUUAAUAAAUAGUGUUAAAUUUGCAGACUAGUAAACAGCCAAACAGAGGAACCGUCUUCCACACGCACCGUCUCAUCCACGAUGACAUUUGAAAAUGAAUGCCAAAUUAUAAAAUUAUAAUUUAUUUAUAUUUAUAAAAAAAUUUUAUAAAAUUGGGUCUAACACCUGAAGUGUGUGGAUACCGUCCAUGCACUGACCUGCACUCAUCAACUAUUUUUUAAUAUUAUUGUUACUUAUAAAAUUAUAAAAUUAGAAAUAAACCACCCUGGUAAAAAAAAAAAAAAACCCCAAAGAAAUAUACAAAUGCCCUUGGUUUGAACCACAAGUGACUAACUAGAUAUCUCAAGAGGAACGCCCAGCUUCUCACGUCUAAUUGAAUAUUGAAUGUAAUACCGUUUCCUUGUUUGAACCACAAGUGACUAACUAGAUAUCUCAAUUGAUGAGAAAGCAGACUAGAAAACAGAGGCAGUUCUCCUCCAUCAUGUGCGACUGAGGAGCCGUGAUGAGUGCGAGACUCUUCAAAAUUGAUGAGAAAGCAGACUGGUCCCUGCUUCUGGAAUGAAUGGAAGUCUAGAAUUUUUCCAAAUCCAAUUGUCUAAUGAAUGUAACUCUGGAAUUAUUCCAAAUCCACAAGUUUCAUAAUGUUGUGUUGAUUGUGAGACAUUAUUUCAAAAACUGAAGGGGAAUAAAAUUGUCAAAAAUUCUAAUUUUACAAAUUAUUCCAAAUAAAAAAACAAUAAACAAAAUAAUAGGAAUGAAAUUCAAAAAAAUAACAAAUUAAAGGCAUGCUUUGAAAUUUUGAAGGGCUACACAUAAAAAUCAAGAAAAAAAAUAUAUUUUCGGCAACAAACCAAAAAAAUAUUUGUCACACGCGCUGCCUCACCCACGGCAGUAAUUGGUCAACAAACAUUCUGAACGUGCCACUUGAAGUGUGCGGAUCGCCCAAGAACUAACCUGUACUCAUCAGCUACUUUUUUUAAACUAUUUUUUUAAAAAAAUAAUAUUUAUAUUUAUUAAAUUAUAAAAUUGAAAAUAAACCACCCUGAUAAAAAAAAAAAAAAAAACCAAUGAAGAUAUACGAAUGCCCUUGGUUUGAACCACAAGUGACUAACUAGAUAUCUCAAUUAAUGAGAAAGGAGACUAGCAAACAGCCAAUUAGAGGAACGCCCUGCUUCUCACGUCUAAUGAAUGCAAUUGAAUGCAGGAACAGGGCCAUACUCACAAGAAAAUUAAUUACACCCGACAUCCUACUUUCUAAGUGUAAAAGCUAUAUUUCUGUGUCUAGAAAUAUCAGUUAGAUUUUUUUAUGGAAAUAUCUUGUCAAUAAAUAUCAAAAUAUUUGAUAUUGUAAUAUAGAGCAUAUAUCUAAUUAUGUUUAAUAAAGUUUUUAUUUGAAUAAAUUUUUAUUUAACCAAAUGAUUAUCCGUGCCAAUAAAACGAUGUAUAUCCAGUAUAAUUUUUUUAUUUAAUUUAUAUUUCAAAAUAUUAUGAAAUAAGAAUGCUCUUACCCAAGGUUAAAGUUCAAGCACGGUAUGAGAAGGUGGAAAAAGAUGUUGAUAACUAUUGGGGUCAUAGGUUUUCCUUCUUCUUUUUUUUGUGUCUUUGGAAAAUAGAAAUGCAAAGGACUGUCACGGAGUUUUUCCAUACCAUGCUUGGGCUUUGGAUGUAUGUUUCCUUGACAUGAGAUGAUGGCUACCUUGCUUUGGAUCCCUUGUCAACGAUGAUGCUCGUUAAUGCUAGUACAACUAUAUUUCUCUUUUCUAAAGUUAAGUACUAGGUUGAUAUCUAAAGUUAAGUACUAGGUUGAUAUCUAGAAAUAAGUACUAAGUUUUUAUUAAGAAAAAUUUUAAGGGUUUUUUUUUUUGCACUAAGGACAUGUGUGGUAAAUAUUCCCAAACCUAUUUUUCAAAGCUUUUUUUUUUUUUGUGUUUUGUCAAACUAAUCUUAGUCUAACUUUAAUUAUUUUUCAAGUUUGGAAGAGCAUUUUUGCAAUUAAUUUUUCAUUCUUUAUCCUUUUAUAUUUAAAAACAAGUUUAUUAAAUCCACAGGUAGAUGGCCUAAGUUUGAAAAACACUAAAACAUUUAACUUGUUUAUUUUAAUAUGAAUUAUGAGCUUAUACGUGAGAUUUAUUUUUGAUAUUGAAAGAAACAAAGGCAAAAAUAUGUUUUGGCUCUAUAAUGGCUAGGCUUCACCCAUAAAGCUAUUGGUUCACUUUACUGGGAUAGACUUGCUUUAAUCAAUAGACAAACCAAUGAUAAGAAAAAAACACAACAGUGUCUUAAUAAUAAUCAGACAAAUAAACAAUAUAGCUUAUCUUAGGUAUGAUGUACUAGGGGUGAUAAUAUCCAUCCUAUAUGUCGUACGUGUGCGGCGUCGCGGUGAUCGUCCACCAUCUCAAGGAAAAUGGAACGGUGUAUCCCUGGAAAAUGUGGAGAGACAAGGAAUUCCUUGUCUCUUAUUAGUAAAAUAUGGACUAGGAGUCGCCACCUAGUAUUCUGGUCAUUAGGAACCCUAACUAGUCUUAGAGAUCGAGUACGGAGACUGGUUGCGUAAAUGGAAGGUAUUAGCACCCCAACUACGCCCUACCUAAGGUAAGCUGCAUUGUUUUAAUGUCUAAUAAAAUCUAAGUUCUUAUUGUGUUUUCUAAUUGUUGGUUGUUUGUCUAAGCUUCAAGAAAAGCCCUUCUUAUUAAGAAGGUUUUUAUUUUAAUGGGGUAGAACCUAACCGUUCUAGUGUCUGAAAAAAUUUUAAUAUCUAGAAUACAUAUUACGUGUAAUGUCAUAUCCCGGAUACUAAAAGAAAAACAAAAUAAAAAUUCUAAGUACUAGGUUGAUAUCUAGAAAUAGGUUUAUCACGGUUUUAAGAAUAUCAAACACGCUAUUAAGAAAAAUUUUAAGGGUUUUUUUUUUCCACUAAAGACAUGUGUGGUAAAUAUUCCCAAACCUAUUUUUCAAAGCUUUUUUUUUUUUGUGUUUUGUCAAACUAAUCUUAGUCUAAUUUUAAUUAUUUUUCAAGUUUUGAAGAGCAUUUUUGCAAUUAAUUUUCAUUCUUUACCCUUUUAUAUUUAAAAACAAGUUUAUUAAAUCCACAGGUAUCUGGCCUAAGUUUGAAAAACACUAAAAAAAUUUAAUUUGUUUAUUUUAAUAUGAAUUAUGAGCUUAUACAUAAGAUUUAUUUUUGAUAUUGAAAGAAACAAUAGUGUCUUAGUAAUAAUAAAAAAAAUAAACAAUACAACUUAUCUUAGGUAUGAUGUACUAGGGGUGAUAAUAUUCAUCCUAUAUGUCGUACGUGUGCGGCGUCACGACGAUCGUCCACCAUCUUAAGGAAAAUGGAACGAUGUAUCCCUGGAUAAUGUGGAAAAUUCCUUGUCUCUCAUUAGUAAAAUAUGGACUGGGAGUCGCCACCUAGUAUUCUAGUCACUAGGAACCCUAACUGGUCUCAGAGAUCGGGUACAGAGACUGGUUGCGUAAAAGGAAGAUAUUAGCACCCCAACUACGCCCUACCUAAGGUAAGCUGCAUUGUUUUAAUGUCUGAUAAAAUCUAAGGUUUUGUUGUGUUUUCUAAUUGUUGGUCUGUCUAAGGUUCAAGAAAAGCCCUCCUUAUUAAGAAGAUUCUUAUCUUAAUGGUGUAGAACCUAACCGUUUUAGCGUCUGAAAACAUUUAAUAUCUGUAAUACGUUUUACGUGUAAUGUCAUACCUUGGAUACUAAAAGACAAACAAAAUAUAAAUUUUGUUAUUUUUGCAAUUUUGGCCAAUGUUCUAUUGACUUUAAUAAAGUGGUUAUUAAAGCCAAAAUACAUGCUAAAACAUUGUUUUUUUGUGUGUGAAAAAAAUAAUAUGAUUUUUUAGCUUUGAGACACUUGGCCCUAUGCACAAAAACAUUUUUUUUGUAUUUUCGAAAGUUUUGACGAAAACCGAGUAUUGUAAUACCGAAUUUGUAUUUUGUUUUUUAAAUGACAAAAUAAACAGACUCAAAUUAAUCAAAACAAAGAAGAAAAAUACCCGAAAAGCUUACAAUUUUUCAAAUGCAUUUUUGAAAAAAAAAUUUGAAUUGGGUCGGGCCCGGCCCAAUUAUUUUUCUUUGGACUAGGCUGGGCCCAAAUAUUCGGUUGGGCCAAAAUUGGCCCACCCAUGAACAAUGCUCUCCACUAUUCAUAGACUAAGCAAUGGAGGUGAGACGAAGCAGAAGAGAAAAAAAAAAGGAAGGGGGAAAGGCUGACCUGCGGCGGCACUGGUUGUGCUGCUGGUGGUUUGUGCUGGCUCUAUUUUUUUUUCUUCUCUCUCUCCUCUAUUUUUCGUUCUCUUCUCUGCUUCUUCUUCUUCUUUUUUUCUUUCGGUAUUCCCCCUCUAUUUUGCUCUCUCUCUUCUCCUCUAUCCUAUUUUUCUCUCCUUUUUUUUCCUGUGUUUUUCCUGCUCUCUCUCUUACUCUGUUUUUCUUCUUUUUUUCUAUCCUUGUGUUUCUCUCCCUCUCCUCUCUUUUUUUUUCAUCGUCCUUGUGUCUCCUUUCUCCCUUUUAUUUAUAGGGGAGAAAGGAGGCCUACACCCCUGCCUAGUCAAUGGCGCAGGGGUGUAGGGUAGACGGGGCGGCCACUGUUCAGCCGCCCCUCUACCACCCUAGGGACACCUCUCGUCCCCUAAUUCUAACAUGUGGAAAGUUGUUCGAGUGGAGGGGUUAGGUCAACAUUUUUUUGGAAGGAGUCGGUGGCGGUGACAGAGGAAGAAAAAAUAUUCUUCUUCCCCUGCUUCGCGUGUCCAGGGGAAGAAGAAGACCAUAGUGCCGUUCAAAACGACACCAUUUCGGCCUUUUUUUUUUUGGUGACCAAGUAUAUGAAACGAUGCAAUUUUUCCCAAAACACGUCAUUUCAUUUAAAUGGGAAUUGGCACAAAAACGCGUCAGAUUCAAAAUCAGGCCUUCAAUUUGCUCGUGUUUUGCAUUUUGGCCAUCAAACUUCAAUAUUUAUGCAAUUAAGCCCCUUAUUUGACCUAAUUAAAUCUCAAAAUUAUAUUUUGACCCUAGAAUUUGAAUUUCUUUCAAUUAAAGCCCAAAUUAACUCCAAAAUCAAUUUUUCUUGUAAUCAAAACCUCCAUAAAUUCAAUUAAACCUUCCAUAAAAUUUAAUUGAGUCCAGAAACAAUUGAUUUUGGACUUUUCUUCCUCAAAUUGAAUUUUCUUUGUCAACAAGGCUUUUAUCAGUCAAUAAAAUACUACUAAAUUUUGAUAUUUGUAUUUUUAAACCUCCUCUACCAAUUUUUAACCAAACAAAGGAACACGUGAAAAUCAAGAAGAGAAAAAAAGAAAAAGAAAAAGAAAAAGAAAAGUUUGUAAUAACAACCAUCUUCAACACACACCGUCUCAUCCAUGAUGACAUUUGACAAUGAAUGUCAAAUUAUAAUUUAUUUAUAUUUAUAAAAAAUUAAAUUAUAAAUUUGGUUGUCACCUGAAGUGCGCGGAGAUCGUACAUGCACUGACCUUUAUUCAUCAAUUAUUUUUUAAUAUUAUUUAUAUUUAUUAAAUUAUAAAAUUAGAAAUAAACCACCCAGAUAAAAAAAAAAAACCAAUGAAAUAUACAAACGCCCUUGGUUUGAACCACAAGUGAUUAUCUAGAUAUCUCAAUUGAUGAGAAAGCAGAAUAGGAAACAGCCAAUUAGAGGAACGCCCUGCUUCUCUAAUUGACUAAAGAAUGUAACACCGGUCCCUUGUUUGAACCACAACUGACUUACUAGAUAUCUCAAUUGAUGAGAAAGCAGACUACUAAACAGCCAACAGUGGCGGUUCUCCUCCAGCAUUACACCGUGAUGAGUGCGAGACUCUUCAAAAUUGACAAGGAAGCAGACUGGUCCCUGCUUCUGGAAUGAAUGGAACUCCAAAUCCAAUUGUCUAAUGAAUGUAACUCUGGAAUUAUUCCAAAUCCACAAGUUUCAUAAUGUUGUGUUGAUUGUGAGACAUUAUUUAAAAAACUGAAGGGGAUAAAAUUAUCAAAGAAUUCUAAUUUUAUAAAUUAUUUUAAAUAAAAAAACAAUAAUCAAAAGAAUAAGAAUCAAAUCUGAAAAAAUAAAAAAUUAAAGACGUGCUUUGAAAUUUUAAAGUGCCACACAUGAAAAUUAAAAAGAGAAAAAAUAUAUAAAAAAAAUUGUCAGCACCAAACUGAAAAGCUAUCUGCCACACAUGCUGCCUCAUCCAUGCGGCAAUGGGUCAACGAACAUCCCUGCAUGUACUUAUUAACUAUUUUUUUUAAUAUUAUUUUAUAUUUAUUAAAUUAUAAAAUUGGAAAUAAACCACCCUGAUAAAAAAAAAAAUACGCAAUGAAAAUAUACAAAUACCCUUGGUUUGAACCACAAGUGACUAACUAGAUAUCUCAAUUAAUGAGAAAGCAUACUAGUAAACAGCCAAUUAGAGGAACGCCCUGCUUCUCACUUCUAAUGAAAGCAAUUGAAUGCAGGAAUAGGGCCAUACUCACAAGAAAAUUGAUUUAUACCCGACAUGGUACUUUGUAAGUGUAAAAUCUAUAUUUCUGUGUCUAUAAAUAUUAGGUAGAUUUUUUUAUGGAAAUAUCUUGUCAAUAAAUAUCAAAAUAUUUGAUAUUGCAACACGAAGCAUAUACCUAAUUGUAUUUAAUAAUGUUUUUAUUUGAAUAAAUUUAUAUUUAACCAAAUGAUUAUCCAUGCCAAUAAAACAAUGUCUACCCAAUACAAUUUUUUUAUUUAUUUUAUAUUUCAAAAUAUUAUGAAAUGAGCAUCACUUGCCUAUAUUUAUUUAAUUAAUUAAAUUAAAUUAAAUUAAAAAAUGUCUAUAAAAAGGAGAAAUGAAAAAAAAAACAACAAAUAAAAAUACUCGAGAUAUCCUGAAUCAUUUUCAAAAUAAGUGAAAAAUCUUAUAGAAAGAAAAAAAAAUUCAAUGGAGCCCAAUAUCAAUGUAGUCAUUUUCAAAAUAAGUGAAAUAAACAUGAGCUUAAGAAAAGGGAAAAAAUCAAGCAAACUCGAGUGAACCUCCUAAACAUGAGUUAAUCUUUAAAACUCGCAACUUCUAAAAUCCUAGACUUGAACUUGAUUAAUAAGCACAAUUCUCAACUAAUUUAAUGUUGAAUAAUGAAAACAAGAAAAAAAAUCAAUUUAAAAAAAUUGCCAAAGUGAAAAAAAAUAGCAAUGAAAAGAAUGAGGGAUCAAAUCUGAUAGAAAAAAAAAACUUAUGGAGGAUGAUAUUGUAAAAAAAAAUCAAAAUAAAAAAUUAUCUCAAAUAAAAAAAUAGUAAUCAAAAGAAUAGAAACAAAAUUUGAAAAAUAAAAAAAUUGAAGGGGGAUUAAAUUGUUAAAGAAUUCUAAUUUAAUAAAUUAUUCCAAACAAAACAAACAAUAAUUAAAAGAACAAGCACCUAAUCUGAAGGAAUAACAAAUUGAAGGCAUGAUUUGAAAUUUUGAAGGGGCACAAGCGAGAAUCAAGGAGAGAGGAAAGAAAAGGAGAAAGAAAAGGUUCGACACCAAACCGAACAACCAGUUCACUUGGGAUUACCAAAUAGUCGACCAGACCAACUUAAAUACUAGAUUUUGAUAAUUUAAACCUGCUGAAUCUUGAACUGAUACUCAUCCUAUAUACAUAUAGAGUGAAGUGUUUGAGUUCAUUUUAAUUGUGCUAUUAAGAUAAAAUAUAAAGAUUUACAUAAUCACUGAAAUGAACAUUUAACUCUUACUCUUCACUUGUUUUGCAUCUUGGACAUCUUCAUUAAUUUUUUCAUGACAUUUUUCAUGCUUGUUGAUGUCAAAACUCAUUUUUGGGUUAUUCCCCACCCUUUUUUACCUUAUUCCUUUUCAAAAUAAAAAUAAAAUAAUAGUCACAAGGAGACUAGCGACGUUGAAAAUGUUGGCUGAGGAAGGAUUUUAAAUAUAGAAAAAUUAAAGUUUUGGAGUCAAUUAAGGGCUGCAUUUAUGAAAUUUUCAGCCAAGGACCAUUUUGAAAAAACUAAUUAGGGACUUGAUUGAAGAAAUCUAAAACCAAGGACCAAACUGGAAAAGGAGCAUGAAUAUAGGGGUUGAAAUUGAUUGAAUCAGGGACCAAAUUGAAGAAAUUGGAAGUUUGUUGAUCAAUUAAAGGUCAAAAUGCACAAAUUCAAAACCGAUCAAAGUAAAAAAGGCAAGCAACUUCAGGGCUGAAAUUUGAAUUUGACAGAGAUACAAUUGAAUUAAUUCUUAAAAUCAAAAUCUAAAUUGAUUAUAGGCAAAGGAAAAAGGUUUUUUCCUCCUCCUUUGCAGCACACCUCUCUCUCUCUCUCUCUCUCUCUCUCCCCCCCACUUGCCUAAAAACCCUGACACAACCCACACGUCCUUAUGGCCUACCACCAUGAUGAAAGGGGCAAAGGGGACAAGCCUUACAGGCGAUUCUGGGCAUCGUCCCAGCUACCCUACCCCAUCGCCAUAACUAGAUUGGGGUAGGGCAGCUCCCCACCGCCCUUUAUAAAUACCAUCCUUACCAGGAGGUUGAGGGGUAAAAAAAAGAAAGAAAACAAAAGGAAAAAAGAAAAAGGAACGAAACAAAAAAGAAAAGGAAAGAAAGAAAAACAAGGGAAAACAAAGGAAAGAAAGGGAAGAAAAAGAAAAACAAAGAAAAAAAAGGAAAGAAAUGGAAGGAACACUCUUUGCCCUUUACUCGGAGAAGAAAAGGAACCUUGUCUCCCCCUCUCUAUUGCCAGUUAGUAGCACAGUAACAAUUUAAUGGUAUUUUAGGCUUGGUCUAGCCUUAUAUAUAUAUAUAUAUAUAUAUAUAUAUAUAUAAGAAUAUGUUGGGUCGACAUCGGCCCAACUCUUUUGGGCUGACCUUGACCCAAUUUCUUUUGGUUUAUAUUUUUACACUGUAAAGAUACAUAUUCGUUAUUAAAAUACCUGUUUUUUUUUUCUCUAAAAUGUUGCAAACACAAAUAUAUAGAAAACAAUAAAAAACAAUAUCUUGUUUUCAUGCAUAGUGUCAAGUCUCUCAAAAAUAUAAUAAAUUUCAUAUUGUAUUUUCAUACAAAAUAAAAUUAAAAAAUAUAUGUGUUAGCAUGCAUUUUGGGCUUUAAUAACCAGUUUAUCAAAGUAAUGAGAACUACAACUAUAUUUUAAAAAUAUUUUGUUUUCUUUUAGUAUCUAGGAUUAUAAACUUAUACAUAAGAAGUAUUCUUGAUAUUAAAUAAAAAUGUAGUUCUUUUUUUAUUAUCGACAUUAGAACGGUUAUGUUUUUACCUAAUAAAAUAAAGAUCUCCUUACUGAGAAAGACUUUUCUUAAACCUUAGAUUGACCAACAAUUAGAAAACACAACAAUACGUUAGUUAUAUCAGACAAUUAAACAAUGCAGAUUACCUUAGGUAAGGUUUAUAAGGGGUGCUAGUACCUUAUGUGAAACCUCAAAAAUUUAUAAUUUAGAUAUGUAGAUGACUCAGUGGAAACUCUAUAAAACCCCAACAAAAGACUUCACCAUGAUGAAUUGAAUAAUGAGAAAUAAAAUAGAAAUGGUGGUAAACUGUAAACCCCCAAUCAAAUUUCAUGAUAUUAAUAAAUUUGUUGCGAUGUCGCGGUCGAACAAAUUAAUUACCCUAGCUUAAAACACAACACACAAGAUAGUAUAGAGAAAGCAAGGGGUUGAUCCCACGAGGAAGGUUUAGUUCAUAUUGUUAUGCUAUACGUUAUGUAAUUGGGGGGGUUUGGUUUGUAAUGAUUUAAACUAUGGCAGAAAUUAAACUAGCAAACAAAAUCAAUUGAAACUGAAAUAUAUCUAGAAAACAAACCUUGGUUGCAAGCACACGGAUACCAACGGAAAUUAGAACCGAUCCUUGAAAUGAAACUCCAGUUUAUAUUAUGAAUUUUAUCUUUUCUUAAUAUUGGUUAAUUAACGGAUCCGCUGUAUAACUAGCCCUAACCAACAAACAAUCACAGUGUCUGCACUAAUGAUUUAAUCCAAUGGCAGCCUUAAGAUCCAGAUAAAUUCAUUAAUCUUAACAACCAAGUUGUCAAUUUGUGUUGCUAUGAUCGAAUGCUUUUCCUAUGUUUAAUAACAUAGUUCCGCUACAAUUAUCAAGCUUAGUUGCUUCACAAGUUUAUAUACCACAACUCCGGUUUUGAUAUCAAACUUAGCAAUACAUUGUUCACAAUAAUAACUUAGAGUCCGCUCUAGCAAUUAAGAUAAACAAUCAUAGGAAAUAUGCAUAGGAAAACAAACAUACUCAUUCAUAACAUAAACUGAAAAUAAAAGGAAGAAUAAAUCUCACGGUUCUUGAAAUCCGAAGGUUUGUUGUAUCCUUGCAACCAACAAAACGAGCUUAGUCUUGCAUAUCUAUUGAACAACUACUCCUAAAGAUGGAAGAAUACAUGAUUUCUGAUUUGUAGAGGGGAGAGUUUGUGUUUCUUCUCUUCUUGCUGCUACCUCCUUCUACUCACCCUCUAUUUAUACACAAAUUGUAAGUAAGAAAAUCAAAGUUCAAGUGUGAACAUCAAUAGAUGGUGGUAGUGUGAAGGCAGCUCGCGGCUGGCUGACUUGAGGUUGGUGGCUGGCUGCUGGCUGACUUGAGGUUGGUGGUUGCCUUGAGGUUGGUGGCUGCCUUCCUUGACCUUCUAGAAUAUUUACUAGAGGAGCUAAAUUGCUGGUCGGUUUGGAUGCUUCUGGAUGAAAUUUGGAUUCGUUUCUUCACGCAACCUGCUUGCUGGCAGAAUUCAGCUGUCAUCUUUGAAAACUCAUAUCUCCCUCAUAUGCCAUCGUUUUUGGCUGACAUUUGGAGCGUUUAUAGAUCUUUUAGUACGGAAUCCAACAAAAUUGAGUUUGAAUCAAUUAAACUUCUGAAGCUCCAGAUAUUGAAUUUUGAAUAGGCAAAGGUCAACAUUGGCAGACUGCAAGAUUUGACUUUGAAGGAUGUGAUUUCCAUGAUAUUUCUCUUUUUAUUUUUCUUGCAUUACAUUUCCAGAAAGGUAUGGAUGUUAUCUUUUUAAUGCCACUGGAAUCACUUCAUUUCGAUCUCUGGAAGUCACGCUCUGCACAAAAUAUCGACUGAACGUCAAAUCUGCCAAUUACCUCCAAUUUACUCCUUUUUGUAUCUUUCAUCCAAAAAUGCCUUCAAAACAUAAACAAAGAAUAUCAAGACAUUUUAUAUAAAUAACAUAUGCAAAACACUAGUUAAAUACGGGUGAAACUAUCGAAUAAUAUGGUUAUAUCAACCCCCAAUCAAAUUUCAUGAUAUUAAUAAAAUUAUUAAUAAUUCUGAACCAAAAAUGGGAUGAGCUAGUUAAAAUAAAAUAAAAUGAAAUAGUAUUGAAUUAUUAGAAAAGAAAUUUUAGAGAGAGAUUUUUUUGCAUGGUAUUUUAAAAGCGGACCGAGAAAAGGCAUUUGGUUGAAUGAAAAGAUACCUAAACUUCAUAUAAGGGUGUUUUAGUAAAUAUAGAUAUAUUUGCUAUAUAAAUAGCAAAAUUAUAUAGAAAUUAACUAGGAGGGCCGAAUGAAAGGAAAAAGAAAAAGGAGAGAGAGAGAGAGAGAGUACCUUAAGAACAUAAAUUCAAACAACCAUAUCUCUGAAUUGCACCUUUGCAUUGGUCUGGUUUUGGGAUAUAUUAUGCUUCUCACCACCCUCUAACAUCUGACUGUUGGGAUCUAAAUGUUCUGGUAUGAUGUGAGAGAUAUACCCCUCGCAACAUUUCAAGGAAAAUUUACCUGCAGGUCAGUCAUGGACUCUAGAAGUUUCCAUAUUUAUACACCGUUGGAUCCUGCUCAAGUUUUGAUAUGUAGAUCAUAUUGACGAGCUUUUCAUUAUGAACAAUGGAGAUCGGGAUUAUAGACUCCAAUAAGAAGUUAGUCAUCGGAGAACAAUAUAUUGUAAAUUUUCAGGUCCGUUUUGGUUUUGUCUUGAUCUAGGAAGAUGUAACCGUGAAAAUACUAUGAUGUUUUGGUAUGUGUUUCAUGUUAUAAUGGUGGUUAACUUCACCGUUUGGAUUGUAUUCAUUCAGAUUGAGUUGGGAGAAACUUGAACCUUAAUGAAACAUUUGUUUAAAUUAGGUUAACAGAAAUGAAAUGAAUGGAAAGUGUGGUAGCUUGAUUUGUGUUUAACCAUCAAAAGCAUGCUAAUUAUGAUUUAAAUUGAAUAAAAUCCUUAGUGUCUUUCCUUAUCUCAUUCUUUCGGAAUUGUCGCAUGUCAAAAUCCACGCGGCAUCGGCUUGUCGAUUUUUCAUUUUGUUUGAUCGAUUUGGUUUGUUGGAGUCGCCACUUAGUAUUUAAUUGAAGGCUACUAGGAAGCUCGGGUGCUGGUCUUGUCAGAGAUUAACGGGUAAGAGACUAGUUGUGGUUAGGGAAGGUAUUAGCACACUUAACACCCCCUACCUGAGGUAAGCUGCUUCGUUAGAUUGACUGACAAAAAGCUAAGGUGUUAUUGUAUUUAUUGGUCUGUCUACAGUUCAAGAAAAGUCCUCCUUAGUAAAGAGAUCCUUAUCUUAUCGCGUAAAACCUAACUGUUCUAACGUCUAUAUAAAAACUAUAUUUUUAAUAUCAAGAAUAUGUUUUACGUAUAAAUUCGUAAUCCCCGAUACUAAAAGAAAACAAAAAGAUUUUUUAGAAUUUUUGAAAUAUUAGCCUAGUUCUUGUGGUUCUAACAAACUUGUUGUUAAAGCCAAAGUGCAUGCUAAUACAUAUAUUUUUGAAAUUUCUUUUGUUGUAUGAAAAUAUGAUGUGAUGAUUUUAUUUAUUUAUUUUGGAGAGACUAGGUCGUACGCAUUAAAACAAAAACAUUUAUAUAUAUAUAUAUAUAUAUAUAUACAUAUAUAUAUUUGAUGUCUUUGAUGAAAACCGGGUAUUUAAUACUGGAUUUGUAUCUUUACGGUAUAAAAAUACAAACCAAUAUUAACCAAUUUUGAUAAAAAUAUGCAGGAAAAUCAACAAUUUUUUUAAGGAUUUUUCAGAAGUUUGAAAACAAAACAUUUUUUUAUUUUUUGAUGUCUUGACGAAAACCAAGUAUUUUUAAUACUGGAUUUGUAUCUUUACGGUAUAAAAAUACAAACCACAAUUAAAAUUUUUUGAUAAAAAUAUGCAGGAAAAUUAAAAAAUUGUUUUAAGGAUUUUUUUUAGAAUUUUUAUUUUUAUUAUAUAUAUAUAUAUAUAAUAUUAAAUGGGUUGGGCGGGCCCAACUAACUGGGCCGGACUCAGCCCCAAAAGGGUUAGGCCGAUCUCGGCCCAAAAAGGGUUGGGUUGAUCUUGGCCUAGAAGUUCACUCUGCCUCUUUGGGUCUCGGCCGGACCCGUUCCAGACAUGAAGUGUUAAUUUAAGUUCAUUUUAAUUGUGUCAUUAAGCUAAAAUAGAAAUAUUUACAUAAUUAUUAAAAUGAACAAUUAAUCUUAGAUUCUCAUUUAAUCUUUAUUUGCUUUGCUUCGGUGGAUAGGUUUUAGAGAAGAAGAAGACUAUUUUUUAUUCUACACUUUCACUCAAUUUUUUCCCUUUCUCUAUCUUAAGUUUUUCUUCUAGGGUUGCUAGGGUUUCUUACCCACCUUUUGUUUUCCCUCUAAUUUUUCUUUGGAGGCCAGAGUUUUUUUUACACCUCCCCCUUUUUCUUACCUUGCUUUUCUAUUUAUAGGCAAUGGGUAGGUUCUAGAAUCUUUAUAGCUAGAACACUCAUAUCCUUCGAUUUUUUAGGUUAAAUUUGGACCCUUAAUCAUUGUUGUAUAUAUUUGGCACAACAUGCUCGUGUUCUAUAAAGCUCACACCAAAUCUUAAUCAUAAAGAGUGGGAUGAGAGAGAGAAAAAGGAAAAAGAGAAGAAGAAAAAUGGGGCUGAAAAACUUAACUGCUAUUUUUCAAAAUCAGACGACCCGUUUCCUUUCAAAGGGUAGCCAAAAAGCUCCCAUGCACACUCUUUAGCGAGCUUCUUCUUUACAAAAAAAAAAAAAAAAAAACUAAAAAAUUGGAUCGUCAUUUUCAAACCACCUUCUAGCUAUAACUGGAAACAAAAAAAACAAUACAGCCUCUCUCAUCAGCGCUGUCUCUUUUCGCCACCCUCGAGUUACUAUCUUGCCCCACGUUGAUUCCAGGAACCAUAGCCGCUGCUUCCACAGUACCAUUAAACUGAGGUGUUCAUUACCGGAAUCAUAACCCACGGCAGGCCAGGAUCCCACUCACAUCGUCCAUGUGCAUCUUCAGCGUGCUCGUUCUACACUCUUGCCUCAGACCUCUCUGGACUUAGCUUUAUUCAAGCACUAGCCACUGAAAAAAAGAGUGAAGAAGAGGUACGGGAUAUCCAGUGGAGCUGUCUCCAUCAUAAUCACUCAAGGUAUAAAGCUUCUACCUAUUCUCAUUUAGUUGUAAUCUUUUACAUGUGCAUGCUACUGCAAAGGCUAGCUCCCGUUUUUCCUUUAUGUGCUAUGAAGUUAACAUAUAGUGUUGUAAGGUGCGUGGAUCUUUUAAGUCCUAACCUGGGCACGGGUGUUCUUUCACUUGCUACGGAUACUGAAUAGGAUGGGGUGUGAUUUUUGCUUCAAACGCAUAAGGUCUUGAAAACUUGAUUGCAUGUCCCAAGUUUAAAGUUCAAGAACGGUAUGAGCAGGUGGAAAAAGAUGUUGAUAACUAUAGGUUUUCCUUCUUUUUUAUUUGUGUUUUGAGAAUAAAAAUGCAUAGGACUCUCAGGGAGUUUUUUCAUACCAUGCUUGGGCUUUGGAUGCAUUUUCCUUGACAUGAGAUGAUGGCUACCUUGCUUUGGAUCCCUUGUUAACGAUGAUGCAUGAACCAGGCAUGGAAAUCUUCAAUGACUAUCGUGCAUGAUUUUUAUGUUCAAAAGAUCCAGUACUCUAGCUGUGCAUAAUUAUUGGCCAAGCCGUAAAUAAAAUGAUUUUUGGUUGAAGAAGAAUCGGUAUGUGCAAGGGUUUCUGGAUCAUUUCUUUUUACUGUCCCAUGGCUUUUCGUUAAUGCUAGUACAGCUAUAUUUCUCUUUUCUAAUGUUAAGUAGGUUGAUAUCUAGAAAUAAGUUUAUCACGGGUUUAAGAAUAUCAAAGACAAGAAAAGAAAAGCUAAAAAAAAGAAGCUUUUAAGGCACAAACACGCUAUUAAGACAAAUUUUAAGGUUUUUUUUUUUUUUCACUAACGACAUGUCUGGUAAAUAUGCCCAAACCUAUUUUUCUCAGCCUUUAUUUAUUUAUUUAUUGUGUUUACACAUACUAGUCUAAUUUUAAUUAUUUUUCAUGUUUUGAAGAGCGUUUUUGCAAUUAAUUUUUCAUUCUUUACCCUUUUAUAUUUAAAAACAAGUUUAUUAAAACCAUAUAAAUUUGAUUUAAGUUUGAAAAACAUUAAAAAAAAUAAUUUAUUUAUUUUAAUAUAAUGAAUUAUUAGUUUAUACAUAAAAUGUAUUAUCAAUAUAAAAAUAUGUUUUGACUCUAGAAUAACUAGACUUGACUCAUAAAAAUAUGAAUAUACUCUACUGGGAUAGACUUGCUUUAACCAAUAAAUAGACCAAUAAUUAGAAAAACACAACAAUACCUAAUUAGUUAUAAUCAGAUAAAUAAACAAUACAACUUAUAUUAAAUGAUCACAAUGAUGCUACAACCAUGCUACAUUCAACAUUGUACUUUCCAUGAGUUAUCUUUUCUAUUUUUCAAUUCCUCUUCCCCACUUAAUGUGUUAUUUUUUUAAUAAUCUUCAAAGCUAGCUUAGAUUAUAUGAUCAUAAUAACUCCACAAAAAAAAAAGCUAAAUUUAUUUAUAAAAUGAGCAUGGCAUGCUUACCAUUCAAACCAGUAAAAAAUCCCAUAAAAGAUUAGCACCUGAUGACAAUGUUUUGAAAUUGAAUUCGACACUCCAUCUACUUAGUACAUAUAUGUUGAAGGAUUGCAACCUUCAUCAAUGAACUGAAAAUAUCAUUAAUUUAUAAUGAAUGGCAUAUAGUUUUACUAUAUCACCAGCAUGAAAAUUGAUAAUCGGUCCUUUUGGGAUAUGUCAAUCCCAAAUCUAUUAUUCCAUUUCUUUAUUAAUUAUCAUAAAAACAUUUAUUAAAGGUGUUGUCCUCCAACUCUUUCCAUAAAAAGAAAGAGUUGUGAACCACCACAUUUGAUCAUGGACAAAAGGUAAUCAAAUAGUUGCCUCCACUAGGACAGGUAAACGUGCUCGUUUUAUCAUCAUAAGCAUAACUAUAAGCUU
rnacentral:lncRNA from 1 species